rnacentral:lncRNA from 1 species
AAAGUUUAUUUUAAAACACAAACAACUAGUUCAUAGAAACAAUAACUUAUUUAGUACACAAACGAGAUCUUACUUAAUACAUAGAAAUAAGGUUUUACGUAGCACGAAGAUUAAACAUAUGAGCAACAUGAAAAGUUUUCAAAUGACAUAGAUAUUGAUUAACAAAGCAUGAACUAGUUUCGGGUAAUUUUCAACCAUCCAUCAAGAUAAACUUCUUUGGAGUCAGGUGUGGAUUUGUUUUUCUCAGCUCGGAUAUCUUCAACAUCCAUCAAGAAUAAACCUGGUUAGAAUCAGAGGUAGAUUUUGUUGUCUCAUCUCGAAUGUCUUUCAACAUCCAUCAAGAUAAACAUGUGUGGAGUCAGAGGGGGAUUUUGUUUUUUCAGCUCGAAUAUCUUUCAACCAUCCAUCAAGGUAAACUUGGUUGGAGUCAGAGGAGGAUUUUGCUUUUUCAGCUCGGGUGUCUUUCAACCAACCAUCAAGAUAAACUUGUUUGGAAUCAGAGGUGGAUUUUGUUUUCUCUGCUCGAGUAUCUUUCAACCAUCCAUCAAGGUAUACUUGGUUGGAGUCAGGGGUAGCUUUUGUUCUCUCAGUUCGGGAAUCUUUCAACCAUCCAUCAAGGUAAACUUGGUUGGAGUCAGACAUUGUUUUUGUUUUCUUAGCUUGGGUAUUUUUCAACCAUCCAUCAAGGUAAACUUGGUUGGAGUCAGGGGUAGAUUUGUCUUUCUCAGCUCGAGUAUCUUUCAACUAUCCAUCAAGGUAAACUUGGUUGGAUUCAGAUGUGGAUUUUGCUUUCUCUGCUCUUGUAUCUUUCAACCAUCCAUCAAGGUAAACUUGGUUGGAGUUAGGAAUUGACGUUUCUUUCUCAACUCUGAUAUCUUUUAACCACCCAUCAAGAUAAACUUGGUUGGUGUCACCUGUAGAUUUUGCUUUCUCAGCUCGGGCAUCUUUCAACCAUCCAUCAAGGUAAACUUGGUUGGAUUUAGAAGUGGAUUUUGCUUUCUCUGCUCUAGUAUCUUUCAACCAUCCAUCAAGGUAAACUUGGUUGGAGUUAGGUAUUGACUUUUCUUUCUCAUCUCUGAUAUCUUUCAACCAUCCAUCAAGAUAAACUUGGUUGGUAUCACCUGUAGAUUUUUCUAUCUCAGCUCGAGUAUCUUUCAACCAUCCAUCAAGGUAAACUUGGUUGGAUUCAGAGGUCGAUUUUGGUUUCUUUGCUCUGGUAUCUUUCAACCAUCCAUCAAGGUAAACUUGGUUGGAGUUAGGUGUGGAAUUUUCUUUCUUGGCUCUGAUAUCUUUCAACCAUCCAUCAAGAUAAACUUGAUUGGAGUCACCAGUAGAUUUUGUUUUCUCAACUCGAGUAUCUUUCAACCAUCCAUCAAGGUAAACUUGGUUGGAUUCAGAGGUACGAUUUUGGUUUCUCUGCUCUGAUAUCUUUCAACCAUCCAUCAAGAUAACUUGAUGGAAUCCUGGGAGAUUUGGUUUUCUCUCCGAGUAUCUUUCAACCAUCCUCAAGGGUAAAAACUUGGUUAGAGUUAGCAAUGUGUUUUUGAUUCUUCAAAGGAUUUUUGAGCCAACCGUCAAGGUAAGGUUGAGCAACUUGUAUUUCUUCUACAUUCUCUUGUAUCAUAUAUCGAGCAAAGCUUCCUUGUCCAUUCUACAAUUCAGUUGAAUAAAUGGAUAUUAAUAAGUUAUUUUUGGAUGGUAUAUAUGAUUACAAAAACAAAAUUAUGUGUUUUAUGAGACUCAUUAUGUUGCACAGGUAAGACAUAUUUAUUAUAUAUUUCAGAUGGAUACAUAAUGUGAAAAAAAAUUAGAGAAAAAUAAUUUUUUAAAUUUCAUUGUCUCAGAGAAAACACUAUUUUAUCAAAUCAAAUAAAACAACUUGAUUGUAAGUGAAUGAUGAAAUCAAAUCAAAUAAAGAUGAGAAAUGAUAGAUUGUGAUAAAUAAAUGAUAAAAAAUAUAAGUGUAAAAGAUACAAGAAUAGAUGCUUAGUAACUUACAAUCAACAAGAGCAUGACAAAAAGGAGGAGAGACAAAACAUUUUUGUGUGCCAUUUCUUUAUGUUAUGGUUUUGUGGGAAAAUUGUUUUAAUGUGAAAGAUGUAUUGAAAUUUUUGUGUGCCAUUUCUUUAUGUUAUGGUUUUGUGGGAAAAUUGUUUUAAUGUGAAAGAUGUAUUGAAAUGGAAAUGAAUUGGGCUAUUUAUAAGUGAAUGAAAAGAGAAAGUACAUUAAGGUCAUUAAGACUUUGGUUGGCAAGAUUAUUUUUAAAAUGUUUAGUUUAAUUUAUAAGUUUAUAUGUCUAAGUAAGAUCAAUUUACUAGGAUUUAUUUUUUACAAGAUCUAUUAGGUGUGUUUGUUUUGAGUUUUAAAAUAAAAAUUUUAAAAAAGUGUUUAUUUGAUAUCAUUUUUUUAAUUAGAAGCUCCUAACUAAAUUCUUUUAGUUUAAAAAUAAAUAAACUUUAGAGAAGCUACUGUAAUUAAUUUUUUAUUUUAAAAUUAAAAAUCAUUUUCUAAAAAUCAUUAAUAAAAACAUAUUAAAAUGAUAAAGGUGAUAUUUUAAAUGUUAAACAAACAUAUUUAUUUUGAUAGUAAUUAUUUCAAAUAAUUUAAAAUUUCAUAAAUUCCUUUUAAUUUUAAUUAUUAUCAUCAAAUAUACACUAAAAACACCAAAGUUACUAAACAUGAAAGGCAUCUAAUAUAUAAUGAGUGUUGGCAGGAAUAUUCAUGAGGUUUUGAAUUCAAAUCUAAAUAACAGUGUCCAAUUAAUUGAAUUGGAAUUUACAUAUCAAAAUUUAGAUAAAUAUUAAAUUUCGAAGCCUUUAUCAAAAUAUUAUUACUAACUAAUUUUGUUAAAUAGUAAACCCUAUACUAUGUAGUUUAGGUAGAGUCCACAUCCUAGGUUUUUGUAUUUUGUGCAAGAUGUCAGACUAGUUAUCUUAAACCUAUGAUUCUUCUGCUACCAACUCCUAUGAACUCACUAAAUAGAUCCAAAAUAGUCUCAUUAGAAACACUUAAAAAUACUGUGUAGAGUCUUGGAUGUUUAAGAUGUUCACAUGUUGUUAGGGUUUGCAUGCUUAUGUAGUUAAGCUUAGCUAAUAGCUAAUGUCAUGAUUCUUCGAAGUAGGUGGAGUCAACAUCCUAUACUUUUGGAUGAUGUGCAAGAAGGCAGACCAGUAUACAUUGUGAAUCAUGAGUCAUAUGUUGUUUAUCAUACACUUAUGAUUCUUCUGCUACUAACUCCUAAAAACUCACUACAUAGCCAACAAUGAAUCCAAAAUAGUUUCACAAGAAACACUAAAAAAUACUGUGUAGAGCCUUGCAUGUUUAAGAUGUUCACAUGUGGGGUAGGGUUUGCAUGCUUAUGUAGUUAAACUUACCUAAUAGUAAGUUAAAAAAUUGUAGUUAUCUAAAAAGCAAUAAAUUAUAAUUAAUAUAUUUUCAUCAUUCUUAUUUGUAUUAAAAAAAUAUAAAUAGUUGAUUUUAAAAGUAAGAUUAGUGUCUAUUUCAUCCCUUAGUGAAGUUAGGGUAUAUGGAAUCAAAGACUUGUGAUACUUUAGUUGUGGGUUAGCAGGCAUAGGGAAAGAUGGUCUCCUUAAAUUGAUUUUGUUAUUACUAUCCAAGGAGGUAGAUGGGGUCUUGCAGGGAGCUAUAUAAUAUAAGUGAUUCUUUCGAUUUGAGUUUGUUUGAGUAUGAAGGAUUCUUGUGAAUUUUUAGAUCUAAAAUUAAAUAUUUAUCUAAAUAUGUAUGUCAACCUCACAAAAAUCGAAAUUUAUUGUAAAAUUUUUAAUAAGGUUUUUAAUAAUAAAAAUUAAAAUAAUGUUAUUCCUACACCNUAAAUUUUUAGAUCUAAAAUUAAAUAUUUAUCUAAAUAUGUAUGUCAACCUCACAAAAAUCGAAAUUUAUUGUAAAAUUUUUAAUAAGGUUUUUAAUAAUAAAAAUUAAAAUAAUGUUAUUCCUACACCAAAUACUUACACCAAAUAUUAUUCACCAUAUUUAAAACGUGAACAAUGUUUUUUUUAAUAAAUAAAAAAUAAUAUUUAUAUAAAAAUAUUUUUAUUUUUAAAAUUAUGUUUAUAAUAUAAAUAUAAAGUUUGUCAUUAACCAAUUUUAUUAUUAUAUUAACCACAAAAAUAUAGGUUAUUAAUUAAAUACUCACAUUAAAAUGUGAAAUCCAAAAUUUGGUUAAAAACUAAUUAUUAUAUUUCAUAUUUUAAUAUCAGAAUUUGAUUAAUAUUAUAUAUUUUAUUGAUUAAUGAAUACAAUAAUAAGUAAAAUAUAUGGUUUAAUCACCUAUAUUUUUGUGAUUAGCACAAUAAUAAAAUUGCUUAAUGACAAACUUUAUAUUUAUGUUAUAAAAAUAAAAAUAUUUUUUUAUAAAUAUAAUUUUUUUAUUUAUUAAAAAAAUAAAAAUAUUGUUCACCGUAUAAAUCCACUAUCGCACACGGGUCAAAAACGAGUUUAAGACAAAAUGUAGUAAAACAGGGAAACGACACUCGAAGAUCGUAUCUCAAAGGCUCUUGGAUUAUUAUUAACCUACUGGAAUCGAAUUGGAGAAUUUAUAUUUGAUUCAGAAUAAGUGAUUAUGAAAUAUGAUUAUAAUAUAAGCUGAACCACUGAUUUGGUUCCCGUCGUACCCCAAAAUUUGCUCUCCCCUUUUUCAUCUUUUCAUUCAACCUUUGACUUAAGAUUCAUAUUUACUCAUUCAUGCCUCACUCAUGUGCAUCAUUCACUCAUCUUAACACGUUUUCACAAACUCAUAGAUUCAAAGCUGUGAAUAACUAAUGCAGUCUAGCUUGAUCUUAGGGGAUUGCAUCUUGAUCUUUCAUGCCUAACCCUAAUGUGCUUGUCUCUGCCCUAGAUGAAUCUUUUAUCAUAACCCUAAUUUGGUGUUCAUUAUGGGUGAUUUAUUUGGUUGAUCUUUGCUUUGAGCUCAAAACCUAAUCAGGGAAGGUAUGGUCCUAAUGCGCCUUAUGAAUUUCCUCUUACUUGGUGCUUAUUGGAUACCUUAAUUCAUUGGGAAGAAGCUUUUGACUUCUAUGUCCAUCUUGUUAGGGAUUUCACUGAUCAUAAGUUUAUUUAGACGGCCAUCCAUGUGAUGAUUUCAGGAUCAUAAGUAUUUGAUUCUUGGGUCACUAGUGCAUUUGUCUUGUGAGGUUGGGUUUGGUUUGAUCCAUUGUGGUUUAAGCCAUUAGCGGUCAUCUUCACAAAGCCCAUUUUACACAGGAAACCCUAGUUCUAGGGGCCAUCUAGUCUGAGGUUCUUCUUAGCCAGGAUAUUUGAAUUAAUUAUAUUUUUUGGGACUUGAAUCGCGACUCUUUGAAAGGGCCAUUUGGUCAUCAAUGGUGUUUAAUCAUGGGUUUGUUGACAAGUUUCAUAGUUUCAUUCAUGGUUCAUGCUUUCUUUCUUAUGAAUGCAUUAUGGUGCAUAAGUUCAUUCAUAUUCUUGGUCACAUGUUUUAAAAGGUGCAUAAUGUCUUAAUUUGAAAUUUAUUGAUCCAAUCAUGAUUAUUUAUCCCUUUCUAUUCAAAGUUGAUUUUGGAGGAAAAUUUUCACUUUAAAAAUAGAGCAUUGUUUCAUUAAGAUUAGUUAUUACAUUUCAUUCAAUCACAAUGUACAUUAUCCAUUAAGCAUGUUUAUAAAAAAAAAAUCAACAUUUUGUGAUGUUGACUUUUAGUCAACUGUUGAUUUUUUGGUACAAUUUACCAAAGUCAACACGUUUAAUAAAUCCUAAAAGCUUCAUCUUCUUAUUUUUUCACCAUCUUCAUCAUUAUUUAUUUCCACUAAAAUUGGUUAUACUUUGUUUGAUUACCUUACAAAAAGAACAUAAUGAGUGAGGUCAUGAAUUCUAUUGAAUAUAUUCAAGCCACCAAAACCACAUCAAUUCAACAAACCAUGUAAAAGAAAAAACCAUGACCAAAACAUACAUAAGAACCAUUUCAGCAAUUCUAGUGACUUACUUCAAUUCAACAAAUAUCCUACAAUCAUAUAUCCAUAAACAUACAUAUUUGACAUUCACUAACAUAUGCUUCAACAAGGAUUACACUGUAGCGUUCCCAAAUCAAUUCAGUAUGUAGCUUCGAAAUAUAGCAAUUCGACUUCACCUAAUUGAACUAAUCAGUAUCAUGUUAAUGUUUUCUAAUAAACUUCACUCUUCUAACUCAAAUACAACUAUCAUGGACUUCACUUUAAAUAGAACUGCACCAGGUUUAGCUUCUAUACUACCUGCAAAAUUCACUUAACACAGACAAAAUAUUGAGGCUCCAUGGCAACUAACAAAAACAAAAUACAGAAAAUUAAUCUCCACGGUAACUAACCUAAGUAACAUACAUAGAUCCCAAUGACUCUAACUGAUUUGGGAAGCUAAUAAUUGGCUAACUAAUUGAUUACAAGGUCUAACAGGUUUUUUACGGCUUUAACCGAAUCUAACUUCUGAGAUUUAAUAGAGUUUUCACUCUAUUAAAUCAAGGAUAGUAUAUAACCAUACUUCACUGCAAGUUUUGGGGGGCUCAUCAAUAAACGUUUCCAGAUUCAUCGCUCUCCCUCAAUCUCCUCAUAAACGUUUCGAGAUUCAUCGCUCUCAGUCAAUCUCCUCACAAAUGAUUCCAGAUUCAUCACUUUCACUCUAUUUCCUCACAAAUGUUAGCUCCCCCAACCUCACAACGAGCUAUAACAUACACAUCUUAGGAAGAAUCGCAACAGGAAGAAGAUGAUGCGAAUGGAAAUCAGAGAAAAGGGAAAGAGAUUCAAUACCAUGGUGGGACCAAAAUCUCUGAUUCAGUGAGUGUUUACUCUGAGGUCAUUUAUGAUCUUUUCAUACUCACGCAUGCACAAGAGAUAGCUGAACCUCGAACGAUGUUGGAAAUCCCCCAAAAACCUAUGGAGAAUUUCAGUCAAUCUUGAUGAAUAAGAUUGUAAUUACCCACACAAUCACAACGAAAGGAGAAGAACAAUGGAGAAAUAAAGUGUAUAGAACGAUGAAGGAGAAGAAGAAUUAAAUUCUGCAGAGUUUCUCUCUGUCCACAAACUGUGGAAAACUUGUUAUUCACUUUGCAACUGCAAAAUACUGUGAAUACAAUAUGAUGUGAAUACUCUAUUCACCUCUAUUACAAAAUAAGGGUUACUCCCUCUAUUUAUAUAUUUAGGUUAAGUUGGACCUCAAGUCAAAGCCCAAAACUAUAAAAGCCGAAAAUUAUAAGAGCCCAAAAUAGCUAACAUUAUUUAACACACUAGGUGGUUCGACACUUCUUUGCUUCUGUCGAGCAACCUGCUUCGACCCAAGGAAUUACAAUUCAAAACAACACCUAAUUCAUUAUGUCUAAGCUUUCUACAUUCAUCAUGGAUCUUAGUCUUCUGAACACUUUGACCUGCACUCCCUUUGUCAUGAUGUUUACAAUCUGAUUCUCAGUUCUGCAGUGUUCCACAUUCACCUUCCCAUCGGCUACCUACUCUCGAAGAUAAUGGAACCUCAUCUCGAUAUGCUUGCUUCGACCAUGUUUCACAAACCCAGCUGGUUGUGAAAUAUAAACUUCUUUUGAUAAGGGACAAUUAAGGAAUGCACAUUUCACGUCCAUCUGGCACAUCUGCCAGUUGUUCAUGUUUGCUAGACCAACAACCAACCUGAUUGUUUCGAUUCUAGAAACAUGUGCAAAAACUUCAUCGGAGUCAAUUCCUUCUUUCUGAAGAAAUCCUUUCGCCACAAGUCUCGCCUUGUGUCGAGUCACUUCUCCUUUGGGACUCAACUUUACCUUGUAUACCCACUUCACAUCGAUUGCCUUCUUAUUUUGGGGAAAUUCGACAAGUGACCAAGUGUUAUUGACUUCGAUUGACUUUAGUUCUUCGUCCAUUACUUUCAUCCACAUCGAAUCUUUCAAUGCCUCAGCUGCAUUGACAGGUUCGACAUCUGCGUAGAAAGCAUAAUGUACCAGCUCACCUUCAUCAUUGACCACAUCAUCUAAUGUAAUCACACAUUCUUGCAACCUUGCAGGCAUUUGUCUUGUUCUUUGAGGUCUGCUAUUGCUUGCUUCACCUCUGAUUUCUUCCCGUCGAACUACUCUUUCAACUUCAUUAGCUGGUUCAUCAUAAAAUAUUCUCAUUGAAUCUUUCUUGACAUUCUCAGUUCAAUCCCACUCCUUAAGCUCAUCUAUGAUCACGUCCUUGCUGAUCACUACUUGCUUAUUCACUGGGUCGAAUAACUUGUAUCCUCCAGUCAAAUGAUAUCUUAUCAGGAUCAUCUGACUGGACUUGUCAUCAAGUUUUCUUCUCAACUGAUCUGGCACAUAUCUAUGUGCUAUAGAUCUAAACACCCUUAGAUGACUCAAGCUAGGCUUGACACCAGACCAACAUUCUUCUGGCGUGAUUCCUUCUAGCUUCUUCGUCGAACAUCUGUUCAGGAUAUAUGUCAUAGUCGACACAACUUCUCCCCAUGAUUCUUUGGGUAGAUGUUUGCCUUUCAACAUACUUCUAACCAUAUUCACAAUGGUUCUAUUCUUCCUUUCUGCGACUCUGUUCUGCUGUGGAAUGUAGAGUGGCACCACCUCAUGUGAUUCUUUGGGUAGAUGUUUGCCUUUCAACAUACUUCUAACCAUAUUCACAAUGGUUCUAUUCUUCCUUUCUGCGACUCUGUUCUGCUGUGGAAUGUAGAGUGGCACCACCUCAUGCACAAUCCCUUCUUUCACACAUAAUGCAUUGAAGUCUUUCGACACAUAUUCUCCACCACCAUCAGUUCUCAAAAUCUAGAUCUUUCGACCGCUAUGUCUUUCGACCAUAGAUUUAAACUUGGAAAAUACCUCGAUCACUUCACUUUUCUUCUAGAUCAGGUAAGACCACAAAUUUCGACUGAAAUCAUCUAUGAAUAUAACAAAGUAUUUUUUACAUCCAAUCGAAUCCACCUGGAGAGGACCACAUACAUCAGAGUAUAUGACUUCAAGAAUUGCCUUCGGCCUGCUUCCUGCAUCCUUACUGAAGUUGUUCUUAUGCUGCUUUGCCUGCACACAUUCUUCAUACACUUUGUUUGGAUUGUCGAUUUCUGGUAAUCCUGAAACCAUAUUUCUUCUCUUCAAAUCUAUGAUGUCUUUGAAAUUAAGAUGGACAAGUCUGUAAUGCCAUAUCCAUUUAUCUCUGAUGGCUACUGUUGCAAGGCACUUAUGCUCCAUCACAUUUAGUUCAAUCAUGAAGGUUCUAUUCUGAGACAUUGGAGCCUUCAAGAUCAACCUUCCAUUUGAGUCGAGAACUCUCAUCAUCUUGUCUUUGAUUGGCACCUUGUAGUUCUUUUCGACCAAAUUCCUUAUGCUGAGCAAAAUACUCUUCAUGCCUGGUAUGUACAACACAUUUGAAAUUACUGACCUCUUGCCAUCUUUCAUCAUAAUCAAAACAUCACCAACACCUUCAGCUGCUAGAGUGUUGUCAUUUGCAAAUUUUACCAUGUUCUUUAUUGAGGGCUUUAUUGCCACACCACCUCUUUGGUUGCCUUGGUUCCAGGGUUUUCUAUGAUUCGACCAGUUUCCUUCUUGCUGAUUUCGACCAGUCGAAUUGUUGUAACCUCCUCUGCCUUUGUUGCCAUUCCAGAUUCCUUUGCCUUUUCUUUGUUUUGUUGAUUGAGCCUGCAAAUCCAUAUCACUUUUCGACUUUCCUGCAGCUCUUUCAGCCAUUCUUUGUUCAUGAGAUUCAAGCGUCCCUUGAAGCUCUUCCUUUGUCAGUUUUGACAAAUCUUUCGACUCUUAUAUGGCUACUACCACGUGGUAGAACUUUGGAGCCAAUGACCUCAAGAUAUUUCCAACAAUAGAUCUUGAUGUCAACACUUCACCACAUACCUUGAUUAGAUUCACCAGUUUCGUAACCUUGGUGAAGAAAUCAGUUAUGCUUUCAUUGUCUUCCAUCUGAAGCAAUUCAUACGUUCUUUUAUGAGUUUGUAACCUCACCUCUUUCACAUUCUCCGCGCCUCCAAACAAUUUCUCCAGAAUUUCCCAUGCUUCUUUCGCUGACUCUGCAUCACUAACUUUUUCAAAGUUAGCUGCAUCAACACAUUGAUGGAUUAUAAAGAGUGAUUUAUAAUCUUUCUUCUUCAAUUCUUUAUGUGCAGCCUUUUCUUGAUCCGUCGUGGCUUCUGCAAGCGUUGUUACUCCUUCAUUCACAAGAUCCCAAAGAUCUUGAUAACAGAACACAACCUUUAUCUGCUUGCACCAAUUCUCAUAAUUGUUGUUCUUGAGAAACAAAAGAUUUGUUGGAAAAUGCCCGUUUGGAUGAUUCAUUGCCUAGGUGAUUUUCUUCCCACGAAUCGUUUAAACUGGAGCUCUUGAUACCAGAUGUUGGAAAUCCCCCAAAAACCUAUGGAGAAUUUCAGUCAAUCUUGAUGAACAAGAUUGUAAUUACCCACACAAUAACAACGAAAGGAGAAGAAUAAUGGAGAAAUAAAGUGUAUAGAACGAUGAAGGAGAAGAAGAAUUAAAUUCUGCAGAGUUUCUCUCUGCCCACAAACUGUGGAAAACUUGUUAUUCACUUUGCAACUGCAAAAUACUGUGAAUACAAUGUGGUGUGAAUACUCUAUUCACCUCUAUUACAAAAUAAGGGUUACUCCUUCUAUUUAUAGAUUUAGGUUAAUUUGGACCUCAAGUCAAAGCCCAAAACUAUAAAAGCCCAAAAUUAUAAGAGUCCAGAAUAGCUAACAUUAUUUAACACACUAGGUGGUUCAACACUUCCUUGCUUCUGUCGAGCAACCUGCUUCGACACAAGGAAUUACAAUUCAACGCGAACGUGGUGGAAUCUUGAAAUCGCAUCACCGUUCGAAACCAAAUUACAUCCUUCUAACUCUUCCAUGUGUGACGCCAAGACGAAGAGGAGGUGUUGAUUCCAGAUUCACGCGAAAUUGAAGCAGAGUUUGACUGUGUUCAUUUUAAUUCCGCGCUUGGAGAAGGAGUGAAUUUCAAAUAUCGAGGCUUGUGUGUGGAUGUGUCCUAUGACCAUUCUUUUGGUUUCAGAUGCAACUUUGGAUGCAUUCAAGGCCAUUGUUGUUUGUAGCUUGGGCCUAAAAGCCCAACAAACCUCUCUUUGAACCACCAAUCCAGGUUUUAAACCCCUUUUUGAGAUUUUUAAUUUCAAUUUACUAGUUUGUUCAAGGCCAUUGUUGUUUGUAGCUUGGGCCUAAAAGCCCAACAAACCUCUCUUUGAACCACCAAUCCAGGUUUUAAACCCCUUUUUGAGAUUUUUAAUUUCAAUUUACUAGUUUGAUUAGGUUUUAAUUAAGGAUCAAUUGUUGAUAAUUAGCUUGAUUAGUUUCUAGAAUUAGAAAUUAAUUUAUGAUCUGAUUAAUUGAAAUUUAGGUUUAAUUAAAAUUAAUCAUGAUUAACUAUGUUAAUUAGAAUAUUCACUUUAGAAUAAAUAGAAAUUAAUUUUGUAGAAUUUAAUUAGUUUUAAUGAUUCAAUUAUGAUAUUUUUAGAUUUGAUUAAAAGAUUAGACUAAUUAGAUUUCUUUGCAUUUUAAUAAAUAAUUAGGAUUAUUUAGUUUUUAGCUAAUUAUUAUUUUUAGAAAAAUUGGUCAUAAUUAAUUCAUUUUUGACAUAAUGACUAUUUUGCCCUUAGGGUUUAAAAAUCUUGGUUUUUGUACAUGAUCCCUUAGUUUAGGGCCUUAAUUAGGAUUGCCGGAUUUUACUUAGUAGAUUAAUUCAAUAGGUUUAUUAUUAUACAUAGUUCAACUACCAUUUCAACCCCACUGAUUAGGGUUGACCAAAGGUCACUUUGGUUAACCAAAUCCUUUGUAUUGUGCUGCAAUUCCUCAAGCAUGUUCAAUUGAUCAAAAGACCAUUGAUCACUUGAUAUGGCAAAUCCACGGUGCUCUAGCUAUUUUGAAUAUGAUGAAUCUCAGGAGCUCAACACCUUAAGGUUCAAAUGCAAGAUCAAGACUUCAAGUCAACAUCAGUCAAGCAUAGCUAACAAAGUGAACUACUUCUCAAGCACAUCAAAGGUAUCAACACUUGAUAAGUGUGAUUCAAAUUGUAAGUCAUAAGUCUUAAGUAAUGAGGAAUGAUGAGACGGAGUUUCUCCUACCCUUGUCUAGAAUGACUUUGCGUACGGGGCAUAGACCCUAGCUAUUGAAAGCAUUCGCCUUCAUUCAUAUACUUCAGCAUAAUUUGAAUCAAACAGUUGUCAAGUCUUCUCAACAUAACAAAUAACGUGGCAUCAUCAAGAUCAAUAAUCAGAAGCCUCUAACAACACCUGUCAAUCCUGAUAAGGGUUACACGCUAUGAGCUUUAAGUAAUGAGGAAUGAUGAGACAUAGUUUCUCCUACCAUUGUCUAGAGUGACAUUGCAUACGAGGCGUGGGUCCUAGCUAUUCAAAGCAAUUGUCCUCGUUCAUAGACUUUAGUGUGAUUUGAAUCAUGAAAUUGACAAGUCUUCUUCAAGCAAGCAUCAUUCAACACUUCAAUAAUGAAACAUGUUUUUCUAUUUGCACCUUGUGGUUGUACACCCUAUUUCAUUCAAUCUUUUUUGCCUUGUGAGGUGAUGGACAUUGGCAACCUUUUAUUGCCUCGUGAGGUAAUAGACCUUGGCAAUAUUUCUUUGCCCCAUGAGGUGGUGGAUCUUGGCAAUCUCUUUAUGUACCUAUGGAGUUAUAGACUUUGGCACUUGGUUAUGGAACUUGACAAUCCCUUUGAGUAGCCUUGUAGAGUUAUGGAAUCUUGGGAAUCCCCUUGCCUAUUGGGUUAUGGACCUUGGCAGUGCUUUCAUUUUCCUUGAGAGUUUUGGACUAUGGCAUCCUUUCUUGUUUCCUUUUAGAUUUUGGACCUUGGCAGUUCAGUUCUUUGCCUUCAGAAUCAUAAACUCUGGUAGUGAUACCUUGUCUAGAAGGUUAUGAACCUUGGAAUUCCUUUUUCUACCUCUAAGGGUUGUGUACCAUGGAAAUCAAUUUAUCUUUCUUUGUUUCAGUCGUAGUAGGUUGAACUACGAAUGAUCUGACUUUCUCAUUGCACGAUGAGAAUACGUAGGCAUGAGAGUUCGAACCCUCCGCGAGCAUAUUUAUUUAUUUCUCUCUAUUCAUGUCCAUGAUGCAUUUAUAUACUACCUUCAUUCACUGAUAUACUAUUGUCUUUGAGCCAAAUACACUAUCUCUUUGAGCUCCAUCUUGUAUCUCUUUGUGAACCAAUGGUUGUUUGUGUUAUGAAACCAAACACUUAAUUCUCCUUUGUUUUCAGUUAGUCCAAUAUAGUGAUACCAUGUUGUAGGUCCCUCACUUGUUGGUUCAUAUCAGUUUUGCUCUUGGAUUCAUAUUUCACCCCUUAUUGGAGUUCAAAUAACAUAAUCCUUUGGUUUGAUCACAACUUCUUUUCACCUCCCACCACUAGUUCCAUGAACUACGAAGCUCUGAAUUUCUUAUUGCACUAUAAGGAUACAUAGGCAUGAGGACCCAAAUCCUCACCUAGCACUCUAUCUAUUCUUUUCUUUUCCCUUAUCCUUUUGUGAGUAACCUUUAGAUAUAACACUCAUUCGAGCAAGAACAGUCAAAACGGCUCCCAUGGAGUACCAUGGAUGUUAGGGGUGUUAAUACCUACCCCUUGCAUAACCAACUUCCUUACCCAGUAUAUCUCUUUCCCCCGGGUUUUAUCGAUGUUUUCCCUUUUCUUCGGGAAUAAAUAAAGUUCGAUGACGACUCUGUUGUAUGUUCGAGUGCGCGAUGCGUUCGGGUAUAUUUCCGAUAGUGUCAAUUCUUAGCUAUCAUCGAUUAUUAUAGCGCGAUUGAAAGUAUAAGAAUCAUGUUUCCUAUUUGCCGAAUUAUAUAAUCAGUUAAGAUUAAAGCGAAUUAACGCAUUAAGCAUACAAUAACACACAAUCAAAAUUAUGGAACAAUAAAUCAAUCGAAGCAAACAAAACUACUAAGUUUUGNUUAAAUCAUUAUAGACCAGUUCAAUUUAUAGCUCAUCAGGAAGGAAUAUCAUACUGUAGCAUAUGCUGAUUCGAAGCUACGAUAUCUCACUUAUUUUCUUUUAAAGGAUGAAAUUUUAGUCAUUAGAUAAAAGAAAACAAUAACAAAGCCUUAUUUCAAUAGAUGAAAUAGACUACAUAGAUCAAUUUUCACGUUAAUAUUCUAUCAAUCACCAUAUUUUAUAGUCAUUAGACUAUUUAAUCAAAAACAUUCUUAAUAAAUUUCAUUUGAUAUUUAUUUUUUAAUAGAUAAUAAAGUAGAUGUAUUUAAUCUUUAUUAAAACAUUAUUAUUGAAACAUUAUUGUUAUUAAAUAUGAAUUUAUUAAUUUUAAUUUUGAUAUAAUUAAUGGAUAUAAGUACGGCUCCAGAGAUGUCAAAGCCUUUGGCAAAUUUUUUAACAAAGAUUUUAAUCAUAAAACUAUGAGUGUAAUAUUUAAAAUAAAAAAGUUGAGCUUUUUAAGAUGUAAAACUAUUUAUAUAAUUAUUAUAAUAAAAAUAUUUAAAAUAAAAAAUUAAGCUUUUUAAAAUAUAAAAUUAUUUAUUGAAUUAUCAUAAUCAAUUCAGUUUGUAUUUGUGCAAGAUGGGACAUUCGAUUGCAGGGACACGGAUUCGACCACAACAUCCCAAUUUCUUAUCUCCGAAAAUUCCAACCAAUAAAUUACUUCAUCCAAAAAAUCAUAAUAAAUUUUGUUUGAUAAUUGUUUUCAAUCAAUAAUAAAGAAGAUAUAUGUAAUUCUUACUUAAACCUUAAAUGUUAUUGAUUUUAAAUAAAAUUUUAUUAACUUUAAUUUUAUACUAUUAAUAGAAGGACUAUAACUAAAAGGAUUAUAUUAUUGCACUAUUUUAAAUUUCCUAUUAUAUUGUUGUCAUAUAGUAUAUUUUAGUGGAGUCUAUUAUCAAAACUUUUUAUCAGUAUUUGAAAUUUUAUUAGUAUUUAAGUGUUUAAAUUCAUCUACAUCUUUGACUUCUACUAUUAAUUUUGUUUUCAAUUUUUUUUUUAUGUUUAUAUAACUUGUACAUUGUUAACUUGUUUAUUCAAUAAACAUUAAGCUAUAUUUUUAAAUUAAUUUUUUAAUUUAUUUUUAUAAAUUUAUCCAAAACUCUUUUUUAUAAUUUAAUUAAAAUUUCAACUCUUUUUUUUUAAUUUUUUAAUUCAAAUUUUUUAAUUGACAUUACUCUAAAUAAUAUAGGAAAAAGAUAUCCACAAUAAACAUAAACAAAAAGAAGAAAAAAUUCAAAAAAAAUGAUUAAAUAUAAACGCUUUAAAUUAAAAGUAAAUAAAAUAAAAUUUCAAAAAUAAAAUAUAUUGCAAUGCUAGGGAGGACAUGCACUUUAUUGUAGAAGUAACAAUUAAUUAAUGCGAUUAAUUAAUAAAUUUUAUAGUCUCUUAUAGCGGUGUACAUAUGUUGGGUUGGAUUGGAUUUGGUAUUAACUCUUAUAUAACCGUUUAAAUUUUAAUGGAUUGGGUUUGUCAUUCCACUUAAAAUUUUAUUGUCAAAAGUGAUUCCAACCGACUCGUUCAAUUAUGGAUUGAUUUUGCAGAUUGUGUUUUAAAUGAAAAUUACUUAUGUAAUUAUUUUUUUAAUGAUUUUUUUACCAUAUAUAAAAAUGUAACACAAUUCAAAUUAAAUGAAACGUAUCAUAUAAUAUCUAAUAAAAUUCUUCAACACGACAUAACACUUGAUAAUAUUAUAAAAUUCUACUAGACAUGUUAUUUUCAUAAAACACGUAAGUUGAAAAUAACGCAAAUAGAAAAUAAGAAUAUUAUUGGUGGAGAAUAAUAAUUUUUUGGUAAAAUUAUGGUUAAUAGUGAGAUAUUAAUUUUACAUUUUUAUUUUAAAUAAUAAUGAAAAAAAUAAGAAAUUACUAAUGUCACAUCAAUGAGUUGGAUCAAUGGAUCUGCGGAUUGAUAAACUCAAANGUUAAUAGUGAGAUAUUAAUUUUACAUUUUUAUUUUAAAUAAUAAUGAAAAAAAUAAGAAAUUACUAAUGUCACAUCAAUGAGUUGGAUCAAUGGAUCUGCGGAUUGAUAAACUCAAACCCGAUACCCGAACUAAAGUUGUCUGGAUUAUUGAUGGUUGGAUUAGGUAUACCCGUAAAUGAAUGGGUUCGAGUAAUUUAUAAGUUGGUUUGGUUUGGGUCAGCGGGUUCACCCACACCCAUGAACAUCCCUAGUCUCAUAUACUCACGGAUUCAUGAGAUAAAGAGAAAUGAUAAAUGCCGUACCUCAAAAAAUAAGAACACGAUGCACACAAAGCGCAAUCGUAUGUUUGCGGGAUGGACCGAACAGAGUCGGCACCAAACUUAAUUUAUUCCUAAAAAGGAAAGGGGUAAGAUCGAUAAAACCCAAGAAAUAACGACAAUGAUAUUGAUCAUCGCAACCAAAUCAGGGUUCGGGAGUCGAUUAUGCAAGGGGAAGGUAUUAGCACCCUCACGUCCGUUGUACUCAACGGGAAUCAUUUGGUUAGUUGUGCGCAUUAGUGUUAACUUUGGAAAUGUUAGGCCUCUCGAGUUAUUAAGAUGGGAAUAGAAUAGAACAAAAAGGUUUAUUUUUUAUUAGGGUGUGAAAAAAAAUAGAGAAUUUUUUUUGGAUUUUUUAUUAAUUUGCCUGAUAAGAUUUAAAAAUCUUACUCCUACGUAUCUUCGGGUACAAUAAAGAACUCAAGGCUUACGUAGUUCUGGGUAGAAAAUGUUUCUUUGUUUGUCGAUUUUAGCAAAAUCUGCUUUGUGUCUUUACGUAGUUCUGGGUAGAAAAUGUUUCUUUGUUUGUCGAUUUUAGCAAAAUCUGCUUUGUGUCAAUCGACGUAAAAACAUUGUUUUCUAUCCAAAACAAGUAGAGAAGGGAACAUUCACAUCACGGUUGAAUGGAUUUAUAAAUCAAAAUUCGAGGGCAACAUCGCUAGCUUGCGCACAUAUUCAAAUGGAUGAAACAUUGUUUAUGCAUCAUCUCGAGACAAAAUACCUUUUGUUUGUGAAAAGGAAUUGAGGAUCAAUCAUGCGGCGGUGAGAGAAGAGUUUGACUGGUUAGAUGUGUUUUUGAGUGAUAAGAGAGUUCAUAAGGGCGAGAACUACAUCUUGUUUCCUAACUCUCGGGAGCUCGUGGACUACACAUUGUUCCUUUUUCAUCUUAUGUGUGAAAAGAGUUUUGAUAUUUUCAUAUGUUUUGAAUAUUGAUUGAGAAAAUCCACUCGAUGUUUAUCGAGGUUUAGUCAUGGCUAUGGAGAAAAGUUUGAAUUGAUUAGAGGAUUUGAAAAUGAUUUAUGAUUGAAAGUUUGAGAAAUGGUUUGAAAUGAAUGAUGAAGAGUUGGUGUUGACCAAGGUUUUUUAAAAUAGAACUUGGUGUUGACCAAGUAUUUUUUAUUUUUGAAAGGGUUAAUUUUAUUCUCUUUUUAUUUAUUUACUUAGUUCAUCUUAACUAACUAAGAGAAAAUUGAAAUAAAAGUGAUAAAAUAAAUACAAAUUACAAACAAGGGGUGGAGAUACAUUUUGUCAAUGAGGAGUAGGAAAGUGAGUAAAAUGCAAAAUUAUCAAACAAGUAAAUAUAAACCAACAAGGAUCUCAUUAUAAGAAGGCUCAAGAGUAAGCCACAAAAUUGGAAAGCAACAGAAAUCGAAAGCCAGCUGAAAUUAGCGCUAUGUUAAGCUAACUUAAAAUGGAUUCAUAUAGGAAUCCCUCUAUAUAGGAAUCCUUCUUAGGUACUGGAACGAAAUUUGCAACCCAUGGCGGAUAAUUUGUGACUGCUAGAAACCCUACAUCCAACUGUUUUUGCACUUCUUCCUUUAUCUUGACAGCCAUCUCUGCUCUUGUUCUUCUGAGCUUCUGCUUGACCGGAGGACAACCUUCUUUGAGCGGCAAGCGAUGUACCACGAUGUCUGUGUCAAGCCCUGGCAUGUCCUGAUAAGACCAAGCGAAGAUGUCAACAUACUCUUGCAGCAAUUCAAUCAACCCCUUCUUCACAUUGUCUUCCAAAGCAGCCCCUAUCUUGAUUUCUCUCUUGGCGUCCUCGGUGCCGAGAUUAAUCACUUCAACAGACUCUUGAUGCGGUUGAAUGACCCUUUCCUCUUGUUUUAAUAACCUGGUAAGUUCUUCAGGGAGUUCACANNNNNNNNNNNNNNNNNNNNNNNNNNNNNNNNNNNNNNNNNNNNNNNNNNNNNNNNNNNNNNNNNNNNNNNNNNNNNNNNNNNNNNNNNNNNNNNNNNNNNNNNNNNNNNNNNNNNNNNNNNNNNNNNNNNNNNNNNNNNNNNNNNNNNNNNNNNNNNNNNNNNNNNNNNNNNNNNNNNNNNNNNNNNNNNNNNNNNNNNNNNNNNNNNNNNNNNNNNNNNNNNNNNNNNNNNNNNNNNNNNNNNNNNNNNNNNNNNNNNNNNNNNNNNNNNNNNNNNNNNNNNNNNNNNNNNNNNNNNNNNNNNNNNNNNNNNNNNNNNNNNNNNNNNNNNNNNNNNNNNNNNNNNNNNNNNNNNNNNNNNNNNNNNNNNNNNNNNNNNNNNNNNNNNNNNNNNNNNNNNNNNNNNNNNNNNNNNNNNNNNNNNNNNNNNNNNNNNNNNNNNNNNNNNNNNNNNNNNNNNNNNNNNNNNNNNNNNNNNNNNNNNNNNNNNNNNNNNNNNNNNNNNNNNNNNNNNNNNNNNNNNNNNNNNNNNNNNNNNNNNNNNNNNNNNNNNNNNNNNNNNNNNNNNNNNNNNNNNNNNNNNNNNNNNNNNNNNNNNNNNNNNNNNNNNNNNNNNNNNNNNNNNNNNNNNNNNNNNNNNNNNNNNNNNNNNNNNNNNNNNNNNNNNNNNNNNNNNNNNNNNNNNNNNNNNNNNNNNNNNNNNNNNNNNNNNNNNNNNNNNNNNNNNNNNNNNNNNNNNNNNNNNNNNNNNNNNNNNNNNNNNNNNNNNNNNNNNNNNNNNNNNNNNNNNNNNNNNNNNNNNNNNNNNNNNNNNNNNNNNNNNNNNNNNNNNNNNNNNNNNNNNNNNNNNNNNNNNNNNNNNNNNNNNNNNNNNNNNNNNNNNNNNNNNNNNNNNNNNNNNNNNNNNNNNNNNNNNNNNNNNNNNNNNNNNNNNNNNNNNNNNNNNNNNNNNNNNNNNNNNNNNNNNNNNNNNNNNNNNNNNNNNNNNNNNNNNNNNNNNNNNNNNNNNNNNNNNNNNNNNNNNNNNNNNNNNNNNNNNNNNNNNNNNNNNNNNNNNNNNNNNNNNNNNNNNNNNNNNNNNNNNNNNNNNNNNNNNNNNNNNNNNNNNNNNNNNNNNNNNNNNNNNNNNNNNNNNNNNNNNNNNNNNNNNNNNNNNNNNNNNNNNNNNNNNNNNNNNNNNNNNNNNNNNNNNNNNNNNNNNNNNNNNNNNNNNNNNNNNNNNNNNNNNNNNNNNNNNNNNNNNNNNNNNNNNNNNNNNNNNNNNNNNNNNNNNNNNNNNNNNNNNNNNNNNNNNNNNNNNNNNNNNNNNNNNNNNNNNNNNNNNNNNNNNNNNNNNNNNNNNNNNNNNNNNNNNNNNNNNNNNNNNNNNNNNNNNNNNNNNNNNNNNNNNNNNNNNNNNNNNNNNNNCGUUGGCGUCAUAACCCACCGGAAGCCUACCAACGGGAGGAGCCAGAGUGCGCAACUGCACAAGUUGUAGUUGUUGAAGACUAGAAAGCAACUGAGCGUACGACAUUGGAAGAGUGUCGAAACGCCGGUCCAUCGUCCUUGGCCUCGGUUGAUAGGCGGGUCUGUUACCCGGUUGUUGUGGUUGGUACUGAGCUGGUUGACGCUGUGGUUGUUGUUUUUGUAGUGGUGUUGCAGCUGGAAUGGUCACAGCCACAACAUACGGUUGCUGAUGAUAGUUCUGAAAGUUAUUCCUCCGGUUAUCCCUAUUCUGAUAAGAAGAUAUGGCACUUGAAUGAAUGGCUUCUUCACCCCUGAUGAGGAUCCACCUCCACUCUGGAUCUUGUAUGUCUUCAAAUAGUUCUCCACCCUCUCACCGGUAGAGACUACAUCAGCAAAGUUGGAGGCAUUAUAAUCCACCAGGCGCUCCAUGUAAGGUCCUGACAGAGUGUUCAUGAACAUGUUAGCCAUUUCCUUCUCCAACAUAGGAGGUUGAACACGGGAAGUUGUUUCUCUCCAGCGUUUAGCGUAUUCUCUGAAGCACUCAUUGCUUUUAAGAGACAGAUUUUGAAGUUGAGUUCUGUCCGGAGCCAUGUCUGCAUUAUACUGAUACUGCUUCACGAAAGCCUCAGCCAAAUCCCUCCAGCAACGGUAGUGGGCUCUGUCCAGCCUCAUAUACCAUUCCAGGGAUGCCCCGGCUAGGCUGUCCUGGAAAAAGUACAUAAGCAACUUUUCGUCAUCGGAGUAUGCAACCAUUUUACGGAAAUAGGCUUGGACAUGGGUCUUCGGGCAAGAGUUGCCAUUGUAUUUGUCAAAUAUCGGGACCUUGAAUUUCGGUGGCACUCUCACACCUGGGACCAGCCCCAAGUCAGCAACAUCUACUCCUAGAGGAUUCUGUCCUUCCACUGCCUUCAACCUCUCUUCCAAUCUUCUAAACAUGGGGUCCACACCAUGACCCAUACCAAAGUCUUCCUGCAGCAGGGGGAACUGAUCGUCCUGAUCAUCAUGAACGGGCUGUUGACCGGAGGUGACAUGUAGGAUUGGGAUAGGCCCCGGUCCAUUGGGUCCNNNNNNNNNNNNNNNNNNNNNNNNNNNNNNNNNNNNNNNNNNNNNNNNNNNNNNNNNNNNNNNNNNNNNNNNNNNNNNNNNNNNNNNNNNNNNNNNNNNNNNNNNNNNNNNNNNNNNNNNNNNNNNNNNNNNNNNNNNNNNNNNNNNNNNNNNNNNNNNNNNNNNNNNNNNNNNNNNNNNNNNNNNNNNNNNNNNNNNNNNNNNNNNNNNNNNNNNNNNNNNNNNNNNNNNNNNNNNNNNNNNNNNNNNNNNNNNNNNNNNNNNNNNNNNNNNNNNNNNNNNNNNNNNNNNNNNNNNNNNNNNNNNNNNNNNNNNNNNNNNNNNNNNNNNNNNNNNNNNNNNNNNNNNNNNNNNNNNNNNNNNNNNNNNNNNNNNNNNNNNNNNNNNNNNNNNNNNNNNNNNNNNNNNNNNNNNNNNNNNNNNNNNNNNNNNNNNNNNNNNNNNNNNNNNNNNNNNNNNNNNNNNNNNNNNNNNNNNNNNNNNNNNNNNNNNNNNNNNNNNNNNNNNNNNNNNNNNNNNNNNNNNNNNNNNNNNNNNNNNNNNNNNNNNNNNNNNNNNNNNNNNNNNNNNNNNNUUUUUCAUGGAUAACAGUAUGGUUUCAGAAACCUCAAACCCUGUGGCAUACACUUCAGAAAUUAAACGAUUAAGCAUUCAAGGCAUUAUUUAUACAUUCAUACAUAAUACAUCACACAUUUAGAACAUUCAAAUUGAAGGCGUAAAAUAAUGGGAAUAGGGCAAACCUGAUUGGAGAGCUUGAUUGAAAUUGAGUUGCACCCCUGAGGUUUACAAAACAAUCUUUAGGGUUUACUUGAGUUGAAAGUGUGUGAGUCAGAAUGAACCUUUCAGAGUUGUCUGGAGGUUGCUCUGAACUCUGUUAUCUUUUCUCUCACUAUCUUUUUCCCCAGGGUUCUUCUCUCACUAUCUUUUUCCCAGACAGGGUGAUAGGAAUAGAAUGAAUGUUUGUUUCACUGAAACUCUAGUAUUUAUAACCUGAUUUUUGUGGACCUGUAGGCUCAAAUGAGAGAGGUCCAAGUCCAAGAUUUUUCUUUUAUUUAUUUAUAUAUUAUUUUAUUUAUUUAUUUAAUUAAUUAAUUAACUUUUUUUUUUUCGUUUUUCGUUUUUUUUUCGUUUUUCAUUUUUUUUUUUUGUUGGGAAAAAUGAAGGGUAAAUUUUGGGGUAUUACACCAUCCUUCGACCUAAAACCACUAUGGAGCCUAGAUGUAGAGUCGAUUGCCUUAUUGCUGAUGAAACAUUGUCCUUAACUGGAUGACCAUAAAGACAGUUGAUGGGUACUCCACGAAGCAUGCUGAGGGACAUGAGUGACCUAGAUGGAAUUUUCCCAUCCUGCGUAACAGGAUAAAUGUCUAUGAGCCCAAUAUUGAACUGGACAAGGAUGGCAGGGUCUAUGCCUUGUGUUCAAUAUAGACAUAAGGGCAAAAGGGUAAUUUCACAUAUAAGUAUUAUCACAAAAGGAUUUGUCAGAUCACAUGACAUUUUUGUGUCUUGGGUAGCAGUGAUGUGUUGCUAGAUACCGCUCACUGUUUAUUAUGUUAAAUACGUGAUUUAAUAUAAUUGCUAAUGCCACGAAAACCUAUAGGGUCACACACAAAAGGACGGAUUGAUGAGAGAUAGAGUAACUAAGGAACACCGUAAGGUACAGUGCACUUAAGUGAAUUGUAGAACAUCGUAAGGUACAAUGUACUUAAGUAGAAUAUGAAAUAUGGUAAGGUACCACACGCUUAAGUGAUUUUGGCAUAAUAUAAGAUAUGGGCCACAUACACUUAAGUGGGCUUUUUAGCUUGCAGCCCACACAAGUGGUUCUAUAAAUAGAACCCUUGUGUAGAAGCAUUUGUGCAGUUGUAAUUUCGUUUCUCUCUCUCUCACACUCAAAGCCUUCAUUCGUAGCAUCUAUCACUGAGAUUGAAGGAAUCCGUUCAUGUGGACUGAGUAGAGGCGUUGUCACCAUUCAACGUUCGUGAUUGCUUCGUAGAUAUGUAUCAAAGGUUUUAAUCGCCAUAAGAGGUAAUGAUUCUAUCACUGAUCAUGCCCAUUCGUAAGGAUCACUAAAGGAGAAAUUUUUAAAUUCCAUUUAAUUUUGGAUCGCUCUUCUCCUUUAACCAUCUCCCUCCAAACCUUCAACCCUAAAAGAAAUCAUUUUAUCCUAAAGCUUCCGUGCUACAUAGUUAGAGUUAAUGGCCAUAAAUCUCGAAUUGCCUUGAAGAAUAUUUGAAUGUGUAGUAGAUUCACAUCAAAGAGCAUAUCCCCCCGAAUACCUAGGCGAACAAAUGUCCUCAAAGCAAGAGGAAGAAGAAGACUUUUGCUGAAUAUAAAAAGGGUUAGGGAUUUUCAGUGGCCUAAGAGAAAAGAAAAAAGAAGGCUUGGAAAAAUAAGAAAUCAAAGAAUGAGAUUUCACUUUCGAUUGUUCAGGGCAAGAAAGGGCCUUAAAAUUGGAUUUUUGGAUUGGGCCAAGGCCCAAAGAUCCCAAAAUUGGAACUUCAAUAGAAGGGCCCAAAACCCCACAAGGCUCAACCAACCCACCUGCCACAAGUUGGUAUUGGAACUUCAAUAGAAGGGCCCAAAACCCCACAAGGCUCAACCAACCCACCUGCCACAAGUUGGUCCCCUUCAAAAUCUCUUGAGCUAAUUUAAAUCUUUUCUUACGAGGCUUAGAUUUCAUUCUGACCCUAAGAAGUACCUUGGACCAAGAAAUAUCAGGAAAAGGUGGAAGAGUCACUCCAUCCGUUGACUUGUUUGUAGUAACUAAACCCAUCAAAAGGCGUUUAUCCACUAUAUUAUCGGAUGAAACAAAGCAAUUAUCAUGAAUGGGAAAGUCACAUCCUACAACUACAUCCUCCACCUAGAAUGAAAUGAGCUAGGUAUUUCUUUAUCCUCGGAAAACCCUCAAGAGCUUUCCUCCCUCACACCUUCCAAAUCGCUGGACAAAGAUUUUGAAUCCGGAUCCUCCCAAGAUUUGAUAGUUAUAGCCUUCUGAGGAAUACUAAUAGCAACAUGUUUUUCUUCCACCACCUUAAUUCUGAAGAUUACAACCUCUAUCUUGAUACUGAAGAUCUCAUUAAUGGUCAAGGAACACCCAAUUCUAACCAAAAUCCUUGCCACAUCAAACUUGGUUUGAGCAGACAUGCAAUCAUCAACGCAGAUAUACGGACCCACCGUCUUGGUAAUAAAGGCAAACAAAUCAAACUUCCCGGCAUAACAAGUAAUGCCAUAGACACGUAACCAUGUAACCCUCACAGGAUCAACAUCUGCUGGUGACCAUCUACGAACUUCUUUAAACCAUUGAAAGAGUCAAUCACAUCCUGGUACUAAGAGUUCCUCUAGCACCCAACCUCAUGUUUUUCAAGAAAACAAAGAUUUUCUCCCAGAGGCGUAACCUUUACUUUAAAAGAAUCUUCCAUGUUGAAUGUUUCUUGCAUAUUGUAAGUCAUUCUAGGAUUUUCGACCACUUCCACAUAUGCUUUAUUGAGUAUUUUAAAAGUUGCUUCAAGGUUAGAAUCAAAGCUAGGUGGAACAGAAGACUUCCCAGGUAAAGGUUGAGACCUAGGGACCUCUCCAUCCUUAUCAGAGAAAGAGACUUCAAGUUUACCAUCCCUACCAAACUUGAGAACAUUGACAUGUAGUUUGACAUUGUCCAAAAAAAUGUUAUCAAGUUUAGUAGCCAACAACCUAGAAUCAGCUACAUUGAAGAAACGAAUAAAAUAGUAUCUUCGUCCCCUCACAUCCUUCUUCGAGGGGAUAACAACUUCAUCGAGUUUCCCAUAAUCUUGAAAAACCUCAUACAUGUCCUUGGAGGGAAACCUAGAUGGAAAAGAAGUGAAGAAAAAAGAAGUCGAGUUGUAGGAAACCUGACUGAGUCUUCUAUACCUCCCAUUGUGUCCCAAUGCGUUCUUCUUGGAUCCGCCUUCUUCCCCUCAAACGUUGCCAUGAUCCAUCAAAAUCCUUAUGGCAUUGCAUGAUGAAUAUGGAAAAAAGAAAAGAGCCCAGAACCUAGAGAGAAGCAGGGCUUUGUUGAUGAUUUCAAGCUACUAAAAAACUGUAAAGUAUUAUUAUAAGUUAUUUUUAAGUAAUGAUUUUUAAUUAUUUAUGCUCAACACUGUGUUUAUUGCACUUUAUAUAUUUUAUAAAUUAUAGUUUAAUUUUGUGGUCACCCUAAACUUUGUAGUCUGGCUUCACCACCGAUAAAGUUCAUACAUAACUUUGCUCUUUUUUAAAUGAGCAUAUGUAAUGGGGCAAUGGGAUUGACCCCAUGGAUUAGUCGUCCCUAAAAUCCAAUACUAAACUUUCAAAUAUAUAUGGUGUUAUAUUUAUCAUGACCCAACAAUUUUCUAAAACAAAAUAAAACAAAACAUAUCCCUUUCCUAUCAUGAAAGAUUGAAAAGUUAAAAAAUAAUGAGUCGUAAUCAUUAGAAAUUGUUAAAAAGGAAAAAGGGGUAUUAAAAAGUAUUAAAGAAGCAAAACACAACACAUCGAUAUAUUUACCUGACAUUUCUUUGGUGUGCAAAAGGGAUAAAUAAAAUUUAUUAAUCUACUAUAAGUGUUAAAAUAUUUAAUUGUUUUUAAUAUUGCAUAAGCUUUACACACUAUAAAAUGAACAAAUCAGAUUCUAUUUGUUAUAUUUAUCAUGAACCAACAAUUUUCUAAAACAAAACAUAUCCCUUUCCUAUAAUGAAAGAUUGAAAAGUUAAAAAAUAAUGAGUCCUAAUCAUUAGAAAUUGUUUAAAAUAAAAAAAGGGGUAUUAAAAAAAGUAUUAAAGAGACAAAACAUAACACAUCGAUCUAUUUACCUGACAUUUCUUUGACGUGCAAAAGGGAUAAAUAAAAAUUAUUAAUCUACAAUAGGUGUUAAAAAUAUUUAAUUGUUUUUAAUAUUGCAUAAGCUUUACACACUAUAAAAUGACCUCUAAAAAUUGUUGUGCGGGAGAUUUCAAAUUUGUUGUUGACGCAAUUGUUAUAAUUUAGUCUUAAAUGUUCUUACGAUCAUUUUAGUUUGAGAGUUUUAAAUUAUUGAUUUCCCUAUUACAAAACUCAACUUUUGAUUCCUCAAUUUCACUUUCCUUGGGAUCCUAAUGGUGUCCCUCCAGUUUUGCUUAUGUGUCCUCUUGAUUUAUGACAUGACACUUUGACUAUGGUGUCAUGUCAACAAGUCUAACUUUUUUUAAAAACAACGGAUAUUUUAAUUAAAAAAAUAUUUAAACCAUUUUUUAUUAAACUUAACAAUUUAUAUAAUUUUAUAAAAUCUGAAAAUAAAAAACAUUAUUGUUCAUGUUUCCAGUCCCAAAUCGUCAUUUCUUAAGAGCCCUAACCCCCUUUCACUACCUUCAUUGUUAAAUUGAAUCAAUCUUGCUCAAAACUUGUGAAGCUCAAUCAUCAUUUUUUACUGUCGCUUCUCAAUCACUAUUUUUUGAAGCACAUUCAACCUGCAAGAGUUCAUUUUUGGGUUUUAAAGUUGGUGCUUGUGAAGAUGACGAAUGCACAUUCUCAAAGGGGGAGCAACGAAGAAGUCAAGUACUGUGUAAGGUAUGUUUAUUUAUCCUUUUUGCAAGACUUCGUUUUUGGGUUUUAAAGUUGGUGCUUGUGAAGAUGACGAAUGCACAUUCUCAAAGGGAGAGCAACGAAGAAGUCAAGUAUUGUGUAAGGUAUGUUUAUUUAUCCUUUUUGCAAGUGUCAGUGGUCCACAUGUUGCAUUUUAUUCAUUCGUAUUCAGUGGUCCACCAUGCUUUUGUUUAUGUAUUCUUGUGGUCCCACUUGUAAUGUUGUCUAAUUUUUUUAUUUUUAUUUUGGGUUUGUUGUUGUUAAUUUAAAACAUUUUAUUAUUAUUUCUCUGGCCAGCUAAGAGUCAUAAUAUUAGGUUGAGAAUACAACAUAAGGAAAGAUUACUAGAGAAACAUGUUAAAUGGUAUGUUGAUAGGUAUAUUGAUGUCAUCCUCAAUAGAGCAUCCAAUACUAAAUCUACGUAGUAUCCUGAUCAAAUUGUAGGGGUUAAUUUGUCUAGGAUAAAAAAACUCCGUCAAAAAUUAAAAAUGUGUAAAAUAAAUAUUACACCAAUACUAAAACUAUUAUUAAUUAAAAGAAUAUAAUAAUAGUGACAUAUCUAAAUAUAAAAAAAUUAAGAAAAUAAAGAAUUAUGAGAAAGGACGUAUCUUUUCCGAUGCUAUAAAAUUUUAAAUCAACGACAUAUCUUAUAAAAUAUUUAAAAUUUGAGAAUAAAAGAAGAAAAAAAAGAAUAUACACUGAUAGUGUAAAAUAAUUAGACAUUGUCAACCAAUCAACGACGUGUAUUCUGCCACAUCAUACUUUAAUUUUAAAAUCAUGUUGAUAACAUAGUAAAUUAAUAAAUUUCUAUUUGAUAACAGUGUAAAACUGCUUUACACUGUGAGUACACUACCUUUAAUAUCAUAAAAGACACACAAAAUAUUUCACAAGGAUAUACAGAAAACAAUAGAAAGAAAUUUGAAUUUCAUGAAAUGAUUACACAAAAAUAUUUUUUCACUAUUAGUUUUGAAUCAAAAUAGCUGUGAGUUUUGAAUCAAAUUUGUGGCAACCAUUUGUUUUUAUUUUGUAUCUCAAAUUUUAAUUUGAUUUAGUUAUGUAAUGGUUGUGUGAUUUUUUGAAGUUUUUGAAGUAUUUCAUGUGUUGUAACUGGUUACCAUCGGGUGUGUAACCGAUUACAGCUGAAGUUGACAUGCAUUCUAGACAGCUGGAGUAAACUCUAAUUAAUUUUAUAUUUUACACAUUAUAAUAAUUUGUAGAUAAUAUCUGCAUGAUGUUAUAUUUAUUGUGGUCAAAGAAUUUUUAAAAACAAAAACAUGUCCUUUUUCUAUCACAAAAGAUUGACAAGUUAUAUAAAAGACUAACGAAUUUUACUUUUAAUCAUUAAAAACUAUUUUUUAUUACCCCUUAAUGUGUUAAAAAGAAAAAAACACAACACAUUGAUCUACACUUAAAAGACAUUUCUUAAGUGUGCAAAAGGGACAAAAAUAUUGGUCUACUUAAUUGUUAUAAAUAAUUUUUUUAGUAUUGCAUUAACUUUACACACUAUAAAGUAUAAUUGAUCAAAAAAAUAUUCUAUUGAUUAUAUGCAAAAAAAUAAAAAUAAAAGUAUGGCUAACACUCUCAAAUUUGUUUAUAUUAUGUUUUAAUCAUUUCUCUUUCCCUUUUUUCAAAGAAGGCUUGUGGUAAACCAUUUUCUCCUUUAUAAACUUUACACGAUCUUUUAUUUCAUUUUAAUAUUAAUAUUAUUAGUUUAUUUUAUUUUUACAGCAGGGGUUAUUAAAUGUGAAAAGGAGGAAGAUUGUCCAAUUUUAAGUUAUGAGCCUUUAAUUUUUAAGUGCAUUAAGAAUAUAUGUGAAGCAGUUAAAAAGAAUCCAACAGCGUCACUACCAAUAUAAGACUAACAAAAAAAUAUGUCUAGUGUGCCUAAUGCUAGAAUAUUUCAUGAAUUGUCAUUUAAAUUUUAUGCUAAAAACAUCUAAUAAUUAUAUUUUUAUUUGUUUGAUUUGUUAAGUGAUUUCACAUUUCUUAAGAUUAUGAUUUUGUAUUCUAAAAUAUUAUUAAUGAAAAAAUAGGGCAUUGAAGAUUAUUUGUACAGGGAUUCCUAUAUUAUACUUUUUUAACAAGUAAUAUACGUUUACAAUAUAUCUUGUAUGUCCUAGUAUUUUCUAAGUAUUAAUUUAUCAAACGUUAUUUCUGAUCACCUUAAUGGUUAUUCUUAUAUUAAUAUUAUAUGACCUCAAUCGAAUAGAACAAUCCUAGUUGAUUAUUACAGAAAAUAAUGUGACGAAUAAAUUUUUUAAUGAUUAACUGCAAGAAAUAGUUACGUGCAUCUAAGUUUCAAAUUGUAAUAAUUCAGUUGUUGUCAUGGACUGGAGUUCUAAAAUUGAUAUAUUGGCUUCAAAAUACAUUUAGUUCCAAUGAAGAGUUGCAUGUAACUGUAGCUUAGAAAUGAAGGAAAUUAGGGUUAGGGUUAGGGUUGUGUUUCAUUAAAAGUAAUAAUAAUUUGAAAAUAAAUAAAAAAAUCAUGUCAGAUAANUUUAGUUCCAAUGAAGAGUUGCAUGUAACUGUAGCUUAGAAAUGAAGGAAAUUAGGGUUAGGGUUAGGGUUGUGUUUCAUUAAAAGUAAUAAUAAUUUGAAAAUAAAUAAAAAAAUCAUGUCAGAUAAAAUAAUUCCAACAACAUUGUCACAUAUGCGAACUUUAACUUUUUAAUGUAUGAACGUUUUUUCAUAAAAUUUAAUAGAAAUGAUUAAUUUGACUAACAUAACAGAUUUUAAAAGAUUAAAUAUGAACCUUUAUUAAUAAAGGGACAAAAGUGAAACAUAAAUUAAAUUAAAGGACUAAAUAAUAUAUUAAACUUAUUCAAAACUAUAUCUAACAAAAGAAAAAAAACAACGUAAAAAGAUAGAACUAUAAUAAUGAAAACAUCAAUUUUCAUUCAUAUUGCAUCUAAAAGAACAAUUAAUCUUUGAUAAACCACAUAAUAUAACCAUGAAUGUGUUCUUUGGUGUGUAAAAUUAGAGAUAAAAAUUAAUUUGCAAAUUUAAUCCCACCAAAAUGUAAACAAAUUAUGUAAGUAUAAAAAUAGUGGGAUGGAAGAAAAAACUACCAAAAGAGAAAUCACAAUCUAGAUUUUUCAGAGCGAUCCCCUAAAAAAUAUUUGAAAGAUUAGAAGUGAAUGUUCUACUCCAUAAAUAAGUGAACAUAUUCAAAUGAUCUAGAACAUAUGAGGUUAAAAGAGAAUCCUUAAUGCCAAGUCAAUCAUUUAAUCAGACAUUCAUGCUUGAAUGUAGGGUUUGCUUAAUGUAGCAUAUUUGAAUCUGAUUCAUGUGCGUUUUAAUAACAGUUAUUUAUACAAACUUGAGAUCAUUCUAUAUUAAUGUUUAAGAAGUAUUUUAAUACUUUUUAAAAAUUAAUUCACUUAGAACACAAACUAAUAAGCAAUAAGAUCAUAAUCUUAAUUCUAAUUAUAAAUAAAAUGUCUAUCAUCUUUAAAUUGUAAAAAUUAGAAUUUGUCUCAUCGUCAUUGACAAGCAUUCAACAUUUUACAUUUUGUUUUUUUAACUCGAAAAAGUUUUAUUUUAUGAUUUUUUUUAUUUCAAUAAAAAAUACUAUGAAUUCAUUUGUUUGACUAAGAGCUUGAUAUCCAUUUUGAUUGAAGAAAAUGUUAAAAACCAUUACUAUUUAAUUGAAUUAAACUCAACCAAAUCAUUAUUAAUAGAUAAAACUCAAUCAAAUUUUUUUUUAUAGAGGGAAGUGAGUCAUUACUAUCAAAUUAAAAAACAUCCAAUCUUUCUAUGAGUUGCACUCAACCAUUUGGUUUAUAAUAGAACCUUAUUGAAAAGCAUACAACCUUUCUCAUAUUUGAACUCUUUGUGAAUGUUGGUGCACAAGGUGAAAAAGAACGAAGAUGGAAGAAGAGAGAAAAAAAAUAACAAACUUCUAAUACUCUCCUAAAACGGUCACAGCAAAAUAGUUGCACAAUACAAACUUGUGUGGUCAGGUUGUCUAGUCGUGUAUAUAUACUAAUAGUAUAAGUGACUUAUUAUCCUGUACAGUUUAUGUAGCACUAUGAGUAUCUAUUAUUAGACAGAGUAUUGUUGAGCCCACUAUAUAUAAUGUGGUGUAUAUAUAAUGUGAUAGUAGAUAGGAUUGAAUUUAUAUAUUAUAUAAUAUGAGUGCAGAUAUAUAUAUAUAUAUGCUGACAGUAGAGCAUUAUGAAAUAUGAUAGAUAUCUAUUAUACUAUAUACAUAUAUAUAUAACGUAAUACUACUUAUAUAUAUAUACUAGUAAUAAUAGUAGUUAUAUAGCUAUAAUAUAAUAUAAGCACUUAAUAUUAUAUAUAUAUAUCAUAUAAUAUAUUAUUAAUAUAUAUAUAUAUAUAUAUAUAUAUGUGUGUGUGUGUAUAGUAUCACUAUUAUUGAUAUAUAUAUAUAAUAAUAUAUAUAUAUAUAUAUAUCCAGAUAGGUAUAGAUAUAAUUUAUAGCUAGUAUAUUGGUUAGUAGUAUUAUAGCCAGGUAUUAUCUAUCCAAUAUAGUAUAUAUAUGUGUGGUGUGUAUAUAUAUGUGUUGUGUGGUGUGUGUGUGGUGUGUCUAUAUAAUAUAAUAACAGCUUCAAAGAGAUUUUUCCUUCAUGGUAACUGAAAAAACCUUUCUCACAUUAAUUGACCCUCACACUCAUCAGAUUGCUUUUACUAUUUCUCUAGGAACAGUACCACCAUUCUGAAUCAAUGUUGGCUUUACCUUAUUCAUAACUAUUCUACAUUCCCAUACCUUCAGCAUUGAGGUAUUUAUCAUCAACACAUAUGAUCUCUUCCUCUACAAUGAGUCAAAUUAAACCAGCCAUUUCUUAUUUCCGUAAGAUGAUUUGAGCAAAAGUAUCCAUAUACCACAGUCUGCAAAUUACACUCAUCAGAUUCAAAAGCCAUUAAUAGCCCCAAUUAUCAUCAGAAUCUCUCUAGCUAUAUUUGCUUCUUCUAACUCUCUCUUACCUUGUUUGACCAACAGUCCUUAAAAAAAUGCCAAACAUAUUACUACAGUAGCAUUGAACCAUUCUCUUGUCAAUAUUUUCCCUUUUUUUUUUUUGAGUUAUUUUCAUCAUAAUUGGAGGCUUUUGAAUCCUGAGACCUACCAUGUCCUUUCUUUGCCUCUGACAAAGGCUACUUCUGGUCCUUUCUGACAAAAGAAGCUUUUAGAGUCUGCUCUACUCUCUCUCAGAUUUCUUUUAGUCAGACAACUCUUGCGCCUCUAGACUGGUUUGUAACUCUUCUAUUCUCAUGGUUUGACUCUCAUAGGUAGCUCUUCAGAAUGUUCAAUUGCUACAAUGAUGUAAUCAAACUAGAUAAGAGAUCUAGAAGUAACUUCCUCAAUGAUGCUUCCUCCAAGAGAGUUCUCCAUAACAACUUUAUUCUCAUUUGUGAUCGAGAAUCACUCUGAUAUUAGUCGGGUACGCUUCUCAUUGUUCUUCAUUUGAUAUUCUAAUAUUACUUACCAUAAAGAUUGAAGCUCCACCUUCUUCCUGAUAAUCAACCUCGUAGCAGCACGUACCCGUGGUUCCCCGCGGCCUUACCAUCGUUGUUGAAUCAUCGAUUUUCUCAAAACAUAUUCAUAGCCCACACAUAUGAUGGAUAUAGAACAAAACCCUUAUGAUCCUUCUUCCUUUAGAUCAGACUGAGCAUGUUCUCUAUGCAGUCCAUUUUCUAUUUUCCGGAAGUGCAACCUGCACGUAAAUCGUCAGUGACGUGAUCAAGACAUCUUGAGCACCAAACACAGCACAUAAUAAUAUAUAUAAUAUAUAGAUUAAUAUAUAGAUAUAAUAGUGGUUGUUGAGGAAAUGUAUAAGUGUGACGUCAGUAUGGAUAAAUAAUUCUCACAUUGUUGAAAUAUGGAGACACCUUGAGCAUUUGAUAAGUGAGAGAAUCUAUUGCAUUUCCCUAUGCAUCCAUUGCCUUUCCGGAAGUGCAACCUGACGUAAUCGUCAUUGACUGGGAAUCAAGCAAUCUGAGCACCAAACAAUAUAUAAUAUAUAAUAUAUAUAUAGUAUAUAUAUAAUAUUAUAUAUAAUUAUAAUUAUAUAUAUAUAUAUAUAGUAUAUAAUAGUGUUGUGAGAUGAUGUAUGAAAGUGUGAUAGUAUGGAUACUAAUGUCACAUUGUUAGAAAUAGGCAGACUUGAGCAUUUAGUAAGUGCAGAGGAAUCUAUUGCAUUUCUCUAUGCAUCCAUUGCAUUUUCCCGAAGUAUGCCACUGAAACGUAAUCGUCAUUCGACGUGAAUCAAGAACAUCUUGACACCAAACAUAUAUAUAUAUAUAUAUAUAUAUGUAUAACUAUAUAUAUAUAUAUAUAUAUAUAUAGAUAUAUAUAUAAUAUAUAUAUAAUAUAUAUAUAUUGUUCGCCUGUGUAUAUAUAAUAUAUAUUAAUAUAUAAUCUAAUAUAAUAUAUAUCAUGAAUAGUGUUGUUGAGAAUGUAUCAAGUGUGAGUAUAGUUAUGAUAAAAUCUCACAUUGGAUUGGAAAUAUGGAGACUUGAGCAUUUAUUAAGCUGAGAGAAUCUUUGCAUUUCUCCUAUGCAUCCAUUGCAUUCCAGAAUGCAACCUGAACGUAAUCUGUGCAUUGACGUGAUCAAGAACAUGCUUGAGGACCAAAACAUAAUAUAUAUAUAUAAUAUAUAUAUAUAUUAUAUAUAUAAUAAUAUGUAUAUAUAUAAUUAUAUAUCAGUAUAUAUAUAUAUAUUAUAAUAGUGUUGUUGAGAAUGUAUCAAGUGUGAGUAGUAUGGAUAAUAAUCUCACAUUGGUUGGAAAUAUGGAGACUUGAGCAUUUAUAAGUGAGAGAAUCUACCCACUUAUCACCUUCAGGUUUUAAGUGAAUAUAUGGUGUGUCUCUCACAAAGGUGUUGCUAUAAAAUAAAGAAGUUUCACAAUGUUCAAUGCUCCCUAGUGAAAAACUCCCCCAACAAAUGGUAUCAUGAGCCUUUGGUUCGAGAAAGGGACGGGCUUACUUGUAUCGAAAGUCAAACAGCGCCAAUGUGGUGAAUAAGAAACAUUUUUUUGAAGAGUGUCAACAGCGCCAGUAUGGUGAAUAAGAAACGUUUCGUGCGGUACGAAAGUUUGUGAAAGUAAGAAUAACUUUAACUUGAGGGAGAUCAUUGUAGAUUGACAGCACCCGUGUGGUGAAUAAGAAACGUUUCGUGCGAUACAAGAGUUUGUGGAAGUAAGAAUAAAUUUUACUUGAGGAAGAUAAUUGUAGACUCACACUUGAGGGGGACUGUUGAGAUCAGAGUCUAUAAUAUUCCUAGAGCCUGGAUUUCCACAAGAGUCGGAAUCAGCAUCAAAAUCUAGAUCAAAAUCAGAUUCACCUUCAGAGUCAGACUCAUCUUCAGAGUCACCUUCAGAAUCAUUUUCUGAUUCUGACUCAUCUUCAGAACGUUCAUAUUCUGAAGUAUCUUCAUAGGUUAACUCUACACCAGAGUUGCAUUGAGAUUUACUCCAAUCCCACGCUUUUGAUUCCUUCACAAUGACAUCUAUGAUGAAUUCAACCUUGUUAGUGACAGGACAAUAAAGCUUAUAUGCACAUGUAUUGUGGUACCCUACAAAUAACAUAACUCUGUUUCUAUUAUCUAACUUCCUUCUCUUAGCAUCUGGAACAUGUUUGUAACAAACAUAACCAAACACCUUCAGAUGGCUCACACUUUUCUACUUUUCUUAUCUCCAGUCCACUUCUCUAAUUGAACAAUUUCCUCCAACUUUUUCGUUGACACUUGUUGAGCACAUAUGUUGCAGUGGCAAUAGCUUUUUCCCACAAGGUUAAGUAGUUUCUUCUCUUCCAGGCAUGCUACUUGUCAUAUCAAGAAAAGUUCGAUUUCUUUCUUUCAGCAAGACCAUGUGUUAAGGAAUGUAUUGAAGAAUCACCCCAUACUCAAUUUCGUUCUCCUCACAAACUUUUUCAAACUUGUAGAGUUAUACUCACCUUCACCUCCGUUCUGAAAAUCUUCAUCUUCUGACCACACUGAUUCUCAGCCUUUAUUCUGAAUUUCUUAAAAUUAGAAAACACCUUGUGCUUGAACUUUAUAAGGGAUACCCAUGUCAUUCUUUGUGAAGUCAUCAACAAAUGAAUUAAAGUUUUAUUCCCUCCAAGUGAAGAUAACUGGAAAAUGGAUCCACACACAUUAGAAUUCACCACACCUAGGAGCAUGAUUUGGCUCUUGGAGGCAUUUCAGAUGGCAAAUGGAAAGUCUUGGUUGGCUUUUCCCUUAAUUUUCAUUAACCCCCCCCCAAAACAAAAAACCAAUUUUUUGCGGCAUUUUGGGGGGGGGAAAAACUUUUCGGCUUUGGCCCUUUCUUAAUUAUCUCUCUCNUAAGGUAGUUUCUUCUCUUCCAGCAUGCUACUUGUCAUAUCAAGAAAAGUUCGAUUUCUUCUUUCAGCAAGACCAUUGUGUUAAGGAAUGUAUUGAAGAAUCACCCCAUACUCAAUUUCGUUCUCCUCACAUAACUUUUUCAACUCUGUAGAGUUAUACUCACCUUCACCAUCCGUUCUGAAAAUCUUCAUCUUCUGACCACACUGAUUCUCAGCCUUUAUUCUGAAUUUCUUAAAUUUAGAAAACACCUUGUGCUUGAACUUUAUAAGGGAUACCCAUGUCAUUCUUGUGAAGUCAUCAACAAAUGACAUAAAGUAUUUAUUCCCUCCAAGUGAAGAUACUGGAAAUGGUCCACACACAUUAGAAUUCACCACACCUAGAGCAUGAUUUGCUCUUGGAGGCAUUUCAGAUGCAAAUGGAAGUCUUGGUUGCUUCCCUAUCAUACACACAUUGCAUGACUUCUCUGGCUUCUUAAUUGCAGGAAUUCCAUCUACCAGCUUCUUUGAAUUCAGAUGCCAUAAGCUUCUGAAGUUCAAAUAACCAAAUCUUUUAUGCCAUAACUCAUUUUCCUUCACAACACUUGUUGCACUAAGGCAUUCAGAAUCUGCAGUUUUAACAUUCACUUUGAAUGAUCUAUUCCUCCCCUGUCCUGACUUCAUAACCAGCUUCUGAUUACAGUCAUACAACUUCAAAAGAUUUUCCUUCAUGGUAACUGAAAAACCUUUCUCAAUUAAUUGACCCACACUCAUCAAAUUGCUUUUCAUUCCAGGAACAUACCACACAUUCUGAAUCAAUGUUGCUUUACCGUUAUUCAUAACUAUUCUAACAUUUCCCAUACCUUCAGCAUUGAGGUAUUUAUCAUCAACACAUAUGAUCUCUGUCCUCUUACAUGAGUCAAAUUAAACCAGCCAUUUCUUAUUUCCAGUAAGAUGAUUUGAGCAAACAGUAUCCAUAUACCACCAGUCUGCCAAUUACACGUCAUCAGAUUCAAAAGCCAUUAAUAGCCCAAAUUCAUCAUCAGAAUCUCUUCUAGCUAUAUUUGCUUCUUCUAACUUCCUUACCUUGUUUGACCAACAGUCCUUAAAAAAAUGGCCAAACAUAUUACUACAGUAGCAUUGAACCAUUCUCUUGUCAAUAUUUUCCCUUCCUUUUUGAUGUUUAUUUUCAUCAUAAUUGGAGGCUUUUGAUACAGUCCUUAAAAAAAUGGCCAAACAUAUUACUACAGUAGCAUUGAACCAUUCUCUUGUCAAUAUUUUCCCUUCCUUUUUGAUGUUUAUUUUCAUCAUAAUUGGAGGCUUUUGAAUCCUGAGACCUACCAUGUCUUUUCUUUGCCUCUGACAAAGGCUACUUCUGGUCCUUCUUGACAAAAGAAGCUUUUAGAGUCUGCUCUACCUCUCUCUCAGAGAUUCUUUUAGUCAGACGCAACUCUUGCGCCUCUAGAUUGGUUUGUAACUCUUCUAUUCUCAUGGUUUGUAACUCUUCUAUUCUCAUGGUGAGACACCUCUAUCAUGUUCAAAAGAGGUCCAUUUGUCAUUUCAAACAUCUAUCUUGAAUAUUUUGAAGUCAGGGCAAAAGUUUCCAAAAAUGGAAAGUGACCUGUAAUUGAAAGUUUCCAAAAAUGGCAAUUUUUAGUCCAUAUUCAACUUGAAUUUUAAACAUCAAAGAGGCUUCAAAUGGACUUUUGGUGAACAUGAAAGUUGAAGAUCUUUCUCUCCUCUUUUCAAAAAGUCCUAUUUCAUGAUCAUCUGAUGAAUGGUUUAGAAGUUAUGGCCAAAUGAUCACAAAGUAUGCAUGGAAGUUCAACAUGGCAUAACUUUUGAUCCAAAACUCCAAAUUGGUCCACUCUUUUUGCAAAAUGCUUGUCUUGACCAAUACUUUCCAAAUCAACCAUUGCAUUGCAUGAAAGAAGCUCACUACAUGAUCAAGUGUCCAUACAUGUGCAUUUUGGAGGAAAAUUUAAUAAUUCAAAUUUGGUUGAUGCUACCAACAAAAUACCACUUCCAUGAUGUUUGUUGGUUGAUUUUAAGUGAGAUUUAAGCCAUUGCUUGCACUGUUCACGUACACAUGGCCAUGCAUAACCUCAUUUUCAUUUUUGCACUUCACUUCAAUUUUCCCUAAUCAUAUUUAGCCAAGGCUUAAGUGGGAUUAACAAAGUGAUUAGCACAUCAUAUAUAAGCCUAAUCAUAACAGAAUUUGCCAUAAACUAACUUUUGAGAUCUAGAAUUUUCAUUUCCCUCCAAUUUCUCUCUCUCCUUGAAUUUCAAAUUUCUUUACACAACUCUUCAAGAUUGUUGUAGAUUCAUCAUCCUCAUGGAAUUCUGAGCAAGGAUCAACCAUUAUUCGUGGCAAUUGAGCAAGAUUUGGAGCUAUUCAAGUGUAUGAACAUGUUGACAGAACUUGAAAUUUGAGCAAGAUCCAAGAGCUUUCAACCACUAUUUCUUGCGCCAAGCUUCAUAGGAGGAUUAUUGGAGCAUAUCUGGAGAGUUUAAGCACAUGAACACACGAUUUCCAUCACUGUCAUUUCAAGUAGGUGCAAUUUUCGUCCUCUCUUUUUGCAAUUUUAUGUACAUAAUCAUGUAGAUCUUCCAUUGCUGAGCUUGCUGAUGUAAUUAGUUUUGAAAAUGAGCAAGAAAUGAACAUGUAUGAGUGAAUUAAAGUUUGGAUGUUCAAUGUGUUUUGCUUCGAUCCAUGAGAUAUAGGAAGAAUUAGGUUAAACUAGCAUGAUAUUUGAGAUCUACAUGGAAAAACCUUUCAAUCCAUAUAAAUUUCAUCAAAUUCUGGAAAUUUUCGUGGCGGAGCUCCGCCUGUCUCGCCGGAGAAGACGGUUGCUCCGCCGUCUGCAACUGUGCGCUAGGGUUUGCCUGGCUGUUGAUCAAAACGCAGCGUUUCAUGCUACUUAUGAACUGUCCAGGCGUGGGUUCGAUACCUCGCUCGUGAUAUUUCUGAAUUUUAUUUUUGAGACGCUAGUUAACCUAGGGGGCGUGCGUUCGAAUCCAGGCAUUUGCAUUUUUUCUGAAUUAAUUUUGAGCGCUCAUGGACCUGGUACGCCUGAGUUCGAUUCCUGGCAAUGUGUUGUGAAUUUAUUUUUUGAGCGCCUUUGCCAACCUUGUGAGCGUGGGUUCAAGUCCUGAUUGAUGCACUAUGCUGAUUUUCAUUUUUGAUUUUCAUUUUCCAUAUUUCUUUCAUUAUUUCAAAUAUUUUCUCCAACUUUGAAAAAUCAUAAAAAAUAGUAGGUUAAUCCAAAUUGAUCCAAGUUUUUUUUCACAUGUUUGUUUUAAUCUCUAGAUUUUUAUAGCAUUUAUAUCAUGAUUUUUGUGUUUCUGGAUUUUUAAUUGUGAUUGGUUGUUUGAACAUGUUGUCAAAAUGAUAUGCUACAUUCAUUUGCUUGUGAAAUGCUCAUAGUUGAACCAAUUGGUCUGAAAUUUGGUGUGCUCAAUCUCCUCUCAUGAUAUGAUAUUUGAGCUUUGAUUUGAGAUUUUUAUCAUGUUCUAUCACUGUUUUGGACACAUGAACAUAUGUUGUGACAUUUGGUGUAACAUUUUGUGCCUUGCAUUUAUGCAUUUUCAUUCAUGAACCAUCUGAGCUCUUUUGAAUUUAAUUUUUUGCAUUAUGUUUGAUUUUAACAUGAAGUGCUUGGAUAAAAAAUUUCAUGAUCAUUGGAUACAUUUCUAUUUUAAUUUGGACUUUAUAAUUUGAUUGUCCAUUUUGGUGCUCAUUUGUUGGUCUUUGUUUUACAUGAAUCAUUUGAUGGCUUUGCCUUAUGAAUUGGUUUUGGUCCUUUUGAGGACACUUUCUUGUUUGAUUGAAUGUGCUUCAUGUGAAAUAUUGACUUCUGUUUUGGUCAUUUGACUUGAUUUUGAACCUAGUCUUUGAACUAGUGAUUUGUAUGCAUAGUAAUUGUGCUUUGUGUUUCAGGUUUGAGCAUUUGGCACUAAUGGUUGGUUUGGUCUCACUAUUUGAGAUGCAAGUUGCUUUGAUCACUAACUCUUAUUGUCUUAUAGGUCAGUUGAUGUGAUGAAUUCACUUGAGUGCUUGCACUUAUGACUUGCAUUGUUUAGAUAUGGGAUAGUUUCACUAUGUGUUUUCUGAUUGGUUGUCUGAGAUACUAACUGGUUAGCUUUUGUACAGGUACAUUAGUCGCUUUCUAGCUAGCUUUUGCUUUGCUUUGGAGUGUGGUUGAUACACCACUGAGGUAGUUUAGCCCCUUCUCACUCCAUGUAGUCUGGAAGCCAUGUCAUUUUUUUUGGCAGGCAUUUGGCUAAAAUCCUCCUUAAGAGGCAAUGUUUGUGUAUGUUUAUAUUUGUGCCAAAGACCUCUAAAUGAGGCAUGUUGCUUGUUAAGUCCUCCUAUGUGAAGAGGCAAUUGACAGAUAGAAGGGACUAGUAGCCAGUCCCCUGUUAUUCGUUGAGUCGUUCGUUAUGCUCGCACUACGUGCUGAUGCUCUUGAACAAUGUACCCAAGAUCCUUGUAUAGAGUCAGUCAAGUGGAAUAGGGUCCCUCUUUCUGGACCCCCACACUUUCUUUGAUUUGAGCUCACCCAGGCAAGGGUUAAGAGCAUGAGGUCUAAUCCUCAUUUCCUUUCAUCAGUUUCACCCUAACUCUCAAUGUUAGUGGUUAAGAGCUUCAGCAUACCCCUACAAUUUUGGCUUGCUUGUCGAGGUUGAUAUGACCCCUCUUGACUAAAGCCCAACCAUUUGUCUGAGCCUCUUGUUUGUAUAUAGAGUGUGAUGAUUACUUUUGAUAUGUUUAUCUGCUUUCCACUUCUCAUCUCCUUUUCUGUAGGAGUCGUACGUUUAACUUUCGAGGAAGUUGAACGUAUGUAGAGAUAGACUUGAGUUGACUUACUUCCUGUGUGAGUCAAACUCUUGAUUAGAGACCUUAACCUAGGGAUUGGUUUGCAUGACAACUAUUAGGCUCGAGUCAGUCUCCCUUUUAGUUUGUUAUUCCCCUGGUCUCUGGUUAGGAGAGAGUUUCUCCCCUAUUAAGGGGAACUACGUCACCUUGAUUCUCAUACCAGAUGAGAUACGUAGGCAGGAGGUCGAGUGAGAUCUCUCCGGGCUCCUUUUUUUUGUUUCUUUUGACGUCUCAGCGUCUCUUUUGGUUUGUGCAACUAUUAGGCCCGAGUUCCAGACUCCCUAUUAGUUCACCCUUUUCUUUUUGACCUCUCAGCGUCCAACCCUUUUCCUUUUGACGUCUCAGCGUCCAACCCUUUUUGCUUCUCUUGACGUCUCAGCGUCCAACCCUUUUUGCUUCUCUUGACGUCUCGGCGUCCAACCUUUUUGCUUCUCUUGACGUCUCAGCGUCCAACCUUUUUGUUUCUUUUGACGUCUCAGCGUCUCUUUUUGUUUGCGUGACAUCUAUUAGGCACGAGUUCCAGACUCCCUAUUAGUUUGUCAAUCUGAUAACCUUUUUCUUUGGUGUUCGCUGGUUAACGAUUGUUUCUUGUUUGGAGUCGGAUAUAAGUCCAUCUAUUGGCAUUCUGUUUCCUGUUUGUGUUUGUUUGUUUGGAGUCGGAUGUAAGUCCAUCUAUUGGCAUUCUGUUUCAUUUUUCUUCGUUGAUCGCUGGUUAGCGAUUGUUACUUGUUUGGAGUCGGAUGUAAGUCCAUGUAUUGGCAUUCUGUUUCCUGUUUGUUUUGAGGAGUUAGAUAUAAGUCCAUCUAUUGGCAUUUUGUUUCCUUGUUGAGCUUUUCUUUUGACGUCUCAGCGUCUCUUUUCGGUGUUUUAUUUCGGCGUGCGUUAGCCGAACUACGAGUGUUCUGAUUCUUUCUCUGGAUAGAGAAGAUACGUAGGCAUAGGAUGUGAUGUCCUAGCGAGCAUGUUCCCCAUUUCCCCGAACUACGUCGACUCUGAUGUUUGUUUCUGACAAACUACGUAGGCCCAGGAUGCGACAUCCUGCCGAGUCCCCUUCCUCCAUCUUCUUUCACCUGUUUUAUUAUUCUAGUGUGUGCAUUCUCUUUGAGCAGUUAUUCAGCAACCUUUUCCUAUUCUUUUGAGCGUGGAUCCCGUCGAGUACGGCGGACGUGAGGGGUGCUAAUACCUUCCCCUUGCGUAAUCGACUCCCGUGCCUUUCAAUCUCUGGUCGUAAGACCGUUCCUUUCCCUUUUCUUAGGUUGGUCCAGCGUUUCCUUUCUGUCAUAGGAUGAAUAGCGCCGGUGGCGGCUCUGUGAAACUGUUUUUUUCCGCCGGUUGUUUUUCGCGUUGCGACAGCUGGCGACUCUGCUGGGGACUGAAGUUGACCUCUUGCUGGUCCAUCUUCCCUAAACGAGUCAAUCCUGGCGCUCUCUAGGAUAGUUUUGGUUGCUUUUACUGCUUAUUUAUUGCAUUUAUGAUUAUUAUACUGUGAUUGUAUAUAUUUGCAUAUAUGUUUGCAUGCAUCAUAUUAUUACUGUGCUGGAUUCUGGACAGGUUGGUUCCUCUGAUUUGGGGUGGGUGUUCUGAGUGAGGCUAAAACCCAGGCCCGAGUAUACAUCUAGGAUUAGCGUGGUCUCACGUUUCCUCACAUGUUGGAUUAACAUUAUUGUUGCGACGUGACAUACCACAGCCGGACGAGGUUCUUCUGAGAGAGCUUUUCCUUGUGGAGUUUCCACUAUGUUUGGGUUAUCUCUCUUUGGAGCUGUUGACUUCGGUGACCGUUCUUUCCCGGAUCUUUGGUUUAGAUGAUCUUAUGAGAGUUGCACGGCACACCCGAAAGGGCAAACCCGUUGAGUAUCUUGUCCGAUUGUCGAGACCAUUAUCCGCCUUAGGUUGACCUUAUUAGAAUUCACCUGUGAGGGGAGGGUUUGAUUCCUACAGAUGCAGAUUCUGUUGGUGACUAUUCGAUGGCGACUUUGGUUCAGUUGGAUUUUUGGAUAUUUAUUUCUGACACGCCGGAGUUCUGUCCGUGGUAUUUAUCAGCGGGUUCCGUUUAUUUCGGAUUCCCCGGGUUGGAUUGGAGGUUACUUGUUCAGAGGAUCUUGUUGUUAUCUGCUCAGAGGAUUUUCUGUGAUGAUGGUGACGUAUCCCCCGGUUCCGUUUAUUUCGGAACUCCCAAGUUGGAUUUGUGGUUACUCGGUCCCUCAGAUGGUUGUGAUCAGUUCAGAGACCGGAAUCCAGCACAGUUGAUGUUCAGAUGACUUGGAGGAUGGCACUAUGCAUUGCAUUCAUGCAUCUGCAUCAUUCCCAUUUUGCAUUUAUCCGCAUCUAAUUCAUGUUUAUCCAUAUGCAAGGUACAUUCUUGAUUGGGAUCCUGGUUGAGAGACAUUCUUAUUCCCGAUAUGAGGACCGACUUCAAGGCUGAUGUUGUAUACAGUUUCCUCAAUCCAGAGAUCAGCGUGCUAAAGGGUAUGACAGCAUUGAUUACGCCUGACCAUGUGGGGAUGUUCCGUGAGGCUUAUGGUGGUAUUCUGAAGAUGGUUUUCAGGCUCAGAGAUGGGGGUAGGGACGCCAUCCAUACUCUUCUCCAGUUUUAUGAUUCGGGUUUGAGAUGUUUCGUCUUCCCGGAUUACUUGUUGGGACCUUUGAUGGAGGACUAUGCCAGUAUCUUGGGUAUUCCAGUCAGAAACCAAAUUCCUUUCUAUGCUACUAAGGAAGAACCUGAUGUUGGUGAGAUCUCUCGUGCUCUUUAUUUGAGCCCCAAAGUGACUAAGGGGGGUCUGAAGGAGAAGGGAAAGUUGCCCGGUUUUCAUUUGAGUUUCUUGGAGGCCAAAGCCAAGGAGCAUGCUGUUUUGGGUGAUUGGAAGACUGUCUGUGCUCUGCUUGCUGUAAGCAUUUAUGGAAUCAUCUUGUUCCCUAAUCAGAAGAACUUUGUGGACAUUAAUGCCAUCCGGGUGUUUGCUCAGAGGAAUCCUAGUCCUACCUUGGUUGGGGAUGUGUAUUACUCGGUCCAUAAUCGGAACGAGAAGCGACGUGGGGGAUUGGUUAGAUGUUGUGAUCAACUGUUAUAUAAAUGGUUCAUGGGAUAUUUGCCUUCCAGGGGUGCCUUUGUUCUUCUUGACCAUACAGUUAAUUGGGCAACCAAGUUGAUGGGUUUGAGAGCCAAGGACAUGGUUUGGACUCACAUUGAUGAGGCUGGACAAGACUUUAUUUGCAGUUGUGGAAGUUUUCCCAAUGUACCUCUUAUGGGAGUUCAAGGUUGCAUUAAUUACAACCCGACGCUUCUUAAGAGACAAUUGGGAUUUGCUAUGGAGGUUCCUCCUCUCGAGUGUGAGAUUCAGGAGUCUUGUUGCUUCCUGGUUGAGGGUAACCAGUCAUCGUUGGAGCUAGUGUCUGAGGCGUGGCGCGACAUUCACAGGAAAGGCAAGGUUCCUUUUGGUAGAGUUAAUAACAAGUCUUUUCCUCCAUUUGAUGAUUGGCUCGAAAAGAGGGUUGAGCUCACUCGUCUGCCAUUUCCCGUGGGUGAUCUUUGGUACCCGGUGAUUGAGGAGCCAUGUUCUUCUGUCAGUAUGGAAGAGUUCCUGGAGAUGAAAAGGGAGAGGGAUCAGCUGCAAGCAGAGAAGACUGAGUUGGAGAUGAGUGUUGCUAGAAUCCAAAUGGCUAAUCAGGAAAUCAAGAGGGAAACAGAUGACCAGGCUAAGAGACAUGCUCUUGUGGUGAAGCGUUUUGAGAUAGACACCGCCUGAGCACGACCACCCCAAGGAGAAGUUGGCCGGAGCGUUGAAAGUCAUUGAAGAUGAGAAGAGGAGGCAAAUCCUUGUGAAGACUCAGAGGGAAGCUAGAGCCAAAGCCCUUACCGUCGAGUGGGAAGCAAAGCUGAAAGUUAAGGAAGAAGAGAGCGUGAAGAUCAUGGCUGAGAGAGAUCAUUAUCUUGCGAAAAGGGACCAUUAUUUCUGACAGAUGAAGAUUCACCAGAAAGUGGUGGGAAGACUUCAGCUGGAGAAUACUGAGCUCAGGUUCGCUAUGAAGUUUACCAGGAUGGUUGAUGAUGCAGAGCCUUCUGUGGGGCCUUCUUCAGAUUAGACUUUUAUGGAAGUUGUUAUCAUGUAUUGGAUUACUGUCAGGCAUGUUGACAGAAUUCACUUAUUUGUAUUUCUUUCUGAUUCUGGAGGAUUAUAAAAUUGAUUUGUAUCAAACUUGAUGUAUGAUUCUCGCAUGUGUAGUGCACUUUUGAUAUAUAGUGGUUAUUAUCAUUCAGUGAUUGAUCUUCGAGCUUUAUUUGCUUUUCUGUGUACACUCACAUAGCACACACAUGGUCGGGUGAUAUCUUUGCUAAAUCAUAAUUCUCUGUUCUGUAUGGCAAAACCAGAUGAUUGAUGCCAGAAUGUCGCUGUCGGAUUAUUAUCCGUCUCAAUGAAACCAGGAUCGAAAGACAGAGUGUCCCUCAUAUGGAUAAACAUUGCACUCAUGCAUGAAUCAUAAUAACUUGUCUUCUAUUUUGCAGGUGUCGGUUUCUAACGUGUUUAAAUGUUUCAGGCAUCAUUGCUCGCGCACGUAGAAUCAUUCCCUUGCACGUAGCUCGUCCGCACAGAUACGCUACAAGGCGCAACAAAUCCAAACUGAUGGAUCCACCCAACGCAGACAUUCUCGAGUUGAAAGAGAAGAUGGGAGAGUUGAUCCACGUCAUGCAAGGGUUCGCCUUGGGGCAGAAAGCACUUGUUGAGAAGGUGGAGAAGCUUGAGUGGGUUUCGGCUGCCAAUAGUGGCAAUAAUCAAGAAGGUGUUUCCAACAAUGGUCUUGGUGGUUCUAGGGAUGAUGGUGAUCUCAGAAAGAAGGCAACUACUGCUGGUGUAGUGAUCAACAAUGGUGGAGGUUUUGGUUUUGCUGCAGGCGGUGGACUAGGUCCGGUGGGCAAUACUUUGAAGGAUAAUCAGUUUCCUCCUUUCUUUGGGGCUGAGGAGGAUAAAGAAGAAGACCAGUUCUCCGUGCUGAACGAGCAGUUUGGUCAGUACGGUGUUUAACCACCAAGCAAGGAGAUUCAGGUACUAGCCGAGAAGAUCAGGGCCCUGGAAAGCUAUGCUACUCCUGGGGUCAUCAAUAUGACAAACAUGGGGCUGGUUGAGGGGAUUGUGAUCCCACAGAAGUUUAAAGCGCCCGCGUUUGAUAAAUACAAUGGGAGUUCUUGCCCGAAAACUCAUCUCCAGGCCUUUGUCCGAAAGAUAUCUGCCUAUACAAUUGACCAGAAGCUUUGGAUGUACUUCUUCCCGGAUAGCUUAUCUGGUGGGUCUCUUGAGUGGUAUACCAAGUUGAGAUCAUUGGAUAUCAAGAGCUGGAAGGAUUUGGGAGAUGCUUUCUUUAAACAGUACGAAUUCAAUGCUGACAUGGCUCCUAGUCGUACCCAAUUACAGGGUAUGCCUCAGAAGCCAAAUGAAGGGUUUAAAGAGUAUGCACAAAGAUGGAGAGAGUUGGCUUCCAGAGUUCAGCCACCGUUGGUGGAUCGAGAGAUGUCUGAUCUGUUCAUGGGUACCCUGCAGGGGACUUUCGCUGAGAGAAUGGUGGGUUGUCCCAUCACCGGUUUUACAGAUAUACUGGUGGCUGGCGAGAGGAUAGAAAGCUGGCUAAAGAUGGGGAAGAUACAGGGAAAUGCUUCGUCGUUUGGAUUGAAGAAGCCAUUCGGUAAUGGUCAGCGUAAGAAGGAGGGUGACACGAGUGUUGUGUAUGCCCAGAGAGGACAUGGUAGGGAUCGUUACUACCAGCACACUGCUGCGGUAACCAUUCCUGCUGAUAAUCAACCUGCACAACAACAACAACAACAACAACGACAACCAUUUCAACAAAGAACACAACGGGCCGGGUAUCAGGUGAGAGGACGAAUGACUGAUCGCCAGUUUAAUAGGCCACCUAUGACAUAUGCCUUUUUGCUGAAGAAGUUGAAAGAUCUGGGGUUGGUUCAGCUGAGAACAUUGGCUCCGGUGAGACCAGAUUUGAGGCCCGCCAGUUAUGAUGAGAAUGCCAAGUGUGAAUUUCAUUCUGGUGCCCCUGGACACAAUGUUGAGAAUUGUAAAGCUUUCAAACAUGUUGUUCAGGAUCUGGUGGACUCCAAGGCCAUCAAUUUUGCACCAUCGCUGAAUGUUAAUGCUAAUCCCAUGCCGACGUAUGGUCAGAUGGGAGUGAAUGCCAUUCCGGAGGAUAAGAGGAAAAUUGGGGUGAUGAAAGUGGAUCAGUUGAGGACUCCAUUGGCUGAGGUCAAGAGGAAGUUGUUAGCAAACGGUAUUUUUCCGGGUUGUGAUGAUUAUUGUGCCGCUUGUACCUUUGCUCCAAAUGGAUGUGUAAUGUUGAGGGAGACAGUGCAAAGGAUGAUGGAUGAGGGAAAUCUCAGGUUUGAGAAAGUUGGUUUGGAGAGGGAGGAUGUUUCCACCAUAACCAUUUAUUUUGAUCCUAUCAACUUGUCAGCGUCGGCAGAUGCAGCUCCAGUUACCAUCACGGUACCGGGGCUUAUUCCAUAUGAAAACGACGAUGAUGUGCUGUGGGAUUAUGGUGGGGAGGUAUAUUGUAAUGGAGAGAAGCAGGAGGAUCAGACUGCAGGUGAAACCACCGUUUCAAAGGUGGAUAAUGCCGGACCCAGUGGUUUCACUCGCAGUGGAAGGUUGUUUGCACCUGACUCAUUAAAGAGUGGAGAGGCAGAAAAAGAAAAGAGAGAUAAGGCCGAGGCUUUAGCCAGGGCAAGAGGUAAGCAGGUGGUGAGUGAGGGUACUCCUAUAGCGGCAUCGGCGCCUGUUGGGUCGGAAAAAGAACUUGAUGAUGAAGCCGAGGAGUUUCUGAGGAUUAUCAAGAAAUCUGAAUAUAAACUUGUUAAUCACCUGCAGCAGACUCCGUCCAAGAUUUCAAUCUUAUCUUUGCUGUUGAGCUCCGAAGGGCAUAGAGAGGCUUUGUUGAAAAUAUUGAAGAGAGCCUAUGUCCCGCAGGAAAUAACGGUAAAUCAAUUGGAGACAGUGGUGUCAAAUGUCAAUGCCAGCCAUGGGAUGGGUUUCACUGAUUUGGAUCUUACGGUGGACGGGCGUAAUCAUAAUAAGGCAUUACACAUCUCGAUGGAGUGUAAAGGAGCAGUGCUCUCGCACGUUCUGGUUAAUACCGGCUCGUCACUCAAUGUGUUGCCGAAGAAGGCCCUGGCAAAGCUGGAUUGCGAAGGAGUGGUUUUAAGGCCUACUGACCUGGUGGUUAGAGCAUUUGAUGGCUCUAAGAGGGCUGUGUUUGGGGAAGUGGAGCUCCCUGUGAAGAUCGGGCCCGAGGUGUUCAAGUCUGUGUUUUAUGUCAUGGAUAUUCAGCCGACAUACAGUUGCCUGUUGGGUCGACCAUGGAUACACGCUGCUGGGGCAGUGACUUCGACUUUGCACCAGAAAUUGAAGUAUAUCUGGGACGGGCAGGUCGUAACAGUUUGCGGGGAUGAAGAUAUCUUUGUCAGCCAACUGUCGUCGUUCAAGUACGUAGAAAUGAACGGCGAAAUAUUUGAAACACCAAGUCAGGCAUUUGAAACCGUUAAGGUGGAGAAUGCCAUUUUUGCUAAGGAAGAGAAAAAGGCGUCCAUUUCUUCUUACAAACAGGCCGCGGAAGUGGUGAAGAGUGGGGAAGCCCCGGGUUGGGGAAGAAUGAUAGACAUUGCGGCGAAAGAAGACAGGUUUGGGGUUGGCUAUCAGCCGGGCCAAGGCUCGUCUGGACAGGAUAGAGGACGUCGUCAUCCAUUCACGUUCACCAGCGCUGGAAUGCUGGAUCCAGAUCACGUCUGUGCGGUGGGUGAAGAGAUCGACAGUGACUGCGAGCUUGACUCGUGGAUAAAACCGUGCGUACCAGGGAUGGAGAUCCAGAACUGGAAGGCCGAAAAGAUCAUCACGGUCACUCUACGUGAAGAGUAAUAUUUCUGUUUUUCAAUUCUGUCUGCAUGAAAACCAUAUGUUUUGCCCGAAACGUAAUGGUUCAUUGUAAGGGCCACCUCAUGUGUUUCAUUUUGCAAUAUUUGCAUCAUCAAUAAAAGGAUAUUUUUUCACUAAAAGCGGUGUUCCUUGUUUUUCACUUAUUUUUGCAGUUUAAAACAAAAAUAAAAAUGGAAAUGUUUAUUUUCAUUUUUCUUCCUUUUAAUUUGCUUCGCUCCGGUUCUAAAGCAAUGCAUGAAUCAACAUUCAUGCAGAUGCGAUCAUUCUCCGGAUCUCAUUGAUAACAAUCCUGUUACAUCCUCAUAUGACUUCGACAAUCCAAUCUAUCAUGCCGAAGAAGAAGGCGAAGAAGAUUGUGAACUGCCGAAAGAAUUAGUCAGGUUGUUGAAACAAGAGGAGAAGGUGAUUCAACUGCAUGAGGAGCGAGUUGAGGUUGUUAAUCUGGGCACCAAGGAGGUCAAAAAGGAAGUAAAAGUUGGGGCCGUUUUGGAGGUGAAUGUCAAGAGCAGAAUGGUAGCACUGUUGAAAGAAUAUGUUGAUAUCUUCGCCUGGUCUUAUCAAGAUAUGCCAGGGUUGGAUAUCGAUAUCGUUGUGCACAGGUUGCCAUUGAGAGAAGACUGUCCUCCAGUGAAGCAGAAGUUGCGCAGAACUCGACCCAAGAUGGCCAUGAAAAUCAAAGAGGAAGUACAGAAGCAGUUGGAUGCUGGUUUCCUCGCUGUCACUAAUUAUCCGCCUUGGGUCGCGAAUAUUGUGCCAGUGCCAAAAAAGGAUGGAAAGGUAAGGAUGUGUGUGGACUACCGGGAUCUGAACAGAGCUAGCCCGAAAGAUGAUUUCCCAUUACCUCACAUCGAUGUGUUGGUAGAUAACACAACUCAAUUCUCGGUGUUUUCCUUCAUGGAUGGCUUUUCUGGCUAUAAUCAAAUUAAAAUGUCGCCAGAUGAUAUGGAGAAAACAACAUUCAUCACACCAUGGGGCACUUUUUGUUAUAAGGUGAUGCCAUUGUCGGUAUCAUAAGAAUGUCGAUGCCACGUAUCAAAGAGCUAUGGUGACUUUGUUUCAUGAUAUGAUUCAUCAUGAAAUCGAAAUGCUAUGUUGAUGACAUGAUAGCAAAGUCCCAAACAGAAGAGGGGCAUUUGGUAGACUGGCCCAAGUUGUUUGACCCGGUUGAGACAAUUCAAACUGAGGUUGAAUCCGAAUAAGUGCACUUUCGGAAGUGCGGUCCGGUAAGUUGCUGGGUUUAUUGUGAGUGAAAAAGGAAUCGAGGUUGAUCCUGCAAAGUAAAAGCAAUACAAAAAUCCUGAACCGAGAACAGAAAAAGAGGUUCGUGGUUUCUUAGGUAGAUUGAACUACAUUUCACGGUUCAUAUCUCAUCUAACAGCCACGUGUGAACCCCAUAUUCAAGUUGUUGAGAAAAUCAAACGGUCAGGUGGAAAAAUGAUUGCCAAGCGGCAUUUGAAAAAAUAAAAGAAUAUUUGCAGGAGCCUCCGAUUCUGAUGGCCUCUGUGGAGGGACGACCGUUAAUUCUGUACUUGACAGUACCUCGAGGGUCUAUGGGUGUGUACUGGGGCAGCAUGACGAGUCUGGUCGAAAAGAGCAUGCAAUUUACUACCUUAGCAAAAAGUUUACCGACUGUGAAACAAGAUAUUCACUGCUCGGAAAACUUGCUGUGCUUUGGCAUGGGCUUGCUCACCGACUGAGACAGUAUAAAUCUGGUUCAUACCACUGUUGUUGAUUUCCAAGAUGGAUCUGAUCAAGUAUAUUUUUGAGAGCCAACAUUGACCGGACGGGUUGCGAGAUGGCAAAUGAUUUUGACUGAGUACGAUAUCCAGUAAACCUCUUAGAAAGCAAUCAAGGGGAGUGUAUUGUCUGAUUACCUCGCCAACAACCCUUGAGGAUUAUCAACCAAUAGAAGUUUGAAUUCCCUGAUGAGGACAUCAUGUUUCUCAAAUCGAAAGAUUGUGAGGAACCAAUCCGGAAGAGGGGGCCUGACCCUGAAUCCGAAUGGAUUCUGAUGUUUGAUGGGGCCGUUAACGUGAAUGGUAGUGGAGUUGGUGUUGUUUUGGUUACGCCGAAAGGAUCCCACAUUCCUUUUGCUGCCCGGCUAACGUUUGAGUGCACCAAUAAUGUGGCUGAAUACGAAGCUUGUAUCUUGGGUAUUGAAGAGGCGAUUGAUUUGCAGAUCAAAGACCUUGUUAUCUAUGGAGAUUCAGCUUUGGUUGUGAAUCAGGUUAAUGGGAAAUGGUAUACGCAUCAAUCUCAUUUAAUUCCAUACCGGGAUUAUACAAGGAGAUUGUUGACGUUCUUCACCAAGGUGGAAUUACGCCAUGUGCCGAGAGAAGAAAAUCCUUUGGCGGAUGCUUUGGCUACGCUGGCUGCGUUGAUUAAGGUGCAGUGUGUAACACCUCAAAAUUUUCCCUCCUCUCUUGGGACUAGCUUAACAUAUUUCAUAUCAUUUUGUAGGACAUUAGUCAUUGCAUCUUUGCAUAUCAUGUGGCAACAUUAAGCAAGUCAUCCUCCUAGGUCUUGAUCAGAAGAUAAAGAGGUUGAGACUCAAGCUGAGGGUUUCAUUGGAUUGAUCACUAACCAUCUGAGGGUUGUGGUUCCAAUUAGGGUUUCAUGGUUCUUCAAGGAGGUUGAGCUUCAUCUUGGUUGAAAUGGUACAUCAUCAUCAUCAUGGUCUUGUCAUCACCAAGAGAUUCCUAAUGCUUGAUCAGAUUCCUUGAGAUUAGGGUUUUGACCUUUGGUAAACCCUAAUCAUCUGCAUUGUGCCAAUCAGGGCUUGUCAAGGAGAUGAGGGUUUCAAUGGAUAUGGGGAUCAUCAUAUGGUUAUGUUGAGUUUAUGGAAGCUAUGGUUUCAUCAUUGAGCCAUUUCAUCAGGAGUUUGAAGCUCAAGAUCAUCUAUGCACAGCCAAUUCAUCUAUCAGUCAGAAAAAGUCAACCACAGGUCAACUGUUGAAUUUGGAGGUGGGAGAGGGUUAGAGACACUUCAUUCAUGUCUAGACAAGUUUCAUUUGACAUUUCAAACAUCAACAAUAAAGAAAAUAAAGUCAGAUGAAAACUUUCCAAAAAUAGAAAGUGACUUGUAAUUCAAAAUUGCCAAAAAAGGAAAGGUUUUUUCCUUAAAAUUACAUGUCCAAAAAUGCUUCAAAUGAAAUUUUGUCCAACAUGAAAGUUUAAGAUCUUGCUCUCACCUUUCCAAAAAAUCCAAGAACAUGAUUUUCUCAUUUGUGGUUGGCAAGUUAUGGAUCAAUCUUUGUCAAGAAAAGUUGAACUUCAACAAGGCAUAACUUUUGAUUCACAAGGCCAAAUGGAGUGAGACUUUUUUGAGAAAAUUUAUUUUGAUGUCCUCUAUCCAAAACAAGCAUUACAUUUCAUGAAUUUUGCUCACACAAAAAGUGCAUUUUUCAAGUGGACUUAAUUUGAAUUUUGGAGGGAAAAAGGUGUUUUUGCAAAAUAUAGUGCAUUUUUCAAGUGGACUUAAUUUGAAUUUUGGAGGGAAAAAGGUGUUUUUGCAAAAUAAGCAUGGUUUUCACUCAAUUCCACUUGCAUUAGCUCACAAAUAUCAUUUGAAACUUGCUCCAAACUAGAAAAUGCACUGUUACAUUGAAUUGCACAUGUGUGGGUGAAUUGACCAAAUUACCAUUUAGCAUGAAAACUUGAUUUGGCUUAAUCCAUUGCAUUAACACUAAUUAGGAUUAACAACAUGUUUAACAUCACGUAUAUAACCAUAAUCAUAAAUGUUUUCUGAUUAACCAUAACAGAAUUGAGAUCUAGAUCUGAAAAUCACAAAAUUCUUCAACUUCUUCUCUCAACUUUUCUUCAUAUUUCUUCAUAAACCGUGCCAAGAUCUUCAUCAAUCCAUGAUCCAUGUGCAUUAUUGAAGCUGGUGGAAGCAAGAUCUCAUAAUUUCUAAGCUAAUUCAAGGACUGUUAAAGUGAGCUUCAACAAUGGCAAUUCGAGUUUUGAGCUAGAUCCUUCACAAUCAACAUCGAAACCUUGCUCUAUUCAAUCAUUCAAGCAUUAAAGAGUUGCUGUUUUUGAUUCUUCAAGCCUGAAACGCGCGAAUUCAUACCUGUCAUCUAAUCAAGGUCAGAUUUCGACUUUAACCAUUCGUGAAAUUGAUAUAUGCUUUGGAUAGAUCUUGGAACAUAGGUUAAUCUGCAAGUUGUUUCAUUAAUUUUCAUGCUGAAAUGAGAAAGGUUGAUGGAAGUUUGAUCACCGAUAUGUUUUGCUUCGAUUCUUUUAAGUUAGGAAGAAAGGUUAAAUUAGUUUGAGAUUGUUGAUGUGCGUUGAAAGACCUUUCCAUUGAUGUAUGGUUUGUUGAUUUUGGUGAUGGUUUGUUCUUGAGCCAUGAAUUUGUGAAGAACACGUGAUGAAUGUUGAAAUUUUAUCCAGAAUUACUUGUUUGAUCCAUAAUCUCGCUUGCUGCAUGUGCUGGAGUGUUUAUAGAUAGGCAAUUGGACCACGUGUAAUUCCCUGCAUAAGCGCGCGCCUCUUUUCAAACUCUCCCUCGCUUUGAUUCCAUGCUAUGGCAAUUCCACUUUUGCCUUUUCCAUUUUUUCCUCAUAUGCUCACAUGAUUUCACAUGCCUUCAUUCACAUUUUUUAUUUUUUCUUAACAUUCCAAAAAUCAUAACUCCUAAACCAUUGAUCCAAUUGAGAUGAAAUUUUUUGCACCAUGAUCCUUGCCAUGUCUACUAUUUUAUGAUAAUUUUUGCAAAAAUUGUGCACGUGUGAUUUUCUAUUUUGGCUAGGGUUUGUUCAUAUGUGUUCUUUCAUGCACCUUGCUUGAUGUUUUGAUUGUGAAAUGAUGAUGCUUAAUCCAAAAUUCUUGAACUUUUGUAUGCAUAAACUAGACACCUUUAGGGACAUUUUGGCUUUGAGUUUGUGAUUUUAUCGUUCCUGGUUUGUGAGAUAUGAGCUGAUCAAUUGAGGUGUGACAAUUUGUGUCACACCAUUUCUUGUCUGACUUCCUAAUUUUAUUCUCCAUGUCAUAUGAACUCAAAAUGAUGUGAAUUUUUGCAUGUUGAAUCUUCUGGAUGUUAAUUUUGCUUGUGAAUUCUCCUGGAAUUUUUGAAUGCAUUUCCUAUUUGUUUGAGAAUUUCUCCCCUGUUUGACCAAUUGUGAACCUUUUGUGAGAGUACUAGAGUAUACAAAACACUUUAAGAACACCAAAUAACCUACCUCUUGAAAUUUGGCAUGUGUAUUAUAGACAUCUUGAAGUGUGUCAUGGCUUUGAUUUGGUUCAUUUAUCUUAUGCCAACUCUGUUUUAUGCUUGCUUGAAGUUGAUGCAUGAUUUAAUGCCUUGUAUGAGCUUGUUUGAGUAUGCUUUGGCUUGAUGAAUUUAAUUGGCUUGCUUCCCUUUGUCCAAAUGGCCUGAAAUUUGGUUUGGUGAUCCUUUAGUGAGUUCUGUUUAGCCAUGAAUUUUUUGGGAAUUUAUUGAAUUGUUUAUGAGUUGAUUUGAGUUGGAUCUUUCUGUUUGGUCCUAUGAAUUUCUAAAUGGCAUGCUUUGUACUCUUUGCUUCAUGAAAUGAUAAUGGUUGAUGAUAUGAAUGUGAGACCACUUGGAUUUGACUCUUAUUUGAUUGAUCUUGAUUUUUGAUAAGUUUCAUGUUCUGUUUUGGUUUAUUGCUCCCAUUUUGACCCUAGUCUUGUACUAGUGGUUUGUGUUCUCACAUUUGAGCUUUAUUUCAGGUCAAAGAGCACAAUUGCUUAUGCUUGAUGAUGUGCACUCAAUUGGGAUUGGUUUAUUGCUUGUUUAUGACUAACCUUGAGUUUGUUUUGUAGGCAUUGAGAUUUAUGCUUAGGCCUUGUGUUGAUGAUGUGCACUCAAUUGGGAUUGGUUUAUUGCUUGUUUAUGACUAACCUUGAGUUUGUUUUGUAGGCAUUGAGAUUUAUGCUUAGGCCUUGUGGCUUGCACCUAUGUGCAUUGAUGCUUGUUAUAUGUUUGUGCUGUGGACUUGUAAUUUUAUGUUUGACUUUUGUUUGUCUGGUAUACUGAUUAUGUUGGAUUGAUUUCAGGUACCUUAGAUGCUAUAGGUCAUUUUGAACUUGCUUGUGCUGUUGCUUGGUUGUAUAAACCAAUUGAGGUAGAAUUUCUUUUCUCCAUGUAGUCUGGAAGACCUGGCCUGUUACUUGGCCAGUCACCUGUCUGAAGUCCUCCUUAAGAGGCGAUGCUUGUGCUUGUUUACUUUUGUCCCCAAACAGGAAAAGACCUUUGAUAAGGCAAUUGGCAGAUACAAGAGAUAUGCAAUCCAUCUCCUGCUAUUCUUGUUGAGUCAUCCCUCUGCUCACACAACUGGUGUUGAUGCAUUGUGGAUCCUAACCCAAGAUCCUUGUACAGUUGUACAGUUGAGUCAGUGUCAUAAGUGUAGAUCUCCUGCUAUUCUUGUUGAGUCAUCCCUCUGCUCACACAACUGGUGUUGAUGCAUUGUGGAUCCUAACCCAAGAUCCUUGUACAGUUGUACAGUUGAGUCAGUGUCAUAAGUGUAGAAGGGUUCCCAAUUUCUGAACCCACACUUCAUUUGUCUGAUGCUCUCCCUGGCCAGGGAUAAGAGAUGUGAGGCACACCCCUCACUUCCUAUUUCAUCUGCUUCACCCUAACUCUCAAUGUUAGGGUUAAGAGCUAACAUCACCUGAUACAGUUGGCUUGCUUUUGCAGCCUAACCCCUUGUGUGAGCCCACUUUGUCUGGAUAUAGUGCGUGCUAAUUGUGAAUGUUUGCUUUGUUUUGAUUAUGCUUGCAUGCUUUGGUUUGCCUGUUUAGGAUUAGCUUGCUGCCUGUGCAAGUUAGAUAGCAACCUUAACUUAGGGAUGAUAUGCAUGAUAACAUCUAGGCUCGAGUCAUAGUCUCCCUAGUUGUGUCUCCCUUUGUUAUCUGGUUAGGAGAAAGUUUCUCCCCUGUUCAGGGGAACUACGUUGCCCUGAUCCUCAUACCAGAUGAGGUACGUAGGCAGGAGGUCGUACGAGAUCUCUCCGGGCACUCUUUUCUUUUUUUUGCGUGUAUUGUGCUUGACAACAAUCAGGCUCGAGUUCCCGACUCCCUUUUAGUCUGUGUGUUCACCCUUUUUAUUUUUGUGUGUGUUUGCUUGACAGUUGCUAGGCUCGAGUUCCCGACUCCUUAGUAACUUGUUGUUUGUUUCUUCUUGUUGUGUGCUUGGAGUCCGGUAUAAGUCCAUCAAGUGGCAUCUGGUUUCCAUAGUUGCUAGGCUCGAGUUCCCGACUCCUUAGUAACUUGUUGUUUGUUUCUUCUUGUUGUGUGCUUGGAGUCCGGUAUAAGUCCAUCAAGUGGCAUCUGGUUUCCAGUGUGGGUUUGUUUGGUUCGGAGGCUGAUGUAAGUCCAGCGAUUGGCGUUCGGGUUCCAUGUUUGCCUUUUUGUGCGUGUGUUUGUUUCGGCGUGCGUGAGCUGAACUACGGUAGCUCUGAUUCUCGUUCCAGACGAGAUACGUAGGCAUAGGAUGCGAUAUCCUAGCGAGCCCUCUUCCCCCUUUUCCCACCUGUGUUGUGUGUGUGUGUGGUGUUUGUUUUAGCAACCUUUUCCUAUCUUUUGAGCGUGGAUCCCGUCGAGUACGACGGAUGCGUAGGGGUGCUAAUACCUUUCCUUCGCAUAACCGACUCCGAUCCCAUUCUCUUUGGUCGCGAGACCAUGCUUUUCCCAGGUUUACUUCGAGCGUUUCCUUUCCCUCUUUGGGAUAAAUAACGCACGGUGGCGGCUCUGUGUUGUUUUGUUUUAGCCCGCCGGUUGCGAGACCAUGCUUUUCCCAGGUUUACUUCGAGCGUUUCCUUUCCCUCUUUGGGAUAAAUAACGCACGGUGGCGGCUCUGUGUUGUUUUGUUUUAGCCCGCCGGUUGUUUUUCGCGGAUGCGACACAGUGGUGGAAUCAAUUCCCUAGUGUUGAGGUGGGACGGUUGGAUAGACCGGCUUAUGUAUUUGCUGUCGAAACGGUGCCUGAUAAUGAAAAGCCGUGGUAUUUUGACGUCCAACGGUAUCUGGAGACCCAGGAGUACCCUGAGGGAGCGUCUAAAAAGGACCGAAAGACUCUGAGGAGGUUGUCCAUGGCGUUCUAUCUGAAUAAGGAUGGGGUUUUGUACAAGCGGAAUUUUGAUUGGGUCUUGCUCAGAUGUGUCGAUGACAAAGAAGCAAUCCAAUUGAUGAAAGAGGUGCACGAGGGGUCGUUUGGUACCCAUGCCAGUGGGAAUGCGAUGGUGAAAAAUCUGCUAAGGGCUGGUUAUUAUUGGAUGACAAUGGAGGCUCAGUGUUUCAAUUUCGUGCGGAGAUGUCAUAAAUGCCAGAUUUAUGCUGACAAGGUGCACGUGCCUCCAAAUCCGUUGAGUUUGAUGUCAUCUCCGUGGCCAUUUGCUAUGUGGGGCAUUGAUAUGAUCGGAAAGAUCGAGCCUACAGCUUCGAAUGGGAACCGGUUCAUAUUAGUGGCUAUUGAUUACUUCACCAAGUGGGUGGAAGCCGCGUCUUAUGCAAACGUGACGAAGCAGGUCGUUGCCAGGUUCAUGAAGAGAGACAUCAUUUGCCGAUAUGGGGUUCCCGAAAGAAUCAUUACUGAUAAUGGUUCUAAUCUCAAUAACAAGAUGAUGGCAGAACUAUGUCGGGAGUUCAAGAUCGAGCAUCACAAUUCUUCUCAUUAUCGUCCAAAGAUGAAUGGGGCGGUCGAGGCGACUAAUAAGAAGAUCAAGAAGAUUAUGCAGAAGAUGGUCGUAACCUAUAAGGAUUGGCAUGAGAUGUUGCCGUUUGCAUUGCAUGGGUAUCGGACCUCGGUGCAUACAUCUACUGGGGCAACGCCUUUCUCGCUGUUGUAUGAGAUGGAAGUCGUGCUACCGGUUGAGGUCCAGAUUCCGUCGUUGAGAGUCCUGAUGGACGUGAAGUUGGAAGAGGCGGAAUGGGUAAGGACUCGAUAUGAAGAGUUGAGCCUGAUUGAGGAAAAGAGGCUGGCGGUCAUUUGUCAUGGGCAGUUGUACCAGCAGCGAAUGAAGCGUGCUUUUGACCGAAAGGUGCGACCUCGUGUGUAUCACGUGGGAGAUAUGGUGUUGAAAAGGAUCCUUCCUCCUCAGAACGAUCGUCGGGGCAAGUGGACACCCAAUUAUGAGGGUCCAUUCGUGGUCAAGAAGGUUUUCUCUUGCGGAGCCUUGUUGUUGACGACCAUGGAUGGCGAGGAUUUUCCAUCCCCUGUGAAUGCGGACGCAGUUAAAAAAUACUUCGUAUAAGAGACCCGCUGGACGAAAAGAAUAAAAUAGUCCAGGCAAAAUGCGAGGAUUUUCCAUCCCCUGUGAAUGCGGACGCAGUUAAAAAAUACUUCGUAUAAGAGACCCGCUGGACGAAAAGAAUAAAAUAGUCCAGGCAAAAAAGGGCAUCCCGGCGAACCAAAAAAAAAUGGAAAAAGGUUCGGGCAAAAAUUAGGGAUAAAAAGAAAAAAACUGUACACCUGGCAAGUCGAAAACCCUACAAGGGCGGCUUGGGCAAAAAAGGGUAUCCCAGUGGACUGAAAACCCGAAAGGGCGGUCCAGGCAAAAGAUGGAUUGAAACGAACAACUGCGUCUAGCAUGAUCGUUUGUGCUUUGGAUAUGACACGUGGAUAAUCCCCGGCAGAAAUCGGUCGGAAGCGUCUUGUUCAGAAAGCAGAAAGUGCGGGGAGUCUUGAGGACAUAUGGGGUGUAACCGAGUUGGAACUCGAUGAGAUCACGGGUUCACAUUGCCAUUAGGAUAGAUUUUCUUUUUGUGCGCAAUUACCUCUUUUCAGGAAUUGCUUCCUGUGUAUUGCUCAGUUACGUGCCACCUUUUUCAAUCAAUAAAAUGCAUAUUCAGUCAAAUAAUUUUGUUUUUGUUUUUCAUUACCGCUUUGAUUGCAAAAACAUCCGUUUAUUUUGAUAAAGAAUCUUUGCAUUUUGAGAUAUAGGGGUCCAUUCCAAUGCAUGUUUAUAAGAUUGAAAACUUGAAAUCUUAUUCGGAAGGUUGAGUGACCUGGGUGUUGAAAUUUUGGCACGCCUGGGGCACGCUUUUAUCUAACGAUCUCUUUUGCAGGUGCUGUUAGAUAUUUUCACUCACUUACAGGUUGUGACGUGAAGCGUUUCCUUUUGACAAAAGAUUCCUUCGAGUCCGAUCAGGGACAAGGAGUUGAAGGAUGGUGUAAAGACGGCGAAAGGGUGACGAUGAUUCUGGAGGGUUAAUCAAGAAGACUCUUCAAAGUCUGAAAAAGUGGAAAGCCGAUACUGUGGGUAGAUGGUGGAUGCCAGUGCUCGACGAGUCGACAGGUGUUCCGUGUCACAUUCCGUAUUUUCCCUAGCACGGUUGGGAUUAUUAUCUCCCCAGCGGGUUCGAGAUCGGUGUUUCCUCAGCAGCCAAGUCUGAAGUGUGCUGUUUCCCCUAGAAAAGGUGAGAUUGUUAUUUCCCCAGCAGAUCUGAAGGUUGCUGUUUCCCCAGCGGAGGUGUGCGUUGGUGGAUUCUUCCCCAACGAAGUCCCCAAGCGGAUCAAGUCAAGUGGAGGUCAUCCCUGGUGAGGGUUGUCCUUUCCCCAGCAGCAAUGCUAUUUCCCAGUAGAUUGGAGAUUGGAGCGAUAUCGAGUUCCUCGAGCUCCCCAGUAGAGUCCCCGAGGGGGAUACCUUUUUAUGCAUUCAUCAUUUAGAGAAGCAUAUCAUAUUGCAUAACUCAUUGCGUAGCAUUUCCAUGGUUAUGGAGCAUUACGCUGUAAAAACUCGUGCAUCAGCAUUGCAAGCAUAAGCUAGUCUCAAGCCGUGGUUACCGUUUGAGAGUUGGUUUAGCUGGUUGGUGAAGAUGUUACUCUGAGGAGCUUAACAUCGUGACGUUGGGUCAACGGUAUUCCCCAAAAGUGCGAUAUUAGAGGAAGAUUUCUGUCAAGCGGAGAUGGAAGUUGGAAGAGGUUAUUCUAAGGAGUUUAGCAUCUUGACGUUGGAGCAACAGUGUUCCCCAGUAGUGCGAUAUUGGAGGAAGAGUUUCCGUCGGGAGGAGAUGGAAAUGAAGAUCAGAGAACGUUACGCGAUCAGCGCGAAGAACAGGGUUCAAAUGGAGAAAAGGAAGUGCUGGGCAUUUUCUGGAGAACGAGGUUCAAAUGGAGAAAAGGAAGUGCUGGGCAUUUUCUGGAGAAUGGGGUUCAACUAGAGAUUGGAGUUGAAGAUUGUAUCCGGGAUGAGGUCCUCAGGAUUGUCUUCUGAUCAUGUGUCACCUUAGACUUUGGCGAGGCCAAGAAAAGUCGGUACGAGUGUCUUCCGAGGAAGAAAUGCACAUGUUACCUUCAUUUCGUGAAGGUGUACCCUCUGGUUUGUCGCCAUCAGAGUGGUGUUUGGUGUUAUUUCCGGCGUUGCCAAAAGGAAUUAGCAUGGAAAAUGGAGAACAGGGUUCAAAUGGAGAAAAGGAGACACUGGGUGUUUUCUGGAGAAUGGGGUUCACAAUGACGAUCGCGAGUUAUCGUCAGGCGACUGGGGUUCAAAUGGAGAACGGGGUUCAUUGUUUGGUAGCAAGAGUGAUAUGAAGUUGUCGGGGUUCAAAUGCGGUGAUCAGGGAUUGUCCACGCAGAAGAAAAAGUUUCGGGGUUCAAGAAAAGCAAAAAAAAUCAAUCAAGAAGUACCGGGGUCCAAGAAAAAAAAAGAGAAUCAAAAUCAAGAAGUUUUGGGGUUCAAGAAAAUCAAAAAAUAUAAUAAUCCCCAGCGGAGCGCAAAUUGUUCGUCUGUUCUUGGUAUUCAACCACUCUUCACUCUGAUCAUCUGAAAGCCGAGGCUGUUCAUAUCGACAGAUUCACAGUGGAUUGAAUAGGGGCAGUUGUAACACCUCAAAAUUUGCCCUCCUCUUCUUGGGACUAGUUUAGCACAUUGAAUUUCAUGUUUUAGGACAUUAGGCAUUGCAUUUUGCAUAUCAUAUGAAGAUAAGAAGGUCAUCCUCCAAAGUCUUUUCAGAAGAUGGAGAAGUUAGCUGAUUCAAGCCUGAGGGUUUCUAUGGAUUGAUGAUCAACCAUCUGAGAGUUUGCAUUUCAAUUAGGGUUUCCUGAUCCUUCAAAGAUUAUGAGAAUUAUCUUGUGUGCAAGGAUAUGUCACCAUCAUCAUGGUUAUGUCAUCCUUAAGGGUUUCAGAAUUCAUGCUCAAGUUCCUUUGGAUUAGGGUUUUGACCUCUGGUCAACCCUAAUCAUUGACUUUCUUCCAGCUAGGUUUUCUCAAGGAGAUGAGGAAUUCUAUUGGGAUGAGUAUUACAUGAGUGUUAUAAGGAGCUUACAUGGGCUAGGGUUUCAUUUCUGAGCCAUUUUCCCAAGUGGUAGAGGCUCAAGCUGAUCAGGGCAUGUCAAGGUCAUCUGAGGACCAAACAAGUCAACUGAGGACUAUGAGGUGGGAAGAUGAGUUGAGACACCUCUAUCAUGUUCAAAAGAGGUCCAUUUGUCAUUUCAAACAUCUAUCUUGAAGAUUUUGAAGUCAGGGCAAAAGUUUCCAAAAAUGAAAAGUGACCUGUAAUUGAAAGUUUCCAAAAAUGGCAAUUUUUGGUCCACAUUCAACUUGACUUUUAAACAUCAAAGAAGCUUCAAAUGGACUUUUGGUGAACAUGAAAGUUGAAGAUCUUUCUCUCCUCUUUUCAAAAAGUCCUAUUUCAUGAUCAUCUGAUGAAUGGUUGAGAAGUUAUGGCCAAAUGAUCACAAAGCAUGCAUGGAAGUUCAACAUGGCAUAACUUUUGAUCCAAAACUCCAAAUUGGUCCACUCUUUUUGCAAAAUGCUUGUCUUGACCAAUACUUUCCAAAUCAACCAUUGCAUUGCAUGAAAGAAGCUCACAUGAUCAAGUGUCCAUACAUGUGCAUUUUGGAGGAAAAUUUAAUAAUUCAAAUUUGGUUGAUGCUACCAACAAAAUACCACUUCCAUGAUGUUUGUUGGUUGAUUUUAAGUGAGAUUUAAGCCAUGGCUUGCACUGUUCACGUACACAUGGCCAUGCAUAACCUCAUUUUCAUUUUUGCACUUCACUUCAUUUUUCCCUAAUCAUGUUUAGCCAAGGCUUAAGUGGGAUUAACAAAGUGAUUAGCACAUCAUAUAUAAGCCUAAUCAUAACAGAAUUUGCCAUAAACUAACUUUUGAGAUCUAGAAUUUUCAUUUCCCUCCAAUUUCUCUCUCUCCUUGAAUUUCAAAUUUCUUCACACAACUCUUCAAGAUUGUUGUAGAUUCAUCAUCCUCAUGGAAUUCUGAGCAAGGAUCAACCAUUAUUCGUGGCAAUUGAGCAAGAUUUGGAGCUAUUCAAGUGUAUGAACAUGUUGAUGGAACUUGAAAUUUGAGCAAGAUCCAAGAGCUUUCAACCACUAUUUCUUGCGCCAAGCUUCAUAGGAGGAUUAUUGGAGCAUAUCUGGAGAGUUUGAGCACCUGAACACACGAUUUCCAUCACUGCCAUUUCAAGUAGGUGCAAUUUUCGUCCUCUCUUUUUGCAAUUUUAUGUACAUAAUCAUGUAGAUCUUCCAUUGCUGAGCUUGCUGAUGUAAUUAGUUUUGAAAAUGAGCAACAAAUGAACAUGUAUGAGUGAAUUAAAGUUUGGAUGUUCAAUGUGUUUUGCUUCGAUCCAUGAGAUAUAGGAAGAAUUAGGUUAAACUAGCAUGAUAUUUGAGAUCUACAUGGAAAAACCUUUCGAUCCAUAUAAAUAUCAUCAAAUUCUGGAAAUUUUCGUGGCGGAGCUCCGCCUGUCUCGCCGGAGAAGACGGUUGCUCCGCCGUCUGCAACUGUGCGCUAGGGUUUGCCUGGCUGUUGAUCAAAACGCAGCGUUUCAUGCUGCUUAUGAACCGUCCAGGCGCGGAUUCGAUACCUCGCUCGUGAUAUUUCUGAAUUUUAUUUUUGAGAUGCUAGUUAACCUAGGGGGCGUGCGUUCGAACCCAGGCAUUUGCAUUUUUUCUGAAUUAAUUUUGAGCGCUCAUGGACCUGGUAUGCCUGAGUUCGAUUCCUGGCAAUGUGUUAUGAAUUUAUUUUUUGAGCGCCUUUGCCAACCUUGUGAGCGUGGGUUCAAGUCCUGAUUGAUGCAUUAUGCUGAUUUUCAUUUUUGAUUUUCAUUUUCCAUAUUUCUUUCAUUAUUUCAAAUAUUUUCUCCAACUUUGAAAAAUCAUAAAAAAUAGUAGGUUAAUCCAAAUUGAUCCAAGUUUCUUUUCACAUGUUUGUUUUAAUCUCUAGAUUUUUAUAGCAUUUAUUUCAUGAUUUUUGUGUUUCUGGAUUUUUAAUUGUGAUUGGUUGUUUGAACAUGUUGUCAAAAUGAUAUGCUACAUUCAUUUGCUUGUGAAAUGCUCAUAGUUGAUCCAAUUGGUCUUAAAUUUGGUGUGCUUAAUCUCCUCUCAUGAUAUGAUUUUUUAGCUUUGAUUUGAGAUUUUUAUCAUGUUCUAUCACUGUUUUGGACACAUGAACAUAUAUUGUGACAUUUGGUGUAACAUUUUGUGCCUUGCAUUUAUGCAUUUUCAUUCGUGAACCAUCUGAGCUCUUCUGAAUUUAAUUUUUUGCAUGAUGUUUGCUUAUAACAUGAAAUGCUUGGAUAAAAAAUUUCAUGAUCAUUGGAUACAUUUAUGUUUUAAUUUGGAUUUUAUAAUUUGAUUGUCCAUUUUGGUGCUCAUUUGUUGGUCUUUGUUUUACAUGAAUCAUUUGAUGGCUUUGCCUUAUGAAUUGGUCUUGGUCCUUUUGAGGACACUUUCUUGUUUGAUUGAAUGUGCUUCAUGUGGAAUAUUGACUUCUGUUUUGGUCAUUUGACUUGCUUUUGAACCUAGUCUUUGAACUAGUGAUUUGUAUGCAUACUAAUUGUGCUUUGUGUUUCAUGUUUGAGCAUUUGGCACUAAUGGUUGGUUUGGUCUCACUAUUUGAGAUGCAAGUUGCUUUGAUCACUAACUCUUGUUGUCUUGUAGGUCAAUUGAUGUGAUGAACUCACUUGAGUGCUUUCACUUAUGACUUGCAUUGUGUAGAUAUGGGAUAGUUUCACUGUGUGUUUUCUGAUUGGUUGUCUGAGAUACUAACUGGUUAGCUUUUGUACAGGUACAUUAGUCGCUUGCUAGCUAGCUUUUGCUUUGCUUUGGAGUGUGGUUGAUACACCACUGAGGUAGUUUUACUGGUUAGCUUUUGUACAGGUACAUUAGUCGCUUGCUAGCUAGCUUUUGCUUUGCUUUGGAGUGUGGUUGAUACACCACUGAGGUAGUUUAGCCUUCUCACUCCAUGUAGUCUGGAAGCCCUGUCGUUUUUUUUUUGGCAGGCAUUUGGCUGAAGUCCUCCUUAAGAGGCAAUGUUUGUGUAUGUUUAUAUUUGUGCCAAAGACCUCUAAAUGAGGCAUGUUGCUUGUUAAGUCCUCCUAAGUGAAGAGGCAAUUGACAGAUAGAAGGGACUAGUAGCCAGUCCCCUGUUAUUCGUUGAGUCGUUCAUUAUGCUCGCACUACGUGUUGAUGCUCUUGAACAAUGUACCCAAGAUCCUUGUAUAGAGUCAGUCAAGUGGAAUAGGGUCCCUCUUUCUGGACCCCCACACUUUCUUUGAUUUGAGCUCACCCAAGCCAGGGUUAAGAGCAUGAGGUCUAAUCCUCAUUUCCUUUCAUCAGCUUCACCCUAACUCUCAAUGUUAGUGGUUAAAAGCUUCAGCAUACCCCUACAAUUUUGGAUUGUUUGUCGAGGUUGAUAUGACCCCUCUUGACUAAACCCCAACCAUUUGUCUGAGCCUCUUGUUUGUAUAUAGAGUGUGAUGAUUGCUUUUGAUAUGUUUAUCUGCUUUCCACUUCUCAUCUCCUUUUCUGUUGGAGUCGUACGUUUAACUUUCGAGGAAGUUGAACGUAUGUAGAGAUAGACUUGAGUUGACUUACUUCCUAUGUGAGUCAAACUCUUGAUUAGAGACCUUAACCUAGGGAUUGGUUUGCAUGACAACUAUUAGGAUCGAGUCAGUCUCCCUUUUAGUUUGUUAUUCCCCUGGUCUCUGGUUAGGAGAGAGUUUCUCCCCUGUUAAGGGGAACUACGUCGCCCUGAUUCUCAUACCAGAUGAGAUACGUAGGCAGGCGAUCGAGGGAGAUCUCUCCGAGCGCCUUUUUUUUGUUUCUUUUGACGUCUCAGCGUCUCUUUUGGUUUGUGCAACUAUUAGGCCCGAGUUCCAGACUCCCUAUUAGUUCAUCCUUUUCUUUUUGACGUCUCAGCGUCCAACCCUUUUCCUUUUGACGUCUCAGCGUCCAACCCUUUUUGCUUCUCUUGACGUCUCAGCGUCCAACCCUUUUUGCUUCUCUUGACGUCUCUGCGUCCAACCUUUUUGCUUCUCUUGAUGUCUCAGCGUCCAACCUUUUUGUUUCUUUUGACGUCUCAGCGUCUCUUUUUGUUUGCGUGACAGCUAUUAGGCACGAGUUCCAGACUCCCUAUUAGUUUGUCAAUCUGAUAACCUUUUUCUUUGGUGUUCGCUGGUUAGCGAUUGUUUCUUGUUUGGAGUCGGAUAUAAGUCCAUCUAUUGGCAUUCUAUUUCCUAUUUGUGUUUGUUUGUUUGGAGUCAGAUGUAAGUCCAUCUAUUAACAUUCUGUUUCAUUUUUCUUCGUUGAUCGCUGGUUAGCGAUUGUUACUUGUUUGGAGUCGGAUGUAAGUCCAUGUAUUGGCAUUCUGUUUCCUGUUUGUUUUGAGGGGUUAGAUAUAAGUCCAUCUAUUGGCAUUCUAUUUCCUUGUUGAGCUUUUCUUUUGACGUCUCAGCGUCUCUUUUCGGUGUUUUAUUUCGGCAUGCGUUAGCCGAACUACAAGUGUUCUGAUUCUUUCUCUGGAUAGAGAAGAUACGUAGGCAUAGGAUGCGAUGUCCUAGCGAGCAUGUUCCCCAUUUCCCUGAACUACGUCGACUCUGAUGUUUGUUUCUGAAAAACUACGUAGGCCCAGGAUGCGACAUCCUGCUGAGUCCCCUUCCUCCAUCUUCAUUCACCUGUUUUAUUAUUCCAGUGUGUGCAUUCUCUUUGAGCAGUUAUUCAGCAACCUUUUCCUAUUCUUUUGAGCGUGGAUCCCGUCGAGUACGGCGGACGUGAGGGGUGCUAAUACCUUCCCCUUGCGUAAUCGACUCCCGUGCCUUGUGUGCAUUCUCUUUGAGCAGUUAUUCAGCAACCUUUUCCUAUUCUUUUGAGCGUGGAUCCCGUCGAGUACGGCGGACGUGAGGGGUGCUAAUACCUUCCCCUUGCGUAAUCGACUCCCGUGCCUUGCAAUCUCUGGUCGUAAGACCGUUCCUUUCCCUUUUCUUAGGUUAGUCCAGCGCUUCCUUUCCGUCAUAGGAUGAAUAGCGUCGGUGGCGGCUCUGUGAAACUGUUUUUUUCCGCCGGUUGUUUUUCGCGUUGCGACACAUGGUGCUCAAAUUCUUAGAAUGUUCAAUUGCUACAACAAUGUAAUACAACUUAGAAGGAAGAUAUCUAAGUAACUUCUCAAUGAUGCUUCCUUCAGAGAGAGUUUCUCCAUACGACUUUAUCUCAUUUGUGAUAAGAAUCACUCUGGAUAUAUAGUCGGGAACCUUCUCAUUGUUCUUCAUGCUGAUAUUCUCAUAUUACUUACAUAGAGAUUGAAGCUCCACCUUCUUCCCUGAUGAAUCACCUUCGUAGCACUGUACCCGUGUGUUCCACGCAACCUUCAUGUCGUUGAAUCAUCGAUUUUCUCAAACACAUUCACAGCCACACAUUGAUGGAUAUAGAACAAUGCCUUAUGAUCCUUCUUCCUUAGAUCAGGCUGAGCAUUUCUCUAUGCAUCCAUUGCAUUUUACGGAAGUGCAACACUACGCCAAAUAAGGGAAAAGAGGGCGCUUUUUUUGGUCUAUAACAGCACUUUAAAGCGCCCUCUAAUCUGGCGCUGGCAUAGGUAAAGACAGCGCUUUUUUUCCUGGUGAAAGCGCUCUCUAAAGUGGCUCUUUAAGCCCUUUAAGGGCCACUUUAGAGGGCGCUCAACCCAGGCAUUUGCAUUUUUCUCGAAUAAUUUUCGAGCGCUCAUGGACCUGUAGCCUAGUUCGAUUCCUGGCAAUGUUAUGAAUUUAUUUUGACGCCUUUGCCAACCUUGUGAGCGUGGUUCAAGUCCUGAUUGAUCAUUAUGCUGAUUCAUUUUGAUUUCAUUUUCCAUAUUCUUUCAUAUUUCAAAUAUUUUCUCCAACUUUGAAAAUCAUAAAAAAUAGUAGUUAAUCCAAAUGAUCCAAGUUUCUUUUCACAUGUUUGUUUUAAUCUCUAGAUUUGUAUACAUUUAUUUCAUAUUUUGUUUCUGGUAUUUUAAUUGUGAUUUUGUUUGAACAUGUUGUUCAAAUGAUAUGUACAAUUCAUUUCUGUGUGAAAUGCUCAUAGUUGAUCCAAUUGUCUUAAAUUGUGUGCUUAAUCUCCUCUCAUGAUAUGAUUUUUAGCCUUGACUUGAAGAUUUUAUCAGUUCUAUCACGUUUGACACAUGAACAGAUAUUGUGACAUUUGUUGUAACAUUUUGUGCCUUGCAUUUAUGCAUUUCAUUCCAACCAUCUGAGCUCUUUCGAAUUUAAUUUUUGCUAUGUUUGCUAUAACAUGAAAUCUCUGGAUAAAAAAUUUCAUUAUCAUUGGAUACAUUUAUGUUUAAUUUGAUUUAUAAUUUGAUCCAUUUUGUGCUCAAUGUUGUCUUUGUUACAUGAUCAUUUGAUGCUUUCCUUAUGAAUUGUCUUGCCUUUUGAGGACACUUUCUGUUAUUGAACUUGCUUCAUGUAUAUACUCUUUGUCAUAUUGCUUCUUUGAACCUAGUCUUUGAACUAUGAUUGUAUGCAUACAAUUUGCUUUGUUUCAUGUUUGAGCAUUUGCACUAAAUUGUUUGGUCUCACUAUUUGAGAUGCAAGUUCUUUGAUCACUAACUCUUGUUGUCGUUGUAGGUCAAUUGAUGUUGUGAAACUCACUUGAUGUCUUCACUUAUGACUUGCAUUGUGAUAUGGAUAGUUUCACUGUGGUGUUUUCUGAUUGCUGUCUUAGUGAAUACAACUGUUAGCUUGUACAGGUACAUAUUCGCUUGCUACUAGCUUUGCUUUGCUUGGAGUGUGAUUACACCACUGAGUAUUUUAGCCUUCUCACUCCAUGUAGUCUGGAAGCCCUGUCGUUUUUUUUUGCAGGCAUUUGCUGAAUCCUCUUAAGAGCAAUGUUGUGUAUGUUUAUAUUUGCAAAAGACCUCUAAAUGAGGCAUUGCUUGUUAAGUCUCCUAAGUGAAGAGCAAUUGACAGAUAGAAGGACUAGUAGCCAGUCCCCUGUUAUUCGUUGAGUCUUUCAUUAUGCUCGCACUACGUUUGAUGCUCUUGAACAAUGUACCCAAGAUCCUUGUAUAGAUGUCAGUCAAGUGGAAUGGGUCCCUCUUUCUGGACCCCCACACUUCUUUAUUGAGCUCACCCAACCAGGGUUAAGAGCAUGAGGGCAAUCCUAUUCCUCAUCAGCUCACCUAACUCCAAUGUAGUGGUUAAAAGCUUCAGCAUACCCCUACAAUUUGGAUUGUUUCGAGGUUGAUAUAUGACCCCUCUUGACUAAACCCCAACCAUUUUUCUGAGCCUCUUUGUAUAUAGAGUUGAUGAUUGCUUUGAUAGUUGUAUCUGCUUUCCACUCUCAUCUCCUUUCUGUUGAUCGUACGCUUUAACUUUCGAGGAAGUUGAACGUAUGUAGAGAUAGACUGAGUUUGACUUACUUCCUGUGAGUCAAACUCUUGAUUAGAACCUUAACCUAGGGAUUGGUUUGCAUGACAACUAUUAGGAUCGAUCAGUCUCCCUUUUAGUUUUAUUCCCCUGGUCUCUGGUAGGAGAGAUUUCUCCCCUUAAGGGAACUACGUCCCUGAUUCUCAUACCAGAUGAGAUACGUAGGCAGGCGAUCGAGGGAGAUCUCUCGAGCGCCUUUUUUGUUUCUUUUGACGUCUCAGCCCUUUUGCUUGUGCAACUAUAGGCCGAGUUCCAGACUCCCUAUUAGUUCAUACCUUUUCUUUUGACGUUCUCAGCGUCCAACCCUUUCCUUUUGACGUCUCAGCGUCCAACCCUUUUGCUUCUCUUGACGUCUCAGCGUCCAACCCUUUUUGCUCUCUUGACGUCUCUGCCGUCCAACCUUUUCUUCUCUUGAUGUCUCACGUCCAACCUUUUUCUUUGACGUCUCAGCGGCUCUUUUUGUUUGCCGUGACAGCUAUUAGGCACGAGUUCCAGACUCCCUAUUAGUUUGUCAAUCUGAUAACCUUUUUCUUUGGUGUUCGCUGUAUAGCGAUUGUUUUGUGUUGGAGUCGUAAUAUAAGUCCAUCUAUUGGCAUUCUAUUUCCUAUUUGGUUUGUUGUUUGAGUCAGAUGUAAGUCCAUCUAUUAAACAUUCUGUUUCAUUUUUCUUCGUUGAUCGCUGGUUACGAUUUACUUGUUUCGAGUCGGAUGUAAGUCCAUGUAUUGCAUCUGUUCCUGUUGUUUUGACGGUAGAUAUAAGUCCAUCUAGCAUUCUAUUUCCUUGUUGAGCUUUUCUUUUACGUCUCAGCCGUCUCUUUCGUUUUAUUCGGCAUGCGUUAGCCGAACUACAAGUGUUUCUAUCUCUUCUCUGAUAGAGAAAUACGUAUAGCAUAGAUGCGAUGUCCUACCGAGCACAAGUAACAAUCGCUUAGCACCCACCACCUGAACUACUCGACUCUUUCGAGUGUUUGAUUUCAAUCGAGAAAAAACACUGGAAGAGCCAGAACGACAUAGACCGAGCAUGAAUCCCCGAUCUCAACUUCAUUCACCUAUUGAAUAUCCACUGUAUGUCAAUUCCUAGACAUUGACACAAAUUUACCCUAUUCUUAUUGGGAAAAGCUAAGAAUGAAAGAUAUCGCCCCUGAGUUACGUGCACAGGACCAUGAGGAAUGUUCAAUAGCUAAUUACAUCUUUCCCCGGUUGCGACUUAAAUCGACCCGUCCUUGCCAAUACUCUCUGGUCGUAAAGCCGCGUUCUUCCCUUUCUUAGAGUUAGUCCAAACAAACAUCCACGGACAUCCCACUUACCAGUACAUAUGGAGGAUAGGUAGAAUAAGCCAUCAUGCCAAUGAUGGACUUAUACGACUCCAAACAAGAACAUCGCUAACCAGCGAACAUCCAACAGAAAAGGUUUAUCAGAUUGCAACGAUGAAGCUCAAUCUAGUAAACUGUUUUUUUCCGGCGCGUGUCGUGUCGUUCGCGUUGGCAGAACAUACUGCUCCAUAAUGCUUAAGAAUGUUCAAUUCGCCUAAACAAUCAAAGUUAACACUAGUCACGCACUAAACAGAAAGAAGAAUAGUACCACAUAACUUUUUCAAUGAUGCAGACCCUUUCAGCGAAACAGAAAUAUCUACCAAUACAACUUUUCUCAAUUUUAUGAUAUGAAACGAGCUUUCAGACAUACUAAAAGAAUUAAUGCAAAAACCUUCUCAUUUUUACUCGAUCGAAGAUUAUCCUCUAUAAUACUUACUAUCAGAGGACCAGAAAUAUGGCCCACCCUAUCCCUGCCAUGAACACCUCGAGCACUGCUACCACUGCCUGAUGUCCACGCAACCUUCAUGUCGUUAAUCAAUCGAUUUUUCUCAACACAUUCACACCACACAAUUGAUGAUCAUAAACAAGCCUUAUACCUCUUCUUAGAUCAUGCGAGCAUUCUCUAUCCAUCAUUGCAUUACUGAAGUGCACAACAUCUACGCCAAAUAUAAAGGGAAAAGAGGCUUCUGUGUGGUCUAUAUAACCGGCACUUAAAAUCCGCCCUCAUCUGGCCGCUGGCAUAUAAGACAGCGCUUUUUCCUGUUGAAACGUCUCUAAAUUGCUCUUAAGACCUUAAGCCCUUAGAGGCGCUUUUAAAGAAAGCCCCUCUAGAAGUAAACUUAAGGGUUCAGAGGCCACGAAGCGCCUCUAAAGUGAAACUUUAAAGUUUAGAGCCUUUUACUGAAGCCCUUCUAAAGUGGAAACUUUAAGGGUUAAGCGCUUUUACUGGAAACCUUGCGAGACGCUCAAGAAGCAAAAAGGGCCUCUAAAGUGUUGAAAGUUUAAACGCUGAUAUCAAGUGCGUCUCAUAGAAGAAAGAAGCGCCUCUAAACGUGGAACGCUGCUGACAUGAUAUAGUCAUUUUAUAAUUUUAAAAAGCAGAAACAGGAUGUAAUUUAAUUAUUAAUGGUUUUAGACAAGAUCCUUAUAUGAACAUACACGCAAAACAACUCGAAAUUUGAAGCCCUUUUCACACAUUGCAUUCAACAAGCCUUAUAACACACCCCAAACAUAACAACAAUCACUGAUAUAAAUCUUUAACUUCUAGAACCUAGAAUUCAGUAUAAGUACUACAACACAUACCAAAAACGUAUAACUUCACAUAAAUAAAGAAGUCACUAUAAAGAAUAAGCAAAAACAGACUCUAGAAUAUAUAGAUUUAAUUUGCUAGAAGCAUCUUCUUAGCAACAACCUCUUUUGUCAAUAUCAAUACCAUGAACGCUAAAAGAUCAAAAACUUAGUUAGGGUGAAAGAUAAAAUCUCCCCAAGAUAACUUUCUAUGCAUAAAUCCAUAAUGAUACCUUUUAGGAUCCCAACUGCACUCACAUUGCUCUAAUCCCCCAUAUUUCUUAGGUUCCCUGUACUAUUAUAGACUAAAUUCGAAUUAUUUCUAUGAGCAUUACUAUGUCGAUGAGAACUGCANNNNNNNNNNNNNNNNNNNNNNNNNCAGAGGCGCUUUUAAAGAAAGCCCCUCUAAAGUGAAACUUUUAAGGGUUCAGAGGCGCUUUUACUGGAAAGCGCCCUCUAAAGUGGAAACUUUUAAGGGUUUAGAGGGCGCUUUUACUGGAAAGCGCCCUCUAAAGUGGAAACUUUAAGGGUUAGAGGGCGCUUUUACUGGAAAGCGCCCUCUAAAGUGGAAAUUUAAAGGGUUAGAGGCGGCUUAUGGAAAGCGCCUCUAAAGUGGGUGGUUAUUUAAAUUUUUUUUUUAAAAGCGCUAUAUUUAUUUAUUUAUUUAGACAACCGUAUAUUGAAGCAGUACACGCUAAAACUGAUAAUUUGAAGCCCUUUUCACACAUUGCAUUCAACAAGCCUUAUAUACAAAAACAUCCAUACAUAUACACAAUCCACUGAUAUAUAAUCGUUUAACUUCUAAAAGAUGAUCUAAAAUAUACAACCAAUUCAUAACUUAAAAAACAAUAAAAACUAAGUAGCAAAAAGCAAUCUCUGAGAUAUAUGUUUUUUUUUGCUAGCGCAGUCUUCUUAGCAACAACCUCUUUUGUUCAAUAUCAAUAGCAUGAACCUAAAAUAUCAUAAAUUAGUUAGUGAAAGUAUAAGCUCAAGAAUUAACAUUUUCUAUGCAUAAAUAUCAUAAUGUUUAUACCUUUUUUUUGAUGCCAACUGACUCAAUUUCUGCGUAAUCCCCUUAUAUUUUUGGUCCCUACUUUUGAAGAUAGAAUUGAUAUUUGUUUAGAUGACUGUCCAUGUCGUAGAGGGAUACUUUCAAAUAUCCAGCAUCAUCAUACGGAAUGAGGCUUGACGACAAUGGAACAUCUCCAUAUAAACCAAAUAUCAAUUGAUACUUUCAAGUAUCCCUGCCCCUUGCACGAAUGAUUGACUUCAUAAUAGCCAUUUUACCUGUAAUAAAGAAAACAAUUAAAAUCAGAUAACAAAUAUAAAAACAAUUAAAAUCAUUAAAAGCCAUGCCAUCCAGGUAUAGCGCGUAUAUUCAAUAUAAGGAUACCGAAUAGCUUAUUCAAGAACUCAUAUGUGGACCUGUUCUAGCUACCGUUUUUACGACUACUCAGAUAUCUUCUCCUUUCAUUUUACAUUAUGGUGAUAGCGGUGUCAUACCGGUCAUACGCUAGAUCGCUGUUCUUAAUUGCUUAUAGUGACUAACAACAACCCUCCAUUAUGCUGUUGGACUUUCAGCGGGUCGGGGAGUCAGAGUAUGCUAUACUGCUGGGGAUUAAGGAUCAGAAUGGAAAUCGUACAUUAGACCCGUGUCUGAAGACCAGGGAGUGGGCUAUCCCAUUAGGCAGAUGACUUUGCUGAGAAUGAAAAAAAUCAGGAACGGAUCGUACGCUAGAUUGUAUCUGAACUGUGAAAGAUCCAAAUGGGUCUUAUGAUAGCACUUAAUUGGAGUUGCAGGAUGAGCCGUCCAUUAGGCUGAAUCUGAUGAUAAAAGGGUGGUAGCGUACACUAGACUACACUUUCAGGAAAAUGUACCGUACCACUAGUAGCAUCUGGGAAGAACAAAGUCUUAAGUGGGUCGUACCAUUAGACCGUAUCAGAGCAGAAUGGAAGCCGUCCAUUAGGCUGAAUCUGGUGAUAAAAGGGGACGUUUGAUUGAUCCCCAAAAAUACCCAUGGAUAGUUUACUUGAAUCCAAUCUUCUUAGAACAUAUAUACGAGCAUAUUCUAGGCUAAUAGAUUAGUUAACACAUUCCUUCAACAUUACUUUGUAUUCAUUUCUAGUAAGGAUACCAGAUCUGAGGAUUAUCCAAAUAUAACUCAGGAUAUGUCUUCAUAAAUACUCGCUUGGAUCUGCUAGUAUCGUAUUUUAGACCGUAAUCUCAAAUGAUGACUAUGGUUAUAGGAUAAGAAAAUGCACAACUUAUAGUACAGGCCGACAUUUCUGAUGACUAGUACAAUUAUCGGGAGGGAUCAUUGACCAUAGAACACUUGUCUAGCUUGAGAGGUAGCUCAGAUGAAAUACAACAGGAGCUCAUACCAACUUUCAGAUAAAUCCCUCAGCUACCGUACACUACCUAUUAAGAAUCCACUUGGCAAAAAUCCAGAACCUUAUCCAUUCGAAUGCCGUUAUUAUUUGCAACCACUGAACGCUAAAAGGUCAUAUCGUGAGAGAGUGCGCGACUAGAAGGAAAACAUAAUCUCUUUCAAUAAUAUCAAUGAGGAUCGCUACACAUUCAUUAGACCGUAUCCAGCGUCAGAAUGAGCCGUCCAUUAGGCCGAAUCUGAUGAUAAAAAGGGGGUUAGUCGUGACACCAGGAUACAACACACUUAGCAAAAAUAACACAGAUUUGGCAAAUUUUGCGGGUUUAUGUGUCCCGCUUAUCCAACCUAACUUGAUAUGUGCAUUGCGUUGCGUAGCACUAUCUGAACGGAGACAAAGUUUAAUUGGGUGACAUCCGCUACUCAAUAUUCUAAGACCGAUUAAUUCAAGCUUUUAUCAUCUUGUUCUUUGUAUUAAAAUGGGUAUCCAUUAGCCAGAAUAAGCCAGUCUCCGUGCGUAAUGCGCCUAGAGGAAAAAACAUGGGAACUUGACCAUAAUGCUAAGCAUCUAACCCUCUCGUGAAUCUUAUGUUGAAGUACAGACGGAAAUGGCUGAAUGAAGUACUUUGAAUAAAUAUGAUCCUUAAACCACAGGUAUAAAACAUCGAUGUGCUCUCGUACUAUGCCCAAUUUCAUUUCUAUUGGGAUUUUAAACCUCGGAGACAUUCCUGUGAUAUAUGUCAACAUGCACGGCUCAACCUCUUAUACACUCAUUGCAGGACUUUGCAAGACACAUUCACGAAAAUAGCAACAUUGUAAUGUCACCCCCGUGUCGAUCACUUGCAAUCAUCAUGCUCCAGCGACGAAUUUUCUGAGGAGUAUAUCUCUCAUCACACAAGGUCUUUUAAUUGGUCGUACAUUAGACCGUCGAUGAUAUUAAUUAUGCCUUUAUAUGUCACAUAUUCUUCUCGAAUGACUCCAUAGGCUGACUGGAACUUGAGGUGCAGAGAUAUGGCAAACCGUUGACUUAUGGUUAAGCACAUUUAGUAUACUCAAGAUAAUUAUACUAUCUGUACAUCAUAAAUCUGCAUACAUUCGCUUCGCUAUACUAAAAUGAAUGCGUUGGUGCGUUGCAAACUGCAGGUAACAAGAUGACCCUUCUGCGGUUUGGACUUUGGUGUACGUGAUACCUGAAACUCGUAGUACAGCGCUAUAUUGAAUAAUGUAUUUCUCACCUAUAACGUUCGGGAAUAAUGAGUAUCUGAGAUACAAUAUCUGGGAUCUUGUUACAUUAAGUUGAAUAGAGGUGUGACUCAUUGCAUUCUUCCUUAUAAAGCUGAUGAGACUCGUUCACCACACUGUGUCCUUUUGCACAAAUAGUGCAGUCUGGAAUAUGUAUCUGAGUAUGACUUACAACUGUCGUAGUGUAUACUAGAUAAAGGGCGUCUGCCUGGAUGAGCCCUUUUUACUUUGAAUCUUAAUGUUCAAAAUCAAUUAGGAUGGGGAGGGGAUAAAUUAAAAAUUACAAGCCCUCAAACAGACAUAAAAGUUAGCUUUAUGCCAUGUCAAUGAUGCUUAGUAUGAAUUUUAUGCUUUACGGUGAAACAAUGAAUUACUUGCUGUGAUAUGUCAAUCAUUAUAUUCGGUAAGAUCAGUGCAGCGGAUAUGAUUGUCGGAAUACUAGACCUGAAAAGGAUGUAUAUCGCUGCUCUAUGAAGAAGUAUCUGUGACUCUUGGAAGACAUGCUCACGUGAGGAGAGAACAAAAAUAACAUUCCCAGUUAUAGCUGACUCUAUGGCUUAGAUUUUUCUGGAGAUACAAGAAUAGGUAACUCGAUGACCCUUUCGAAUUAUCCCUAUUGCGGAGAAAAUGGUCCAUUUAACUGGCAAUUCAAUGGGUCUUUAAACUGUUUAACUUGAGGUCUUUCAUUAGACACAAGUCUCUAAUAUCUGAAGAGUUACCCUUCUGGGAACUUUAACUGUCACUUAGAACUUACACGAAAUGUUUGUUCAUCUCCGUUUCUAGAUAGAGUAAAUAAGCAAGGGCUGGGGGUUGUUAUGGUCUGGUGAAUUGGAGCUCACUGUUCGGUUGACUUAUAUCACUUUACUUCACGAAAGCCUGGGUGCUCGUGAAUUCCAGUCUUAUUCCCAUCGGCUAGUGUGACAUAGAGUGCAUAAUUGAGCUAUGGCGAUCUUAAAAUCUGGUUCACUCGCAUGGUUGCAACCUUCUGAUGAGCUUUCCUUUAUCUUUUGAAGAUAGAAUUGAUAUUUGUUUAGAUGGACAUGUUCCAUUGUCGUAGAGGGAUACUUUCAAAUAUCCAGCAUCAUCAUCUACGCGAAUGAGGCUUGACGACAAUGGAACAUCUCCAUAUAAACAAAUAUCAAUUGAUACUUUCAAGUAUCCCUUGCCCCUUGCACGAAUGAUUGACUUCAUAAUAGCCAUUUUACCUGUAAUAAAGAAAACAAUUAAAAUCAGAUAACAAAUAUAAAAACAAUUAAAAUCAUAAAAGCCAUUUUACCUAUAACAAAGAAAACAAUUAAAAUCAUUUGACCUGUACCUUUUUCACUAAGUUCUCUUUCUUUUCUUGGUUGGAAUAUGUUCUACAUGUCUCUUAACAACACGGACGGUUUGAUUGAUCCAAAUACCCUGAUUAUGAUCAUUUCUAAUAUAUGAAUCAUUUGAUAUAAUAUUCUCAUCUUGAUCAUUUCUAGUAAACGAUUCAAUCUCAACAUCAAUAUCACCUUGAUCUCUAGUGUUUUCAUCAAUUACUUUGUUGGAAAAAAAGAACUAUAGACCAUUUUCGACUUUUCGGCAUACAUGUGACAUAGAACACUUGUUCUAGCUUUGAGCAGGCGCUAGAAUUAAAACAGACUUACAAUUUUUGUAUCCACCGCGUAUUAAUGAUUCCACUUGGCAAAUAAUCCAGACUUAUCUCAUUCCGACUGCCGUUAUUAUUUUCAACCGCACUGCAACCAAAAUAUAGGAAUCUGAAACUUCUCAUAAUCAAACACUAAAUGCGCUCGAUAACACCAAAAUACGUACAGAUUUGAAAUUUGGGUUUAAGUCCUUGACCUUGAUAUUUGGCAAUUGGCUUCAGCUACCUACGGUGACCACUAUUCUAUCAUAGUAGCUUUUAAUCUCUUGUUGCUUUGGUAUAAAUGUGUAUCAUGUAAAUACUGUCUUUUUUUUUUUUUGUAUUGCGCUUUUGUUCUAUCCCACAUGUGUACAACAAUACACACCAAGUUCCGAAUACAUUCCCAAAAUUUCAACCAUUUGCGAACAUGGAUCUAACAGAUAAUUCCAAGAUUCCAGUCCAGAUUUCAGCAAUGCAUCCAUAUCCAUUCAAGUUCAAGCAUGAUGCACAACUGCAUGAAACAAGAAAUCUCAAGUUAAUCACAAGCAAUUCAAAAUUCGGCCCGUAAUUAUUUAAAACCACACAAAAAACCCUCAACACGAGAGCAUAAUAACAAGAGAACAGAACCACUUCCAAAAACUUGAACUUUCCAUUCCUUAUAAAUAACUUCCAAACUUCAAACACUCAGAACAAAUAACUUCUCUCCAUAACUUCAACCACACCCUCCAAUUCAGAACCCACCAAAAAACCUCACAAUUUCCUAAACCGAAACCAGAAACUUUUCAACCAUACAAACAAAUCUGUAACAAAACCUUCAACAAGAGAACUCCCACAAAAGAAAACUCUACAACCUUCAAAAAACAACGUCUAAUCAUCAUAGACAAUUGCUUCCACGAGAGACUCAUUCAAAACUGAGCUUCACAUAAACCUAACUCCAACUCUCAAACUACAACGACCCUCCAACCAAAAAACCUGCAUCUAACCACAAAGGCACCUCUCAUCGGCAACAUUCCUCCUAAACCCACACUCUGAGUGCUCAUAACCAUCUAACCAUCUUCACCCUUCCUCCUCGAAUUAACUUGUCCAGAAACAAACUGCAACAAAUCGCCGCCCACGAAGUUAUCAUGAACAACGAAAUCCCUUGAUAAUAUCGAGUAUAACCAACAACUUCUAACUGAACCAUCUCCAAUUAACUUACUCAAUACACAGCAAACACUGCGAUUCACGGACCGUCUUCAACGCCCAUCUUCAAACCUGCAAUCCCAAAAAAAACAACCUUUUCAAUCAACAACUAUUCAUCGAAUUGUGCCUCUCGAUACGACUAACUAUACCCCUUCAACACUAAUAUAACCAAUAAAUCUCCAUUUCCCCCUCAAACCCUACUGCGAAAGUGUACUUCAAAAAUUUUGCAAAUGACGAGCCACUUCCGAUCGAAACCAUGCAACCAGCCUCCACAAUGGAGACCGUGCUCUCGAACCAAAUUCCCCAAUAAUUAAGAGAAAGAAAAAGAGGAGGAAUUUCACGACACACAAAGUUAAUUCCACUAACAGAAAAUUCGUUAUCAGAAAGAAAUCAGAGAGUAGACAAACGAAGAACAAUAGGUCAAUUCCGCCAGCAUGAGCACAAACAUAAAAAUGAAGGAAUGAAUGGAACACCUUACCUGGAGCCAUUGUACAAAAAUCGUAACGGAUUCAGCAUUGAAUCACCCGACCCAUCCAAGAUUUCGGCGUCGUAAUUUAGAUCGGACCGAUAACAAACAGCUUCUUGAUAAUUCGUGAUAAAUUAAUGGUUGUCCGCAUGAGCGAUUUCUUCUCGUCGACGAACCAGCGGAUCUACUCGCCUGCGAAGCAGAGCCACACGACAUAGACGACAAUCGGACGACAUCAACAACACAAAGCGAAUCGAAUCGGCUCGCGUGACCAACCAUUGAUCGAUUCACGGCAGCGAAGGUAAGCUCUUCCUCGCGUUGAAUAAGCAUUUCUUGAUUCGUACACCCCUGUAGUGAGUAUGAUCUUUUUGGGUCUUCAAUGAACCGGGUAGGUCUUCAAUGAAACCGGGUUGUGACGGUGUUGCCGACACACCAACGUGGGUUUCCUCCCUUGCCCAACAAAGUUCAAUGGCCUAAGUGCAUUUUUGUUAGCCAUACCACCUUCACCCGUUAAAUUUACCCCUAACCUCAUGUUUAUCUUUUUGUUAAUUUUAUAAUUUAACGGUAAUUUAACUAUUAUUUUUUAACUAAUUUUGCUAUUUGAUUUGUCCAAUCUAUUGUAAAAAAUUAUGAUAAUUAUGUUUCUUUUUCAUGUGGAUAUGUCAUUAAUUUAGGAUUUUGUUAAUUAACAGAUAACAAGGUCUGAUUUAAUUGGGUAUAGUUAGAGUUAAUGUAUUUAAAUUUGGUUGGAACGAUUUAUAAAUUAUGCUUCCAAUAUUACAGUAAGUAAUUAUUCCUUUAUGAUAAUCGAUUUCAAAAUUACCAGUCCAUAGUGACUAACCAAGUGAGAGCUCUGGGGAGUUCCGAUUAAGUAUUAAUAUUACCUCUGGACCAUUAAUGGGACAUGUUUCCAAUAUAGUAAUAUCGUGACAAUUAGGUAAAUAGUCAUAUUAUAUCAAUGCCGAGUUUCGCUUCACUUCACCAUGGUACCUUAAUUUUCAACUCAUCAUUUCGAACUACUGUAACGCUAUUUCUCUGGUUUAUGAUUUUCCGAAUGUCCAUUGUCAUAGUUUCAAGUUGUAAAUAUGGAUUGUUAAUUCCUUCGAUUUUAUGCUUUGCAUGUCAUAAUUCAUGUAAAGUCUUAGGUAGACCUUUCUAUAUACCGUGCUUAUCAAUAAUUUAAUAACGUACUAAUUAAUCACGAUUUUUAUUAUUCAUUUGGUUAUCUAGAUCAGGAGUAAUCGAAAUAACUUGAAAAUCUCAUUUCAAUAUUUAGUGCUAAUGCCAACUAUUGACUUUCGUAUGCCUAAUUUCAAUUUGUCAAUGAUCAAUGAUAAGGCCUCGGUCCAACAACCAAUUGAUGAUUUCUCGUAUCUAUACGACGUUAUGAUCAUCAUGAACCAAGAUUCAUUAUACCACUCUAAUUGAAUAUAUGAUCCUUAAGACCAUUGAAUAUACUAUAACAUUGAAUUGUGAUCAUUCUCGGAAAUUAUACCUCAUGUAUUCACUACGAGCUACAACAUAAAAGGCUCCAAUGUUGUAAUAUCUUUAUUCCCGUGAGUGUUAUCUUUUGACAUUUCAAACGUUCAUACUAACUAGCUGGUCAUGCUUCUAACCUACCAAAUAACCUAUAUUGUUGACAGUACAUCAUGCCCACUGGCUAUAAUGGCUUAAGGUACUGGAAUCGAGUACCAUUAUAGUUUUUGUAACUUGUAUGAAUUAGUCUAUCAUUCUUUGCCUUGUAAUAUGGGUAAGUGGAUCUCUCACACGCACACCGAACUAGUCAAAGUUAUUAUAGGGUCAAUUAGAUGUCCCGCCUCUUCACCACUUCCCAUCUGAGCGAAUAUAGAUAGUUUAUGGGAGUAUUAUAGUCUUUUAAGUAUAAUUCACUAUGCUACAUUGCUAAUGAAGAAAAAAAAUGGAUAAUAUAAAAAAACUAUAAACUGAAAAAUUGAAGCGAGUUCAAGAAGAAAUACAAAUAUAGGUGAGCUUUAUUUAAACCAAUUCUAUAGAUUCUUUUGUUCUAAAUUACACAACAUAACCUCUAUAGCCAAAGAUCUCUCGUAAAUAACUCUGAUAUAAUCAAUUCAAGGAAUAUUAGCUCUCGUUCACGUCUCUAUGCAUGUCACAUCUAAUACCCUUAUAUACUUCAUAUAAAACAACUUAACUCACAUUGCGCAAUUUUCUUCCUUUCCACACAAUCGAAUCUCCUCCACAUAUCUUCAAACACACUUUAUUCUACCUAAUAAAAAUCAACAAAUUUAUCCAAUGUCAGAAGUUCGAUUCCAUGUCAACAAGACCGAUUUCAUAACAAGAUCUAGAGAUAUGUUCCGUAUGCAAUUUACCUAUUCUUGUUCAAAGGGUGUCAAAAAUCAACAUUCUAACAGUAACUUUUUAAAUUCCUUGUCAAACCGUAGCCUCAUCAAAGUACUUGAGACUCAUUUUCUUCGACCAUCAUGUGGCGCUCAAUUCCCCCUUAAAACAUCUAAUGACUUACAGAGAACAAGCUUUAGCAUCCCUUUUAGGUGCUAUAGUAAGGGAGAAAAAAGGUAAUUAGGACUUUCUGAAUUUCCUCUCAAGCUUCCAACAAGUCACCUGUGCCAAUAUAUUGUGACCACACGUCUUUACAAAAUAAACAAACCAUGUGUUCCAUUUGCCCAAUAAAUGGCAUAACAUCCAAAGAAUUCUCAGUAAAAACCACAUACAAGGACUUCCAAUACGGCAGAUAUAUAUACACACUCUGUGAACCCAUCCUCUAUAGUUCUCUACAUUGAUUACCGACUUCCAAAACUCUUUUCUCAUCAAAUCUCUUUUUUGGAUGAAAAAAAGUGGUUAAGAUCAAGAAUUCGUCCUCCCUUUUGCCCAUUGCAUAGCUGCCCGAGUUCUCCACUCGGACCGGUUUAGACGUUGCCCAAACUCAUCGAGUACUGUCGCUAGCCACAAAUCAUUGUUCUGCCAUGCUUGCUCCUUCCACGGAGUAUAUUAGAUCAGACCCGUCAUAAUAAAUAAAGGAGUCUGCAGCCACCAGUCUGCACAUUGUUCUGUCCUCUUCCAUCUGAACCAAGUCCUUAACUCACUACCUAUGCGCACGGUAGUCUUUGUGUCCUCAGCACGUCUCACUGACAAUAUAUAUCAGUUAAUAAUACCAGCCCGACAUGUGUACUAACUUCGUUAUACCGUGAGAGCGAUGUUUCAAGCCUCCAUGGAUGCGAAGACCCAAGUAACUGUUUAAAAACUGCCUAGAGUCUUGUGACCUUGCCAACAGACCGUAUCCACUUUAUCGCAAAACCAUAUGCACAUGACUUUUGUCGCUUUCCCAUUGACAUAGUGGUUCAUAAUCAUUCAACGCCAAAGAUGAAUAUACGAGUGCACAUGAACGCUACACUGACUCGAUUUUGACAGCUUAAAAGACAACCAAACAAAUGUUUCGUUUGUGAUGACCGAACUUGACUGAGACUUCUGACUUACCUUAUGCAUGUAUGAGGAUCAGACUAGGCACAAUGGUCCCAAAUCCUUUGGCGCGCAACACUAACUUAAAAACAUAUUUUCUCUCCAUCUUAUCUUUCAUCUCAUUCCUGAUAGAGAAGCAAUAUACAUAAAAUAACAUCCCAUACAACACCAUUUGAUACGAGCAAGUGUUCCCAUGGAGUACCAUGGAUGUGAAGGGUGCUAAUACCUUCCCCUCCUUGCCUAUACCGAAUUAGUCCGUAUAUCCCGUAAAUCUUUGGGUCUGGCGAGAGCAUACAUCUUUAAUUUCUGGGCAUAAUCCACCGUUACCUUCCUUCCGCCUUCUCAUUAUUGGAACCUAUUCCAUAUUACACAUAUCAAUGGUGUGCCGAUCUCUAUAAAAUCUCUUCUCCACGAGCGGUGCGACAAGCUGCUACACUUAUCGGAUCUACCAUCUGUUUUUGUGUAAAGUUUGUUUGUUUUAACAUUGAUACCCGAGAUUCGCUUAUCUAUGAAUGUCAUAGAAUAUUCCAGGUUGCGCUAAAUGUUGGCAGUUAGGCUUUUCAAACACAACCAAGAGGAGAGUUCUCAAAUAUACUUCUAUAAAUGGAAGACUUGGCCGAAAGUUCCCCGAGUACAUUGGUUUGUUCGUAAUAGGCAGAGGUUGAAAAAGUUGCUCACAUGGUAAAGUUGCUCACAAAGUCACCAACUGUACCAUCUUGAGAGCAUCAAGUGAGUUACUUGGAGAUUCAUCAAAUUGAAGUCUUAAGCACAAAUAAAGUUGAAAGGCGAGGAGUUAAUGGGUGAUAACCACAUACGAAGACUUGGAGCACGGUUAUUAUGGAUAACAAUGUUUAUUGGAUAAAAUCACUUGAGAAAUAAACUUGGGCUAUGUAUAGUUUGAGUAUUAUUAAUAAAAAUACAAGGAAAUUAUCACUCGUGACAUAUUUAAAUUUGAAUUCAAAGAGAUGCAUCGUAUACAUCAAACUUAUGCAAAAUGGUGGAGUGUUGAAGGACUAAUCAUCGAUUAUUUUUCGAUGGUUUUAACCAUCGGAAUUAGAGCCGUGGAGUUAGCCGUUGCCAAGCGAGGACCGUGACACAUUGAAACUAAUGCAUGACUAGUAUUAGGCAGAGUCUCUCAUUAUCUCCAUCUCGAUGUCACAUAUUAAGGUAAUCCCAUAUGUAUCUCUUUAAAUUAUGCCUUCCAAAUAUGACUAACGAAAUUGUAUGCUAUUCAUGUAGCAUGCUGCUUCGUACGUCUUUAGGUUAACUAUGCAUUUAUCAGAUGAAUUGAGAUAUUAUCAUUAUACAGCAUAUAGGUUACUCAUCUACUCGAAUCGAGAUCGCAUGUUUGGACUGUCAUCAUACAAUCCAUAGGAUGAUCGGGACUUUAAUGAAACGUUCAUCUAUUACUUGAUUUAUUAAAUCAUCUUAUCGAGUUCUAUAAGUGGCCAUGGUUAUCUUGUAAGUGACUAUGUGUUAGGAAAUGCGUCAUACUCAUUAUUAGUGAUAUCUUCGUGUAUAAGCCCUGUAUAUAUGUAGAUUCCACCUCAAUUGAAUGAAUGUGCUCCAUAACGUACAUCUCUUUAUGUAUUAUGUUGUUUUGCUAACCCAGCGUGAUGAGUUAAAAACUCUUAAACCCUUUUUACUCUAGUAUAAGCACCUUAACUUUAGAGAGCGUAGGAUUUUUGAAAUUGACUAUCCGGAAGCAACUGUUCUAUAAUUAACACCCCCUAUAGCUUCCAUGCUUUGAGAACAUCCUCAUAUUCUCACUGACAUUUCUGGCACAUUACCUAAAUACGCUCUCUUCGCUACGAGCUUUUAUAGAUGACAAACAACGGUGAACCUCGAUUAACACGACAUUUGGAGCAAGUGGCCGUGCUCCUAGUAAUCUUACUGUAAUACACUCUAAUUUGGAAAUCUCGAUGACCCAGAAAAUCUACUUUGAUUAACUCUUUAUAUCGGGAAGAAGUUUUGUUCCAUUCAUUCAAUAAAGAUUCAUGUUGGCUAUUAACAACUAUGUCGAGCAACUACAAUGUUCUUAGUAGGUGUGCGUCACAAGUUCCCCUUCCUACCAAGUAAUGUCUCGUCUCCAACGGUUGAUUGUGAGGGUUGGAGGAGACCCAUCUAUUUCUCCAAUAACAAACCAGGGACCUCAUCAUUAUGUUUCGCGACAAUGCAUGCGGGCCUAUAAUAUGCCCUCCGGAUGUAGACUCUCUCUAAUGUCGCCUGAACCCGAAUCAGACAUGUGCCGACAUUGGUCUUGAGUAUUCCUAGUGAUCCGUCCUGACCUUAUUACACAGUGCUAUGAAUGGCCGAUACAAUGGCAUUUUGUAAUACACUAAAUGUGACGCAAGACAAUUCUCCGCGUUGACCCUUUAGUGUCGGAUCCCACCAAUUCAACUAGAUAUCACAGAGUAGAGUUGUCAAAAAUGAGCGGCCAUGACUAGCCCAUAAAGGUGCCGACCACCCAACCGAGGAUUCCUCGAAACUGAAUAUUCAAGCGGCUAUCCAGGCCCAUAUAAACCAUUUUAAGAGCCCAUUAUUUAAUUAGGAACGAGCUUUUUUUUACACGGACCCGUAAAAAGCCGUGAGACCACCAUUAGCAAUCUAACCCGUAAAGUGAUAUUCGCGCUGUACACAUUAGCUGACUCCGCGAUAGAAUCUUACUAUCAAUAAUCCUUGAAAAAUAUGAACUCAAAUCGUUAAAUGUAUAUAUUUAUAUUUUCCUUGCGGGCACCCACUCUAAAAAUAUACACACAUUGAUGUUUUCUCAGCUCUUCUACAAAUAAAUUUACUUUAUUGCAUCAUUGGUUUCGUCUUUUUGCAGUUUUAACAAAACUAAAUGAUAUCCGAUCGGAACAUCUCACCAUUCUUCUUCUUCGUUUUGAUUGAGUUUCUAUUAUGUUAAAUAUCGAUAGUAUAUUUAUUAUACAAUUUAGACAUUUUGUCUGUCCACUUCUCAAUAAGAUAUACUGUAUAGUAUUUAUAAAUAAUAGACAAACAAUUGUACAUUAAUAGUACUUAAAAAUAAUAUUAUGUUUAAAAAUAAUAUAAAUUUUUAAUUUUAUUCGAAUUAUUAUAAAAUAAUUCCCUAUUUGACAACUUUAUUUUAAUGAUUUUGUCGAAUUGUUUUAUGCAAAAAAGCUCUGUGUAUCUAGCGGCGACGCUCAUACCCAAAAUUCACCAUACCUCUGCGGAUACUAAUUCGCUUCAUGAUCCAUAAGAACCCACUACAUCCCGCCCAUACCUAAGCAUCGCAAUCUAGUUCUGAUCAUACAAGAAAAAUUAUGUAACACGGUUACCCAAAUCAUGUAUAUACGCGAUUUACAACAGUACCAAAACUGAUUUUGACCAUUUUGGGACCUUAUGUAACGCGGUUCCAUAUUGGAGAGGUAUCAUCUCGGUAGGACUAGAUCUGCGCAGAAACAGAAACUGGAUCAUCUGUUAUAUAUACACGGAGCCUUUUGCUGCGUCCUCUACACACUCUCAACCCCUUUGCUUUCCUAUAAUAGAGGUAAUUAUGUUCCCCUCAUUUUUCAAUGCUUCUAGCCCCCCAUAUAGUUUCUGUUCCACAGUACGUCAUUCCCUACUCAACUUCUCUAAAAACCUAAAGCCACACCAACAAAAAACCUAUCUCGAUUCUCCUCUUAGAAAAGUCAUCCCUACCAAGCUUUUUUUGUCCACAUUGAUAUUUUGGUUCUCAAAACUUCAUCCUUACCUCUCAUACCUAACGAUAAACUAUAACUCAACUCUACAUUAUACUCUCACACCAUACUAAACAAAUCUUUAUCCCAAACUCCUUGGCCGACUAUUACCAAAUAGCUCAACAACCAACUCAUCACACAUCAACCCUUUUUUCCAACACGAAUAGUUAUGAGAGGUAAUGAUCUUUACGCUAUAAAAUAAUAUGGGAUGAAUUUAGCUAUUAACAAUCUCUUUGAGUUUCUGUGUCUUUGUGUUGUAAGAUGUUAAGAUGCUCUUCUUUCAGUCAUUGGGUGUGUCCCAUUUCCACUUGUGUAGCAGGCAUUUUUAUGACUAACUCCAAAAACUUGUAAACAUAUAUGAUUAAACCUCUGAGGUAAUAUCACCUUAUCGUUUUUUUUGAGCGGAUCAACUAGCUCCUAGCUUACUGCUUAUAUGCACCACUACUUUAAUCAACUUAGUAUUUAUUUACUAUAUAUGACUAUGCAUUAUUCUAUCUCGAAUCUUGUAAUGUUCGACACGAAUUUGUUCAUUUGGUUAUGACAUUCUAUUAUGAGUUGUCAUGGCUAUGGUGUUUAGAUGGAUAAACCUAGAAAUCAGAGUUUUGUUCUCUAUAGACUAUAUUUUAAUGUUGAUCAAGCCUUAGAGCGUUCACUGAUUGAGCUAUAUGUGAGCGAAUAUCAUUGAGAUAUGUUAAUAAGCCGCUCAUUGUUCUUAACAUCGAAUAAUAUGGUGGUGUCAUAUUUGAAUACAAGAUGAAACCUAAUCUUAACUUAAACUACAUUGAUUUCUUGUUAUCAUUUAAUAUUCCCUUAUUGUUGAGCCUUGUGACUCUAAUGGAUAUCCAUUCUUAGGGUUUCGUAUAGAUAUUUCUAUUAUCAACUCCAUCUGAGCCUACUGAUGUAGGUUAGAGUGGAUAAACCUUCAAAUGUUAAAAUCCUCAACUAUUAUAAUGCACGUCCUUUACUGUGAUUCCAUGAUCAAGUAGCGAACUCCUUUCAUGAUACCUUUCUGGGAGGCAUUGAUAGGUUGCCUCUAUUUCAACUCAUGUUUGGGUCAUUUGAACACUAAAUGUAUAUUCAUCACCCGCCAUUACUCUUUACAUCUGAGAUCUUCGUUAAUUCUACAUUUGGCUGCCUAUAGUAUAUCCUACCCCACACACUCAAUAAUAACUACUAUAAACAUCCAUAUGAAAUCAAUGUUAUACUAUGAUGCCCUUUACUUUCGACUAUAAUCUCAAUUACUACUCUGAGUUGCGAGUUAAAUAUAAAUAGUACUGUGAUCCCAUAGGAUAUUGUUAAUACUCGUUCAUUUUAGCUUCAUCACUAACCAUAUCACCUGUUUCAACAUUAUAUGACACUAUAUAUAUCCUACUCUACACACUUUUAAUGACUAUGCUGCUAAUAAAAGUAGAAUAAAAAAUAAAACUAAUAAAGUAUCCAAUCAACAAAGUCGAUAAAUGAUUGAAGAUGGACCCUCUAGAUGCAAUAUAUGCUACUUCUUCUAUGUUAAACACUAUCUAUUGUUAUUGAUUUAUAAUUCUCACAUCAAAUUCUUUUUUUUUCCUAUCAACUAAUAAACUAUAUGCUUCACUAGUGAUAUGGAUAGCGCACACAUCCUCUCGUAUAAGUGAUUGAAUCAAGAUAAUCUGCAGAAUCCUUCUCUGAUACCCUUAUGAAAAGAGCACUUCAAAAGAGUGCCAGCUAACUUAAUAAUAUUGCACAGUGACAUAUUACUUUAACUCCUAAGCUUAUAAGUAAUAUCACUUAACUUGUUUUUUAUAUACAUUCUAAACCUUUGUAUUGGUUUUUUUUUCAGCUUACCAUUAACUUGUGGUCUCUCAACAUUAUUUAAUGGUCAUUUUACAUUCACACUAUAACCGAUUAUGGUUCAUUGUGAUAUUGUCCUUCUUCUUCUUUGUGUAUGUUGUUAACUUUAAGUUAUUAAAUUGUAAUUAUAUUUAGGAGUAUAUGACUGAAACACAUUUAUUCAUCACAUUGUACUAAAAACUCCUCCAAUGCAAGGUUGAAUUUACUUGUUUAUUUAUUUUAUCUAGCAGUGAGUAGAGGGCGAGAGAGAAAAGCAACAAAAACGAUGAUAGGAGAGAGGAGGAGAGAGCGAGAGAGAGCGAACUCUUAACCAAGAGCUGGAGGUAGAGAUUCGAUCUUAGGACCUUUGCUUGGAGGAACCUCUUUGGCGACGCUGUGGAUAGCCGUUAAGAUAAAAACGACCUUUGAGAAAUAUGUAAUCGGCACUCCGGAUAAACUUACAGCGUAUGUUAAGUCAAAGAAUGGUGCAGAGCAUCCUGGCAACCAAACCGUGGGAGGCGAAACAAUAUGUUGAUAAGACAACUAGAUGAGCUUGAGAAAUAUUAGACAUACAACGCCUCAGCUGGUUAGUGACACUAGCAAAAGUGAUUUUACCUCUUGGCUACCUUAAAAGAGACUCUUUAAUUAUCUUAUUGGGUUUUAUUAUAAUGUUCUAUCAUUAAAGGUUGCAUAAGAUCAUAAGAUUCAGUAAUUAAGAGUACAUUCAUAACCCUUGAUUCAAGGCGUAAUGGACUUAUAUUCUGAUAAUCAUAAUUCACAAAAGCAGGCCUUAUAAAUGAAGUGACGAGCCCUGUCAUUAUUGUAUUGCGCAACACGAGCAUAUGCAGCUGCGCUAGAAGAAUGAGAUGAGAAUGGAGCAUCCAUACUCUUACUCUGAUGCUUAUUCCCCUAGAUUGCCUGUACUAAUAACAGAUGCUUGUAGAACUUUGCUAUUGAGUUGAGAGCAUAUCACCUCCUCCCAUAUGAAACCUCAGAUAGGCUCACAAUAUUUAUCUUAUUCACAAAGCAGAGCAUUAUUUUCAUAAAACCCUUAUUCAGGUAAACAAUACAACUCAUCAACUCAUUUUGUGCCUUAGGGCAACAUCCUGAAAACUCCUUUUUCUCAAAGGUACAAUAUACAACCAACACACAAACAUUUUCUACUCCUGAACUACGAAGCUCGGUGACCCUCAUUUCCCCGAAAGGGGAGUACGCGUAGGCACUAAGUUCCAUCUAAAUAACCUUGGACGAGCACUCGAGCACAAUAUCAAUAAAUAACACCCCUUUCUUUGUUCACUCGAUCCACUCUUUUUGAAAAUAUCUACACACAAUAUACCCACUACCGAUUAUCAAAUCUCUUCUAUUUCAGCCACUAAUACCAACCUCCACAAAUGAAUGGUCCCAUGGCGAGCUCUAUUGUACCUUAAGGAGAGACGAUGCAGGGGCUCGCUCUAAGUACGUGUCCCUCGCUACCGUAACCUGAGAUCUUCCACGGAAUCUCCAGAUAUCUCGGUUCUCGCCUCGAGACCGAUUUCACCUUUAUUCUUUUCUCUCGUCAGUCGCUACCCUUCACGUGUCGUCUCUAUUUCCGAGAGGGUUUUAUCGAGCGAUUUUCAUGGUUCACACUUCAUCUCGAUAGAGGUACAAGAGAUAAAACUCUCUAAUCGGAAUGCUGCAGGCUUCUGACUUUGCUCUGCUUAUUUGGUCAUCGUCUAUGUAUUUGUUCGCCCGAUUGACGGUUAUCUAGCGAAAAUCCCGUAGCGACAAACCCUGGAACUGUCUGUACAUUGGCGAUCCAAUUCCCUAAGCAAGUCUAGUCAGUUUGGGUGCGUUGUUUUCCUCAUUUUAUGUACGUGGAGAUGAUCGUGCCUCAAGAACAUCCUUUGAGCCGCAAACAUAUAAAUAUAUAUAUAGUAUAUAUAUAUAUUAUUAUAUUAUUAUAAUAUAAUAUAUAUAUAUAUAUAUAUAUAAUAUAUUAUAUAUUAUAUAUUAUAUAAUAUAUAUAUAUAUAUAUAUAUAAUAUAUAUAUUUAAUAAUAUAUAUAUAUAUAUAUAUAUAUAUAUAUAAUAUAUAUAUAUAUUAUAUAUGAUAUAUAUAAUAUAUAUUAUAGAUAUUUUAAUGUUGUUGAGAAUGUAUCCAAGUGUGAGUAGUUGGAAAUAUCCUCACAUUGGUUCGGAAAUAUGGAUAAAAAGACUGAGCAUUUAUGAAGUGAGAGAUCCACCCACUUAGUCAGCCUAAGGUCUUUUGAGUGGAAUAUGUGGUGGUGUCUAUAAGGUGUUGCUCUAAAUAAGAAGAGUUCACAGAUGUUCAAUUGGCUCCCUACGUGAAAACUCUCUCCCCAAUCACCUUAAGGUUUUAAAUGGCAUUCUUCAACCAUUAAUGCAAUUGUAUGCUAUGCUUAGUUGAAGACAUCUUAAUGGUGAGAAUUCAUGAUGAAUGAUAGUAAGUUAACCUAGAUUUGCGUAUUGAGGUCAUGAGUGAGGUUUUGACUUAGAAUACUUGAAUGACGGUAUUCAUUCGUACGACGCUUAUGUGGAGGUCGUGUACGAAUUGUUGCCUUGAUUGAGAAUGAGACGCAUUGUAUGGAACAUGCCAUGCUAUUAAUUAUGUAUUGUGGUGAAUGAAGUCACCCGUGAUUGAUGGAUUUUGUUAUGGUUCGUGGAACCGAUGAAUUGUGAAACCGAUCAUGUAUUCAGAAUGUGUAUUUUCUGUGACGGUGCACAUCUCUCUUUGGUAUGCUUAGAUGAGUAAGCAUUGGGAUGUGAGACCAUGAUUUGAGCCUUAAUUGGGUUUGAGCCCCAACCAUGGAGGAAAUGGGGGAAAGGUGGACACCUAGGUGGGUUAGAGUCCCAUACGGUGAAAUAUACCCUAGGUGGGUUAGAGUCCCAUACGAGUGACGAUCGCUUGAACUGGGGAUUAAGCCUCGUAGAGGACCCGAUAUCCACCGCGAAAGUCGAAUCAUACGAGCAUGCAUGAACUGGGCCUGGCUUAGACGUAAGUCCGUUCGGGAAUUGAUGCAUCGUAAUCUGAAUAAUGAUUGUGGUUGAGUUAAGAGAACUCAGAUGCAUGUUUCCAUACAUUGCGAGUUAGUUUCCCCAUCGCUCAAGUCUUCGGUCCCUUGUUGACUUGAGUUGGAUAUGAGUUGAAUAUUGAUUAGAAAAACCCUGUAAAGUUGAGUGGACCCAUAAGAUAGGGAACCCACUGAGAUUAUUGUCUCACCCCAUGUUGUUGAUUAUUUUUCAGGUGGUUCUGAGCAGGUGAAAGGUAAGGACAAGAUAGAGUGGUGUCUUGCUUACCUGAGGACUGGAUGGCUUUUCUUUCCACUGUGUAAAUAUUUUUGGGAUCAUUGUCUAAUGAUCUAGAUCAAUAGUUUUAUUUUAGGCACUUUUGUGUACAUUUUGUGCCAUGUUGUAUUUAUUUUGGGCAUGUAUUUGUAUAUGUACACUGUGCUGCUAGGCGCUUAUGUAUUUCAGUACCAGUUUUACACUAUGUGUAAUAUGUAUUCUAGACAUAUAUUAUAUAUGGGUGUUACAUAUUAAGCCAUACAAAUAACACUUUAUAUAUGCUUACAUAUAAGCAUACCAUUAAAUGAUAGAGCAUCUCACCUCACGUGAGUAGGAUCUCUAAACCAUCAUAAAACACAACCACUAUUGUGGGCAAGCCCUAACUACCAGACAACGUAGUAUACCUACUAAGGCCUCUGAGUCCCUCUACCCUUGUAGGAGGAACAUGCACUACCUCACCCAUUUUAAAGAUGCUACAAUCAGGGUCGUUCCACCAAACCAAUAAAUGUUUAUGGGGGUGUUCCAAAAUGGACUAAAGGCGAGAACUUUAACAAGUCCCUUGCCCAAAAACCAGCGCUUUUGUUGGCAGAAGUGGUCACCAGAGUAGACUGCUACAUAAAGGGUAGGGAGAGAAACACAAAAAAGGAAGGCACACGAUGUAAAUGAGUAUGUUCCAAAUGAUGAGAGUUCACACAACCAGAGGAAGAGCAAUUAUACCUUGCCCAUAAAUAAAAAGACUGCAUUUAAGAGGGUAUGCAAGGCGAAAAAAUACUUCAUGCGCCUGAAUAACCGUCAUGAGCAGAUCUGGCUCAAGGUUCUCCGCCUACACAACAUCCCUACAAUGCCCGCUCCAAAGGAAUAUGUGAUGGGUCUUGAACAGGGAAGAUGGUGCAAGUUCUAUAGAGUCAAUGGACACCACACUGAAGAUUACUACUAGCUCAAAAAAGAAAUUGAGAGACUAAUACAAGGGGACACCUUAAGAAAUAUGUGAAUGGUGACUCCUCCCAUGUGUUAGAUAAAUCUAACUCACGAGGUUAAGAUGACGUUGGAAUCCCCAUGCUCAACAAAGCAAAAGAGGUGUCUUAGCAAUAAGGUAGUAAAGUUUUACACUACAUGCUAAACACCAUAGCAUCCAUGUGUUAGAUAAAUCUAACUCACGAGGUUAAGAUGACGUUGGAAUCCCCAUGCUCAACAAAGCAAAAGAGGUGUCUUAGCAAUAAGGUAGUAAAGUUUUACACUACAUGCUAAACACCAUAGCAUGAGGAUUCGACGGGGGCAAGGAAACUAGUUUUGCGUGUAGAAGGUGUGCUCGCUAGAUCCUGAGUGUAGAAGAUCUCCCAAAAGUCGAUACUGAAGGCGAACAACAAGCACCAUAAACCAUGAUCGCCGUGUUUGAGAAAGACGUAGUUAGCCUCCACCCUCACAAUGAUGACCCCAUGGUCAUUACCAUCGACUGUGAAGAAUGGGAGAUUAAAAGAGUUAUCGUAGACCAGGGGAGUUCCGCAGACAUUAUACUAGGAUCCAUUUGAAAGAUUUUGUCUUGACCUAGAGGAUCUGAAGCCUUUCAAAGGAUCAUUGGUUAGAUUAUCUGGAUAACAGGUACAUGUAAAGGGAUAUAUCACCUUGAUGAUCACUUUUGGAAAGCAGGAUCAUGCCAAAGAGAUAAAGGUUAGAUAUUUGGAUAUUUAUUCCCCUUAUUCCUACAAUAUGAUUACAGUUCGACCCGAUUUUAACCGACUAGGCGCCGCCUUAUCCAAGCUGUAUUUAUGCAUGACGUACCUGCUCCCCAAUGGGCAAGUGGGAUUUAUAAAAGGAUAUCAUGAGGAAACUAGGAAAUGUUACUCAUAAAGCCUUAAGUUUAAGAGGGUUCGCACUCCAGGCCGGAAGGCCAAGAGGAUUAACUUAGAAAUAAAGUCAUUAGGAGAAACCUGCAUGGGUGGGGAGGCUUACUCUCCAAUUGCUAAGGAGAUAAAAGAUUGAAGGUUCAUAAGGGAGAUCCUUUGGAGACUUCAACAUAGUUGUCAGUCAUUUAUUUUCUUUAUUACGAUUUGGAUAAUUUGUUGUCAUGUUUUAUAGGCGAGUACUGCAUCUCAACCGAUUGUAACAAAACAUUAUUUCAUGGAAUUAAUUGAUAAUGACAACUAAUAUCCUCUAAUAAGUCAAGCAUAAGUGAUUAAGUAGAUCAAGGUGAAAAACUAAGUAUUAAGGUUUGAUGGGUUUGAUUAUUCGAUGAUGGUAACCAAAUAGAAUACAAGCCCAUACCUUAUAUCAAGUGAAAUAAAUCAAGUGCCUACAAAGUAAAGCAUCUGACAAAGUCUUGAAAUCCAAGAAAGCCCUACCAUGCUUAGUCUGAGUGAAUAUGUUGUAAAACAUAAGGGUGCUCUCGUAAAACUGCAUGGCUAAAUCACACACACACACACACUAAAACAUAUUUUCAAAAUUAUUUUUCUCAAGAAAAUAUCUUCAAAAAUGUCUUGAAGUUAUUCCAAAUGAGUUGGAAGAUGUCAGAAUAGCUAUAUGCAAAGUUUAUCUUUGCCAAUCGAUUAUCACAUUAAUUUAAUCAAUUGGCUCAGUUCAAAAUCAAUUUCUAAGCAAUUAUGAUAUCAUCUUAAAAGUUUUGUCUUUGACAAUCGAUUAGCACAUUAAUUUAAAGGCUCAACCCAUGUUAAAAUCCUUCAUUAGUUAUCCCGCAGUAAAACCAAGGUUAGGUUAAAGCUUAUCCCGAUAUUAAAAGAUUUGAUAAGGUUCGAGAUUAGCCUAAUGUUAAAAUAUCGUGGGUUAUUGUAAAACCAAGGUUAGGUUAAAGCUUAUCCCGAUAUUAAAAGAUUUGAUAAGGUUCGAGAUUAGCCUAAUGUUAAAAUAUCGUGGGUUAUUGGUUAACACGUGUAAAACUAAUGUUUAAGGUUCAUGAGCUCAACCCGUGAUAAAAGCUUACAAAGUUUGUUUAGAAGCUUGAAGACUAACCGCUCUAAUACUCUUGUGGUAAGAAAACUAACCGCUUCGAUCUACAUCGUAGAAAGAGGACUAACCGUUUCAAUAUGUCAUUUGGAAAAAAAAGACUCAAAGUUCUCUAUCUUAGUCUUAUUGUUUGGUUGGAAGUCAAUCAUUUUCCAUGUAUAAGGGGAUUCAUGAGUAUUACUUACUAAAAGCUCUCAAAGUUUAUUAGAUACUCUCAAAAUCAAUUUUUAGGGACGAGACUAAUUUGUUUUUUGAUUGUGUAACACCCCAAAAUUUGCCCUCCUCAUUCAUAGAUUAAUUUUUUUAGGUCAUUUAGCAUUUCAUAUUGCACUUCAUCAUGUCAAUCAGAAUCAGGUCCAAGAAGCUUGGACAUCAUCCUAGACACUCUGUGGAUUCUAUCCAGGUGAUCGGUCAACACAAGGGAAGGACUUGAAUUACUACCAACAGGGUCAAGUGAGGCCUAUCCACCAUGCAAAGCACCAAGUUUGAAGAAGAAGUAAAAAGCAAAGCCUGAGCUGUCAUGCUCGCUAGGCGAGCAGAUUGCUUCGCCUAGCGAAGAGCACUGUCAUGCUCGCUAGGCGAGCAGAUCCUUCGCUAGGCGAAGGGCACGCAUUUUCAGAAAAUAACAGAAAGUUUUGGGCUUGAGCUGACCUCAUUGUGAGCCCACCACCCACGAAAAUCAGUCUAUAAAUACCAAAGUCUCAGUAGAGAAAAAACCCUGAGAGUUUCACUGGAGAAAGGCUUGAGAGAAAGAGACCUAAGAACUAAUCUGCAGCGACCUUCAGACAGCUCUGAGAAGUUCACUCCGACUCACACACUUUUUCACCUCCGCCUCACGCAAGCCCUAACAGUGCUUUGCAAACUCAACCGUGCCCUUCGAUUUCAAUCGAUCUCUCCGAUCAGGUUUGCCCUUAUUCCUUUAAGUACUCUAUGCUUUCAAUAUUGAAUUCUAUGAAUGUAUGAGGUAUCGUUUGUUUUUGCCCACGGGUUUAGAUGUGCAUGAAUGUAUAAAACAAUACCUUGAAUAUUUUAAUCAUUUUCGUUUAUGAGAUGGAUACCACAGGGUUUCGGAUUAUGGAGAUCAAACUGUUAUCAAGGAAGAAUCCAAACCCGCAGGCCUUCACUAGCCGCUUCGCUAGGCGAGCCUGUAGCGAAGCUUCGCUAAGCCUUCGCUAGGCGAAGCAGUCGCAAACGUGACAAUAUUUGUUUUUUUGUUCUGUUUUGUUCUAACCUGUCUUGUGGUUCCAUGGCAUUGUUUUCUCUUGAUUUCAUCCUGUUACUCUAACCUUUUGUUGAGUUUUUAUGAGGGCUCACAUGACUCUUGCAGAGAUAGCUCGCGUGGUUUUCCCACUUUAUUUGUGGGAUACCCCCUGGAGGUUUAUCCCGAUUACCUGUACUGACUGACUUUCUGUGAUGAUGUUAGCUUGGAAGGAUCCCUGGGUUUCCCAUUCCUCUAAUUGAUGUUACUUCGGAUCUUUAUCCGUGUGGUACUUUUACCUCUUUCCCGCAUUUUACCGCUUUCUUAGCUGAAAGACCUCGAUAGGAGGCAAUGUUUUUGUGUGUUUACUUUAUGCAGGUUCCUUCGUCCAUGACUCCUUUUGCAUGCGCGUUCCUAAAACGCAACCAAACCCAUUGAUUUUUCUUCUCCUAAGAACACGUUCACUCCUUCUACUACAGGCGAGUAAGUCUCCAAAGGUCGAGCAUCCGGUAGAUUGCGUAGUAACGUCGUUCGUCCAAACCCCAACCCUUAACCCCGUAGUUGGCCGAACUACGUUUUGCUCUGAUUCUCAGGCCAGAUGAGAUACGUAGGCAUAAGAUGCGAUGUCUUAGCGAGAACACUUCCCCUUAUCCCAUAGGUAGCCGAGCUACGAAGACUCUGAUUCUCAGGUAAAGAUGAGAUACGUAUGCAGUGGAUGCGACAUCCAUGCGAGUCAUUUUCCUUUGACCCUUCUUUUAGUAAGUAGUACAUUAGAUAAACAUACACGCUUUUCUCAUCCCUUCAGUCAUGUUUGCACAAAUAAUUUUUCACAAAAAAAAAACAACAACCGUUGCAACAAAUGUGAAAAGGGCUCCCUAGGAGUACCUAGGAUGUUUUGGGUGCCUAAUACCUUCCCAUUGCAUAACCAACCCCCUUACCCAGAUCUCUGACAUUUUUACUAGUUUUUGAUUCGAUAAAGACUUUUAGGUUUUUGGUUCGCUUCUAACAUUCCUUUGGAUAAAUAGAAGUGCGGUGGCGACUCGACUUGUAUGAUUUACCUUGGAUUAGUCAAUAUCUCCAAUGGGUAACGAAUACCCGCUACAGAAAAGUGGGACUCUGCUGGGGAUUACUCUAGUGGUUUUGCUCUCUUUCAUAUUUGGUUGUAUUAUAUUGUAUUUUUUUUUUGUGACAUAUUUUUGUGCAAUUUUGGGAUUCUGUAUUGUAUGUAACUGAUUGAAUGGGCUUGAAUAUUAAUUCCUUGUAUCGCUUGGUGAUCUUUGUGAGAUGAGUUCUAUACCGAACUCGAGUGCCUUAGGAUAGGAGAAUGGCAUAGUCCUGUUGUACUUNNNNNNNNNNNNNNNNNNNNNNNNNNNNNNNNNNNNNNNNNNNNNNNNNNNNNNNNNNNNNNNNNNNNNNNNNNNNNNNNNNNNNNNNNNNNNNNNNNNNNNNNNNNNNNNNNNNNNNNNNNNNNNNNNNNNNNNNNNNNNNNNNNNCAUAGUCCUGUAGACUUGUGUGAGUAUUCCUUAGCGAGUUUGACUUGCAAGCCCAUUCACUUGGUGGAGGUCAUGUUGAGAUCAAUAAUGUCACAAAGUAAGUUGUGGUUAGACAUUACUUUUUCCAAUAUAGACCUUAGAAGCCAAGGACCUUAGUUACCAAACCAUCUUGGCCUAUUCGUAGGACGUAGUGCGAAAGUCGUUCAAGUGUAAGAUUUGAUACGAUUGUUACGCGAACUCACUCAUAAGAGUCUCUCUUGAGAAUAUUCUUUGCGAAUGACGAGUAGUCGUUCCUCCGAUAAUAUCCGAAAGAUGGGAUUAUGACUAUGGGAACCUUUUGUAGAACAUGUUUGGCAGGUUUAAACCUUAGUACACUCCCUUUGGGUGGUUCUUAACCUAAACUUCAUGCUCGCGACUUGCAACAAACCCUUGAUUCAUGGUUGAUCCGUUCAGGUAUCCUUAAUAUCAAUGAAACUUGGGCGUUGAUAAGGUUUAAACCAUAAUCCACCAAAAUGGAUGGUUGAUAUUAAGGAUAACAUGAUCCAUCCCAUGACCUUUGUUUGGUGGGCUUUGCUUGAUCCUCUUAAUUUCUCUCCAGGCAGUGCAACCUGACAGAUGUUCAAGCAGAUCCAGCAAUCCUGAUUGACAUGCCAUUGCAUUGCAUAACAUCAUCUGCAUAUUUGCAUCCAACAUCUCAUGCUUAUUCAUUUGCAGGGUAUUCCCUUUUUAAGGGGGGGCUUAAAAUUGAAUUAGCAGUGCAUCGCAUACCAUGCAUACUAACCCUUGUUUGUUUUGCAGGUGUCACCGCAGUGUCUAAUGUUUGUUCCCUAUUUCAGGCAUUAUUGGUCCCAAGCGAGUCCACAGGUACCCGACAAAGGAAAACCGCCCGCGACUAGCAAUGGACCAGGUACAGAAAGAGCUGGCUGAUAUGCGUGAAAGGAUGGAUCAGUUCAUGACAUUGAUGACUGGUAUGGCAGAAGGCCAGGCGAAGCUGUGGGAAUUGGUUGAGCAACCGAGACCCGAGUCAGAGGUAGAGAUACCUAAUGCUGAGGGGAACCCUGGUAACCCUGGGAAUGCUGAUAACCCUGUGAACACUGGUAACGCGGGUAACGCAAAUGCUGAUGGAAACCCGGGUAAUGUUGGCAACACAGGGAAUGUUGGCAAUGGUAUUGGCGGGAGGUACAAUGUGAAUCAAGGAAUUCGGAUUAACGGGCGCCCCGUUACUGAAGAUUAUCAGUAUGAUCAAUUCUCUUUGCACGACGAAGCCCUCGAGACCACUCGCCGUAUGGAUGAGCUUGCCGAGAAGCUCAAAUCUUUGGAGUCUCAAAAUUCCUUAGGUUUUGAUGUCACAAAUCUUGGUCUGAUUCAGGGAGUAAGGAUCCCUCACAAGUUCAAACCCCCUACUUUUGAGAAAUACAACGGGGUUUCUUGCCCACGCACUCAUCUCCAAUCUUAUCUAGGAAGGCUGGGAGCUCACACUGAAGAUGAAAAGCUGUGGAUGUACUAUUUUGAAGACAGUCUAACGGGAGCUUCUCGUGAAUGGUAUUCUCAUUUGUCUCGUACUACCAUCAAGAGCUGGAAAGACUUGGCAGAGGCUUUUGUCAAGCAAUACCAAUACAACUUGGACAUGGCUCCAAAUCGGACAUUGUUGCAAGGGAUGUCUUAGACUGCCAAGGAGACCUUUAGAGAGUACGCUCAGCGUUGGAGACAGAUUGUUGCGUUCGUCCAACCCCCUAUGUCUGAAAGGGAGAUGGCGGACAUGUUCAUGAACACUCUUCAAGGCAAUUAUAUCGAGAGAUUGGCUGCUUGCCCGUCAAUCAGCUUUGCAGAGAUAGUAAUUGCUGGAGAAAGAAUCGAGAGUCUGUUGAAGAUGGGCCGAAUUCAAGACAAUAGUGCUUCCAAGAAACCGUUUGCUGGUAACGGUCAGCAAAGAAGAGAAGGCGAGACAAGCGAUGUGUAUGCCGGCAGAGGCAGGGGCAGAGGACGCCCUAAUUAUUAUCAAGAUCAAGUGGCCGCAAUCAAUUCUAACACCUGCUCCUCAACAGCAACAACAACCGCAAUAUCAUCCGCAACAGCAACCCAGGUACAACAAUCAACAACAGGGAAGUAACCCGGGUCAACAGAGACACUAUCAAUAACGUCCAAGGCAGAUGGACCGAGUCAUUGAGCCAAUCCCAAUGCCUUAUUCUGUAUUACUUCCCAAGCUGAUUGACAUGAAUCUGGUUACGUUGAGAACUCUGGCUCCGCCAACCGAUCCCAAUAUUUUGCCUAGAGGUUAUGAUGUCAACGCCAAAUGUGCUUUUCACUCCAACGCACCUGGCCAUACUACGGAUAAUUGUAAGGCUCUCCAGCUAAAGGUACAAGAUUUGAGAGAUGCCCAUGCCAUCAAUUUUUCUCUGGUGCCUAAUGUUAUCCAAAACCCGAUGCCGGCUCACGGAGGGCAGAGGAUUAAUGUCGUUGAUAGUGAGGAAACUUUGAAUUUGGUUUCUGAUGUGACUAAAGUGAAGACUUCCCUAUCGGUGGUUAAAGACCGACUCUUGAAAGGACAGAUUUUCCCGGGUUGUAGGGAAGAGUGCAGAAAUUGUCAAGACGCCGAGAACAGAUGUGACAGUUUGAGAAGGGGUAUUCAGCGACUGAUAGAUGAAGGUUGUCUUCAGUUCGAUCAGGCCCGUCCAGUGAAGAAUGAUGUGUCGACAGUAACGUUUUAUUUCACUCCUGAAGAAAUAUAUGUUCCCGAAAGACCCGCUCCGAUAAUAAUAUAUUUCCCAGAAGGUCCAGCACCAGUUACAGUUUACUUUGACAACCCUCAACCGGCUUUGGUUGGUCCGGUCACCAUCACGGUACCAGGACCUGUUCCGUAUGAGAAAGACAGUGCUAUCCUGUGGCACUAUGGGGCUGAUAUCUAUUGCCAGGGGAAGAAAGUUAACGGAGAAGACAUUGACAUUGGUAGCUCCGCUGUAGACAAUGUCGGAGGGAUUGGUGGCUUCACUCGCAGUGGACGCCUAUUCACACCAUCAACAUUGCGCACGAACACUGAAGCUGAGGCAGCUGCCAAGGCUAAAGGAAAAUAGGUAUCCAUCGAAGAGGUUACUACUGAGGAAGCUCCUCCUAAGACCGCAUUCGAGAAAGAAGUGGAUGAGUUCAUGAGGAUUAUCAAGAAAAGUGACUACAAGAUAGUCGACCAACUAAAUCAGACACCCUCAAAGAUCUCCAUUCUCUCAUUAUUGAUGUGCUCUGAGGCGCACAGAGAAGCCUUGUUGAAAGUCCUGGAUAUGGCCUAUGUCCCACCAGAGAUAACUGUUAACCAGCUGGAGUCGGUAGUUUCAAAUGUAAACGUUAGCCAUGGGUUGGGUUUCACCGAUGAUGACCUGACAUCUGAGGGCAGGAAUCACAACAAAGCGUUGCAUAUCACAAUGGAAUGCAAAGGGACAGUACUUUCCCAUGUUUUAGUUGAUACAGGCUCUUCUCUGAAUGUUCUUCCAAAGAAAGCCUUGACAAAGUUGGAGUGCGAUGGCAUCAUCCUGAAGCCAAGUAAUUUAGUUGUAAGGGCUUUUGAUGGCUCUAAGCGAGCUGUCUGUGGCGAAGUUGAGUUGCCAGUUAAGAUUGGACCGCAGGUGUUCAAGAGUGCCUUUUAUGUGAUGGAUAUCCAGCCUACCUAUAGUUGUCUGCUAGGUCGGCCUUGGAUUCACGCUGCUGGUGCUGUUACUUCUACUCUCCACCAGAAGCUCAAAUAUGGACUGGAAGGUCAGGUCGUCACUGUCUAUGGUGAAGAGGAUAUUUUUGUUAGCCACCUGUCUACAUUUAAGUAUGUGGAGAUGGAUGGCGAGAUGCAUGAGAUGCUGUGUCAAGGCUUCGAAGCCAUAAACAUCAGUGAGGUCGUGCCCGAAGCUGUCUUUUCACCUGAGUCUGAGAAGGUCGGGACUUCUAUCUCUUCAUACAAGUAAGUUAUUGAAGUGGUUAAGGCUGGUAAUGCCCAAGGCUGGAGCAAAUUUGUGGAGCCAAUCAUAAAAGAAGACAAGUUUGGAUUGGGGUAUACUCUGGGGUCUCAGAAGAAUGAAGCCGGUACUUUCUCCAGCGGGGGUCCGGUUUCUCCCCACAUCGUCAAUGCUGCAGAGGAAGACAAGGAUGACGGUGACUGUGACUUAGAUAGCUGGAUUCGCCCGUGUGUCCCAGGAGAAAAGCUCGACAGUUGGUCGUCUGAAAAAGUCCUCCGGUUUACUCUACUGAAGGAUUAAUUUUUAUUGUUUUCCUUUUAUUACAUGCAUAAUAAAGUCUUACACUUUGACCAAGGUGUAAUGACUCAUCUAUAGGGCCAUUCAUUUAGUUACAUUUCGUAAUUAUUUUUAUCAUCAAUAAAGGACAGCUUUUGCAAACAAUUUUGUGUUCUCUUUCUUUCAAUUAUUUUUUACUUUUACAUAAACGGCAAUGUUUCUUUUUCAUGUUUCUUUUUCGUUUUUCUUUCCAAAAACACCUCGUAAAACUGAUCACCCGGAUCUCACUGCUAACGACACUGCUAUGGCCAAGUAUGACUUCGACAAUCCUAUCUAUCAAGCCGAAGAAGGGGUUGAGGAAGAUUGUGAAUUGCCUGAAGAGUUAGCCAGGUUGUUGAAAUAGGAGGACCGAGCUAUCACACCUUAUCAGGAAGUGAUUAGGACCAUCAACAUUGGUACCGAGGACGACAAGAAAGAGAUCAAGAUCGGGGCCAGUCUACAGGACGAGAGGAAAGACCGUUGAUCAUGUACUUGACUGUGUUAGAAAGGUCAAGGGGUUGUGUGCUCGGUCAGCAUGACGAGUCAGGUCGAAAAGAGCAUACAAUAUACUACCUUAGCAAAAAGUAUACCGACUGUGAACAAAAAUACUCACUGCUCAAGAAAACUUGUUGCGCUUUGGCAUAGGCUGCUCGCCGACUAAGACAGUAUAUGUUGACUCACACGACUCUAUUGAUAUCAAAGAUGGAUCCAGUCAAGUAUAUUUUUGAAAAGCCAACACUUACCAGAAGGGUUACUAGGUGGCAAAUGAUACUGACAGAGUAUGACACCCAAUACACUUCACAAAAAUGUCUUGCCAAAUUUACGCAGAUAAAGUGCAUAUCCCUCUAAGCCCAUUGAAUGUCAUGUCGUCACCUUGGCCUUUUGCAAUGUGGGGCAUCGAUAUGAUUGGCAAGAUCGAACCGACUGCUUUCAACGGCCAUAGAUUCAUUUUGGUCGCUAUUGAUUACUUCACUAAAUGGGUGGAAGCAGCAUCCUAUGCGAAUGUUAUGAAGCAGGUGGUAGCCAGAUUUCUGAAAAGAGAUAUCAUCUGCAGAUACGGAAUUCCCGAGUAAAAUGGGUCCGUUCUCGAUACAAUCAGCUGAGCCUAGUUGAGGAAAAGAGACUAGCAGCUAUAUGCCAUGGCCAACUAUAUCAGAGACGAAUGAAGAAAGCAUUUGAUCAGAAAGUGCACACUCGGGAGUAUCAAGUCGGUGAAUUGGUACUCAAAAGAAUUCUUCCUCCUAACACAGAUCACAGGGGAAAAUGGACACCGAACUAUGAAGGUCCAUACGUGGUUAAAAGAGUUUUCUCUGACGGAGCUCUGAUGCUAACAACCAUGGAUGGCGAAGACUUCCCAUCCCCUGUCAACUCAGACGCAGUUAAAAAAUACUUCGCAUAAAAUAGACCCGCUGACAAGUAAAAAAAUAGUCCAGGCAAAAAAGGCAUCCGACGAACCAAAAAAAAGAUAAAAGAGUUCGGGCAAUUAGGGAUAUAAAAAAAGAGUAACACCGCGGUGAGCUCGACAGACACAUGAUGUCGAAGACUUCGGCAUACCCAUGUCAAAACAGAAUAACCACAGACGCAGUUAAAAAACUACUUCGCAUAAAAUAGACCCGCUGGACAAGUAAAAAGAAUAGUCCAGGCAAAAAAGGACAUCCCGGCGAACCAAAAAAAAGAAUAAAGAGAUUCGGGCAAAAAUUAGGGAUAUAAAAAAAAAAGAGUACACCCGGUGAGUCGAAAACCCGAAAGGGCGGCUCAGGCAAAAAAGAGUAUCCCGGUGGAUUGAAAACCCAAAAGGGCAAUCCAUGCAAAAGUUAGGGAAUAAGCGAAUGACUGCAAUCUGAGUUCAUCCAUGUCAUAUCACCGUUUCAUUCAAUCCGGCAAUCUUCGAAGGUAAAAGAUCGACUAAUCAUCCACUUCAGGAAGCAAGAUGAGCAGAGCGUCUUGAGGACAUACGAGCCAUAGCAGAGUCGAAACUCAGUGGGACCCCGUUUCCACAUUGCCAUUAGGAUAGUUUCUCUUGUUCGAUUUAUAGCGAUCGCCUCUUUCCAGGGAUCAGCUUCCUGAUGUACUCGCCUAUUCUUGGCACAAAUUUUUCAACCAACAAAAGUCAAAUAAUUCAGUUAAAAAGCCUCUUUAUUUUUCAUUUAUCAGUUUGUUUGCAAAAAAUGUCCGAAUUUUUGAUAAAACAUAUUGCAUCUGAACAUAAUGGUGGCUUUUGCAGAUGAUUUGCACAUAAAAACAUUUAAAAUUGCUUUGAAGGUGCUUAAUCCCGGACGGUGAAUUCGAACCGAGAAAUUCCUCCGGGGCAUACGUGUAUUUUUUGGUUGCAGGUCACAGGAACCGGAUGCCCAGUCGUGAAUCCCCAUCCCCAAGCAGUUGACAAAGUCUAUCCUCAGCAGAGCAUAUCCCCAGUAGAGUUGACCGUAUCCAUACUAUAUAUCCCCAACAGAGUUGACAGUGCCAGACUGUAUCUUCCUAGCAACUGCGGAGUAGUUGCAUACCCAACAGACAAGAGGGUGGUGUUCCCAGUGUUCAUCUCAUUCCCCAGCAGCUUUUUUUAACAGAUUUGUUUUAAUCUCAGCUUGAGGACGAUUAGCAAGUUCACAUCCCCAGCAGGGGUUGAUCCCUACGACAUUUCCCCAGGAAAUGCUUUCCCCGCAGACUCUCCUCAUAGAGCCUCGCCAAACAAAGUUCCCAUAGUUGAUACUCCCCCAGCAAAGGUCAACUUCCCAGAUAGAGAGCCGAUUUAUUUCCGGUGGCUCCCCGAUCCCGGCAGACGGAUCAUUCCCCACAGAGCAUUCAAGGAUUGAUACAGCGAUCCGUUCCCUACCAGAGUUUGCUUCCCCAAGCAGAUUUCUUUUAUUUCUCUUUGCACCAUGCAUAAGAUUCGCAUUUGCAUGCAUAUCAUAUCAAGCAUACACAUAAGCUGAUAAACAGGUCCUUCAAAGCAGACAGAAGAAUUGCUUUACAACCAGAGUCAUGAGAUCCAGCCAGAGGAUCAAGUGUGAGUGGUCCAGCCUGAGGGUCAUUUUAAAGAUUCAGCUUGAGAAUCGUUUUCCAGUGAUCCAGCCUGAGGGUCAUUUUUGAAGAUUCAGCCUGAGAAUCGUUUUCCCGUGAUCCAGCAUGAGGGUCAUUUUUGAAGAUUCAUCCUGAGAUUUGAGAAUCGUUUUCCAGUGAUCCAGCCUGAGGGUCAUUUUUGAAGAUUCAGCCUGAGAAUCGUUUUCCCGUGAUCCAGCAUGAGGGUCAUUUUUGAAGAUUCAUCCUGAGAAUCGUUUUCCCGUGAUCCAGCAUGAGGGUCAUUUUUGAAGAUUCAACCUGAGAAUCGUUUUCCCAUGGUCCAGCAUGAGGGUCAUUUUUGAAGAUUCAGCCUGAGAAUCGUUUUCCCGUGAUCCAGCAUGAGGUUCAUUUUCGAAGAUUCAGCCUGAGAAUCGUUUUCCAAGAGUCAGCCUGAGGCUCAAUUUGAAGAUUCCCCCAGUGAAGUCGCCUGCAAGCAUCAUUUCCCCAGCAAGCCAGCCAGAGGAGUAGAUUGACAGCUCAACAGGAAAACAACCAGAUCCAGCCCGCGGAUCGCAAUUUAAAAACAAAGUCCAAUUGAAGAGUCGUACAACAUGUUCUAGCCUGAAGAAUAUGUACGAAGCCGAAAAAAAAGUGGAAUAUUCAAGAGGGUCAACCAGCGCAUGCCUCAGAUGCGAGAUCCUGAUGAUGGGAAUUUAUCAUCAAAACAAUCCAGAUCUAGCCAGAAGAUUGAAGUCAGGUCUAGCCCGAAGACCGAAAAUAGAUUCUGCCAGAGAAUCGCACUAAUCCAGAUCUAGCCCGAAGAUCGAUGAAGAUCUAGCCAGAAGAUCGAAGUCAGGUCUAGCCCGAAGACCGAAAAUAGAUUCAUCCAGAGAAUCGUAACAAUCCAGAGCUAGCCCGAAGAUCGAUGAAGAUCUAGCCAGAAGAUCGAAGCCAAGUCUAGCCCGAAGACCGAAAAUAGAUUCAGCCAGAGAAUCGCAACAAUCCAGAUCUAGCCAGAAGAUCGAAGUCAGGUCUAGCCCGGAGACCGAGAAUAGAUCUAGCCAGAAGAUCAAAGAAGAUCUAGCUAGAAGAUCAAAAUCGUAUCCAGCCCGAGGAUCAAAGUUAAUAUCCAGCCCGAGGAUCCAAAUUGAGUAUAGAUUCAGCUAGAGGAUCGAAAUUCCAGAUUAAGUCAGAAGACUGUUUCAGAUCCAGCUAGAGGAUCGGGAGAAAAAUAGACAAGCGGUGUAUUUUUAUGGUGUACUCAGAGCGCAAAUUUUUGGUCUGUCUUUGGUAUUCAAUCACAGCUCACCCUGUUCGUCUGAUAAGCUGUUCGCUUUCAUCCUGCUCGGGUUCGCUGAUGAUUGAAUAGGGGCAGCUGUAACGCCCCAAAAUUAGCCCUCCUCAUUCAUACAUUCAUUUUUUUAGGUCAUUUAGCAUUUCAAAUUGCACUUCAUCAUGUAAAUCAGAAUCAGGUCUGAGAAGCUUGAACAUCAUCCCAGACACUCUGUGGAUUCUAUCCAGGUGAUCGGUCAACACAAGGGAAGGACUUGAAUUACUACCAACAGGGUCUAGUGAGGCCUAUCCACCAUGCAAAGUGCCCAGUUUGAAGAAGAAGUAAAAAGCAAAGCCUAAGCUGUCCUGCUCGCUAGGCGAGCAGAAUGCUUCGCCUAGCGAAGAGCACUAUCAUGCUCGCUAGGUGAGCAGAAUGCUUCGCCUAGCGAAGAGCACUGUCAUACUCGCUAGGCGAACAGAUCCUUCGCUAGGCGAAGGGCACGCAUUUUCAGAAAAUAAUAGAAAGUUUUGGGCUUGAGCUGACAUCAUUGUGAGCCCACCACCCACGAAAAUCAGUCUAUAAAUACCAAAGUCUCAGUAGAGAAAAAACCCUAGGAGUUUCACUGGAGAAAGGCUUGAGAGAAAGAGACCUAAGAACUAAUCUGCAGCGACCUUCAGACAGCUCUGAGAAGUUCACUCCGACUCACACACUUUUUCACCUACGCCUCACGCAAGCCCUAACAGUGCUUUGCAAACUCAGCCGUGCCCUUCGAUUUCAAUCGAUCUCUCCGAUCAGGUUUGCCCUUAUUCCUUUAAGUACUUUAUGCUUUCAAUAUUGAAUUCUAUGAAUGUAUGAGGUAUCGUUUGUUUUUGCCCACGGGUUUAGAUGUGCAUGAAUGUAUAAAACAAUACCUUGAAUAUUUUAAUCGUUUUCGUUUAUGAGAUGGAUACCACAAGGUUUCGGAUUAUGGAGAUCAAACUGUUAUCAAGGAAGAAUCCAAACCCGCAGGCCUUCGCUAGCCGCUUCGCUAGGCGAGCCUGUAGCGAAGCUUCGCUAAGCCUUCGCUAGGCGAAGCAGUCGCAAACGUGACAAUAUUUGUUAAAAACAAGACAAAACAAGAUUGGACAGAACACCAAGGUACCCAUUGUUUUCUCUUGAUUUCAUCCUGUUACUCUAACCUUUUGUUGAGUUUUUAUGAGGGCUCACAUGACUCUUGCAGAGAUAGCUUGCGUGGUUUUCCCACUUUAUUUGUGGGAUACCCCCUGGAGGUUUAUUUCGAUUACCUGUACUGACUGACUUUCUGUGAUGAUGUUAGCUUGGAAGGAUCCCUGGGCUUCCCAUUCCUCUAAUUGCUGUUACUUCGGAUCUUUAUCCGCGUGGUACUUUUACCUCUUUCCCGCAUUUUACCGCUUUCUUAGUUGAAAGACCUCAAUAGGAGGCAAUGUUUAUGUGUGUUUACUUUAUGCAGGUUCCUUCGUCCAAGACUCCUUUUGCAUGUGCGUUCCUAAAACGCAACCAAAACCAUUGAGUUUUCUUCUCCUAAGAACACGUUCACUCCUUCUACUACAGGCGAGUAAGUCUCCAAUGAUCGAGCAUCCGGUAGAUUGCGUAGUAACGUCGUUCGUCCAAAGCCCAACCCUUAACCCCGUAAUUGGCCGAACUACGUUUUGCUCUGAUUCUCAGGCCAGAUGAGAUACGUAGGCAUAAGACGCGAUGUCUUAGUGAGCACACUUCCCCUUAUCCCAUAGGUAGCCGAGCUACGAAGACUCUGAUUCUCAGGUUCAGAUGAGAUAUGUAAGCAGUGGAUGCGACAUCCACGCGAGUCAUUUUUCUUUGACCCUUCUUUUAGUAAGUAGUACAUUAGAUAAACAUACACGCUUUUCUCAUCCCUUCAGUCAUGUUUGCACAAAUAAUUUUUCACAAAAAAAAACAACAACCUUUGCAACAAAUGUGAAAAGGGCUCCCUAGGAGUACCUAGGAUGUUUUGGGUGCCUAAUACCUUCCCAUUGCAUAACCAACCCCCUUACCCAGAUCUCUGACAUUUUUACUAGUUUUUGAUUCGAUAAAACUUUUAGGUUUUUGUUCGCUUUCUAACCAUUCCUUUGGAUAAAUAGAAGUGCGGUGGCGACUCGACUUGUAUGAUUUACCUUGGAUUUAGUCAAUAUCUCUAAUGGUAACGAAUACCCCGCUACAGANNNNNNNNNNNNNNNNNNNNNNNNNNNNNNNNNNNNNNNNNNNNNNNNNNNNNNNNNNNNNNNNNNNNNNNNNNNNNNNNNNNNNNNNNNNNNNNNNNNNNNNNNNNNNNNNNNNNNNNNNNNNNNNNNNNNNNNNNNNNNNNNNNNNNNNNNNNNNNNNNNNNNNNNNNNNNNNNNNNNNNNNNNNNNNNNNNNNNNNNNNNNNNNNNNNNNNNNNNNNNNNNNNNNNNNNNNNNNNNNNNNNNNNNNNNNNNNNNNNNNNNNNNNNNNNNNNNNNNNNNNNNNNNNNNNNNNNNNNNNNNNNNNNNNNNNNNNNNNNNNNNNNNNNNNNNNNNNNNNNNNNNNNNNNNNNNNNNNNNNNNNNNNNNNNNNNNNNNNNNNNNNNNNNNNNNNNNNNNNNNNNNNNNNNNNNNNNNNNNNNNNNNNNNNNNNNNNNNNNNNNNNNNNNNNNNNNNNNNNNNNNNNNNNNNNNNNNNNNNNNNNNNNNNNNNNNNNNNNNNNNNNNNNNNNNNNNNNNNNNNNNNNNNNNNNNNNNNNNNNNNNNNNNNNNNNNNNNNNNNNNNNNNNNNNNNNNNNNNNNNNNNNNNNNNNNNNNNNNNNNNNNNNNNNNNNNNNNNNNNNNNNNNNNNNNNNNNNNNNNNNNNNNNNNNNNNNNNNNNNNNNNNNNNNNNNNNNNNNNNNNNNNNNNNNNNNNNNNNNNNNNNNNNNNNNNNNNNNNNNNNNNNNNNNNNNNNNNNNNNNNNNNNNNNNNNNNNNNNNNNNNNNNNNNNNNNNNNNNNNNNNNNNNNNNNNNNNNNNNNNNNNNNNNNNNNNNNNNNNNNNNNNNNNNNNNNNNNNNNNNNNNNNNNNNNNNNNNNNNNNNNNNNNNNNNNNNNNNNNNNNNNNNNNNNNNNNNNNNNNNNNNNNNNNNNNNNNNNNNNNNNNNNNNNNNNNNNNNNNNNNNNNNNNNNNNNNNNNNNNNNNNNNNNNNNNNNNNNNNNNNNNNNNNNNNNNNNNNNNNNNNNNNNNNNNNNNNNNNNNNNNNNNNNNNNNNNNNNNNNNNNNNNNNNNNNNNNNNNNNNNNNNNNNNNNNNNNNNNNNNNNNNNNNNNNNNNNNNNNNNNNNNNNNNNNNNNNNNNNNNNNNNNNNNNNNNNNNNNNNNNNNNNNNNNNNNNNNNNNNNNNNNNNNNNNNNNNNNNNNNNNNNNNNNNNNNNNNNNNNNNNNNNNNNNNNNNNNNNNNNNNNNNNNNNNNNNNNNNNNNNNNNNNNNNNNNNNNNNNNNNNNNNNNNNNNNNNNNNNNNNNNNNNNNNNNNNNNNNNNNNNNNNNNNNNNNNNNNNNNNNNNNNNNNNNNNNNNNNNNNNNNNNNNNNNNNNNNNNNNNNNNNNNNNNNNNNNNNNNNNNNNNNNNNNNNNNNNNNNNNNNNNNNNNNNNNNNNNNNNNNNNNNNNNNNNNNNNNNNNNNNNNNNNNNNNNNNNNNNNNNNNNNNNNNNNNNNNNNNNNNNNNNNNNNNNNNNNNNNNNNNNNNNNNNNNNNNNNNNNNNNNNNNNNNNNNNNNNNNNNNNNNNNNNNNNNNNNNNNNNNNNNNNNNNNNNNNNNNNNNNNNNNNNNNNNNNNNNNNNNNNNNNNNNNNNNNNNNNNNNNNNNNNNNNNNNNNNNNNNNNNNNNNNNNNNNNNNNNNNNNNNNNNNNNNNNNNNNNNNNNNNNNNNNNNNNNNNNNNNNNNNNNNNNNNNNNNNNNNNNNNNNNNNNNNNNNNNNNNNNNNNNNNNNNNNNNNNNNNNNNNNNNNNNNNNNNNNNNNNNNNNNNNNNNNNNNNNNNNNNNNNNNNNNNNNNNNNNNNNNNNNNNNNNNNNNNNNNNNNNNNNNNNNNNNNNNNNNNNNNNNNNNNNNNNNNNNNNNNNNNNNNNNNNNNNNNNNNNNNNNNNNNNNNNNNNNNNNNNNNNNNNNNNNNNNNNNNNNNNNNNNNNNNNNNNNNNNNNNNNNNNNNNNNNNNNNNNNNNNNNNNNNNNNNNNNNNNNNNNNNNNNNNNNNNNNNNNNNNNNNNNNNNNNNNNNNNNNNNNNNNNNNNNNNNNNNNNNNNNNNNNNNNNNNNNNNNNNNNNNNNNNNNNNNNNNNNNNNNNNNNNNNNNNNNNNNNNNNNNNNNNNNNNNNNNNNNNNNNNNNNNNNNNNNNNNNNNNNNNNNNNNNNNNNNNNNNNNNNNNNNNNNNNNNNNNNNNNNNNNNNNNNNNNNNNNNNNNNNNNNNNNNNNNNNNNNNNNNNNNNNNNNNNNNNNNNNNNNNNNNNNNNNNNNNNNNNNNNNNNNNNNNNNNNNNNNNNNNNNNNNNNNNNNNNNNNNNNNNNNNNNNNNNNNNNNNNNNNNNNNNNNNNNNNNNNNNNNNNNNNNNNNNNNNNNNNNNNNNNNNNNNNNNNNNNNNNNNNNNNNNNNNNNNNNNNNNNNNNNNNCUUCUUAAGCCAGGAUAUUUGAUUAAUUAUAUUGCUUAUCUUUGGGACUUGAAUCGCGACUCUUUGAAAGGGCCAUUUGGUCAUCAAUGGUGUUUAAUCAUGGUUUGUGAUGCAAGUUUCAUAGUUUCAUUCAUGGUUCAUGCUUUCUUUCUUAUGAUGCAUUCAUGGUGCAUGAAGUUCAUUCAUAAUUCUUGGUCACAUGUUUUAAAAGGUGCAUAAUGUCUUAAUUUGAAUUUAUUGAUCCAAUCAUGAUUUAUUUAUCCCUUUCUAUUCAAAGUUGAUUUUGGAGGAAAAUUUUCACUUUAAAAAUAGAGCAUUGUUUCAUUAAAGAUUAGUUAUUACAUUUCAUUCAAAUCAAAAUGUACAUUAUCCAUAAGCAUGUUUAUAAAAAAAAUCAACAUUUUGUGAUGUUGACUUUUAGUCAACUGUUGAGUUUUUGGUCAACAAUUUACCAAAGUCAACACCAUUUAAUAAAUCCUAAAAAGCUUCAUCUUCAUAUUUCUUCAUCCACCAUCUUCAUCAUUAUUUAUUUCCACUAAAAUUGGAUUAUACUUUGUUUGAUUACCUACAAAAAGAACAUAAUGAGUGAGCCAUGAAUUCCAUUGAAUAUAUUCAAGCCACCAAAACCACAUCAAUCCAACAAACCAUGUAAAAGAAAAAAACCAUGACCAAAACAUACAUAAGAACCAUUUCAGCAAUUCUAAGUGACUUAACUUCAAUUCACCAAAUAUCCUACAAUCAUAUAUCCAUAACAUACAUAUUUGACAUUCACUAACAUAUGCGUUCAACCAAGGAUUACACUGUAGGUUCCCAAAUCAAUUCAGUAUGUAGCUUCGAAAAUAUAGCAAUUCGACUUCACCUAAUUGAACUAAUCAGUAUCAUGUUAAUAGAUUUUCUAAUAGAACUUCACUCUUCUAACUCAAAUACAACUAUCAUGGACAUUCACUUUAAAUAGAACGCACCAGGUUUAGCUUCUAACUGACAUAUACCUGCAAAAAUUCACUUAACACAGACAAAAUAUCUGAGGCUCCAUGGCAACUAACAAAAAAACAUACAGAAAAUAAAUCUCCACGGUAACUAACCUAAGGUAACAUACAUAAGAUCCCAAGCACUCUAACUGAUUUGGGAAGCUAAUAAAAUUGCUAACUAAUUGAUUAACCAAGGUCUAACAGAGUUUUCACGGCUAACCGAUCUUAACUUCUGAGAUUUAACAGAGUUUUCACUCUAUUAAAUCAAGGAUAGUAUAUAACCAUACUUCACUACAUGUUUUGGGGGGCUCAUCAAUAAACGUUUCCAGAUUCAUCGCCCUACCUCAAUCUCCUCAUAAACAUUUCCAGAUUCAUCGCUCUCAGUCAAUCUCCUCACAAAUGUUUCCAGAUUCAUCACUUUCACUAUGUUUCCUCACAAAUGUUAGCUCCCUCAACCUCACAACGAGCUAUAACAUACACAUCUUAGGAAGAAUCGCAGCAAGAAGAAGAUGAUGCGAAUGGAAAUCAGAGAAAAGGGAAAGAGAUUCAAUACCAUGGUGGCACCAAAAUCUCUGAUUCAGUGAGUGUUUAAUCCGAGGUCAUUUAUGAUCUUUUCAUACUCACGCAUGCACAAGAGAUAGCUGAACCUCAAACGAUGUUGGAAAUCCCCCAAAAACCUAUGGAGAAUUUUAGUCAAUCUUGAUGAACAAGAUUGUAAUUACCCACACAAUCACAACGAAAGGAGAAGAACAAUGGAGAAAGAAAGUGUAUAGAACGAUGAAGGAGAAGAAGAAUUAAAUUCUGCAGAGUUUCUCUCUAUCCACAAACUGUGGAAAACUUGUUAUUCACUUUGCAACUGCAAAAUACUGUGAAUACAAUAUGAUGUGAAUACUCUAUUCACCUCUAUUACAAAAUAAGGGUUACUCCCUCUAUUUAUAGAUUUAGGUUAACUUGGACCUCAAGUCAAAGCCCAAAACUAUAAAAGCUGAAAAUUAUAAGAGCCCAAAAUAGCUAACAUUAUUUAACACACUAGGUAGUUCGACACUUCCUUGCUUCUGUCGAGCAACCUGCUUCGACACAAGGAAUUACAAUUCAAAACAACACCUAAUUCAUUGUGUCUAAGCUAUCUACAUUCAUCAUGGAUCUUAGUCUUCUGAACACUUUGACCUGCACUCCCUUUGUCAUGAUGUCUGCAAUCUGAUUCUCAGUUCUUCAGUGUUCCACAUUCACCUUCCCAUCGGCUACCUGCUCUCGAAGAUAAUGGAACCUCAUCUCGAUGUGCUUGCUUCGACCAUGUUUCACAAACCCAGCUGGUUGUGCAAUAUAAACUUCUUUUGAUAAGGGACAAUUAAGGAAUGCACAUUUCACGUCCAUCUGGCACAUCUGCCAGUUGUUCAUGUUUGCUAGACCAACAACCAACCUGAUUGUUUCGAUUCUAGAAACAUGUGCAAAAACUUCAUCGAAGUCAAUUCCUUCUUUCUGAAGAAAUCCUUUCGCCACAAGUCUCGCCUUGUGUCGAGUCACUUCUCCUUUGGGACUCAACCUUACCUUGUAUACCCACUUCACAUCGAUUGCCUUCUUAUUUUGGGGCAAUUUGACAAGUGACCAAGUGUUAUUGACUUCGAUUGACUUUAGUUCUUCGUCCAUUACUUUCAUCCACAUCGAAUCUUUCAAUGCCUCAGCUGCAUUGACAGGUUCGACAUCUGCGUAGAAAGCAUAAUGUACCAGCUCACCUUCAUCAUUGACCAUAUCAUCUAAUGUAAUCACACAUUCUUGCAACCUUGCAGGAAUGUGUCUUGUUCUUUGAGGUCUGCUAUUGCUUGCUUCACCUCUGAUUUCUUCCCGUCGAACUACUCUUUCAACUUCAUUAGCUGGUUCAUCAUAAAAUAUUCUCACUGAAUCUUUCUUGACAUUCGAAGUUUAAUCCCACUCCUUAAGCUCAUCUAUGAUCACGUCCCUGCUGAUCACUACUUGCUUAUUCACUGGGUCGAAUAACUUGUAUCCUCCAGUCGAAUGAUAUCCUAUCAGGAUCAUCUGACUGGACAUGUCAUCAAGUUUUCUUCUCAACUGAUCUGGCACAUAUCUAUGUGCUAUAGAUCUAAACACCCUUAGAUGACCCAAGCUAGGCUUGACACCGGAUCAACAUUCUUCUGGCGUGAUUCCUUCUAGCUUCUUCGUCGGACAUCUGUUCAGGAUAUAUGUCGUAGUCGACACAGCUUCUCCCCAUGAUUCUUUGGGUAGAUGUUUUCCUUUCAACAUACUUCUAACCAUAUUCACAAUGGUUCUAUUCUUCCUUUCUGCGACUCCGUUCUGCUGUGGAAUAUAGAGUGGCACCACCUCAUGCACAAUCCCUUCUUUCACACAUAAUGCAUCGAAGUCUUUCGACACAUAUUCUCCACCACCAUCGGUUCUCAAAAUCUUCAUCUUUCGACUGCUAUGUCUUUCGACCAUAGAUUUAAACUUGGAAAAUACCUCGAUCACUUCACUUUUUUUCUGGAUCAGGUAAGACCACAAAUUUCGACUGAAAUCAUCUAUGAAUAUAACAAAGUAUUUUUUACAUCCAAUUGAAUCCACCUGGAGAGGACCACAUACAUCAGAGUAUAUGACUUCAAGAAUUGCCUUUGACCGGCUUCCUGCAUCCUUACUGAAGUUGUUCUUAUGCUACUUUGCCUGCACACAUUCUUCACACACUUUGUUUGGAUUGUCAAUUUUUCUGGUAAUCCUGAAACCAUAUUUCUUCUCUUCAAAUCUCUGAUGUCUUUGAAAUUAAGAUGGCCAAGUAUGUAAUGCCAUAUCCAUUUAUCUCUGCCGGUUGCUGUUGCAAGGCACUUAUGCUCCAUCACAUUUAGUUCAAUCUUGAAGGUUCUAUUCUAAGACAUUGGAGCCUUCAAGAUCAACCUUCCAUUUGAGUCGAGAACUCUCAUCAUCUUGUCUUUGAUUGACACCUUGUAGUUCUUUUCGACCAACUUCCCUAUGCUGAGUAAAAUACUCUUCAUGCCUGGUAUGUACAACACAUUUGAAAUUACUGACCUCUUGCCAUCUUUCAUCAUAACUAGAACAUCACCAACACCUUCAGCUGCUAGAGUGUUGUCAUUUGCAAAUUUUACCAUGUUCUUUAUUGAGGGCUUUAUUGCCACACCACCUCUUUGGUUGCCUUGGUUCCAGGGUUUUCUCUGAUUCGACCAGUUUCCUUCUUGCUGAUUUCGACCAGUCGAAUUAUUGUAACCUCCUCUGCCUUUGUUGCCAUUCCAGAUUCCUUUGCCUUUUCUUUGUUUUGUUGAUUGAGCCUGCAAAGCCAUAUCACUUUUCGACUUUCCUGCAACUCUUUCAGCCAUUCUUUGUUCAUGAGAUUCAAGCGUCCCUUGAAGCUCUUCCUUUGUCAGUUUUGACAAAUCUUUCGACUCUUAUAUGGCUACUACCACGUGGUAGAACUUUGGAGCCAAUGACCUCAAGAUCUUUCCAACAAUAGAUCUUGAUGUCAACACUUCACCACAUACCUUGAUUUGAUUCACCAGUUUUGUAACCUUGGUGAAGAAAUCAUUUAUUCUUUCAUUGUCUUCCAUCUAAAGCAAUUCAUACGUUCUUUUGUGAGUUUGUAACCUCACCUCUUUCACCUUCUCCGCGCCUCCAAACAAUUUCUCCAGAAUUUCCCAUGCUUCUUUCGCUGACUCUGCAUCACUAACUUUUUCAAAGUUAGCUGCAUCAACACAUUGAUGGAUUAUAAAGAGAGAUUUAUAAUCUUUCUUCUUCAAUUAUUUAUGUGCAGCCUUUUCUUGAUUCAUUGUGGCUUCUGCAAGCGUUGCUACUCCUUCAUGCACAAGAUCCCAAUGAUCUUGAUAACAGAACACAACCUUUAUCUGCUUGCACCAAUUCUCAUAAUUGUUGUUCUUGAGAAACAGAAGAUUUGUUGGAAAAUUCUCGUUUGGAUGAUUCGUUGCCAUGGUGAUUUUCUUCCCAUGAAUCGUUUAAACUGGAGCUCUUGAUACCAGAUGUUGGAAAUCCCCCAAAAACCUAAGGAGAAUUUCAGUCAAUCUUGAUGAACAAGAUUGUAAUUACCCUCACAAUAAAAACAAAAGGAGAAGAAUAAUGGAGAAAUAAAGUGUAUAGAAUGAUGAAGGAGAAGAAGAAUUAAAUUCUGCAGAGUUUCUCUCUGCCCACAAACUGUGGAAAACUUGUUAUUCACUUUGCAACUGCAAAAUACUGUGAAUACAAUAUGGUGUGAAUACUCUAUUCACCUCUAUUAAAAAAUAAGAGUUACUCCUUCUAUUUAUAGAUUUAGGUUAAUUUGGACCUCAAGUCAAAGCCCAAAACUAUAAAAGCCCAAAAUUAUAAGAGUCCAAAAUAGCUAACACUAUUUAACACACUAGGUGGUUCGAGACUUCCUUACUUCUGUCGAGCAACCUGCUUCGACACAAGGAAUUACAAUUCAACACGAACGUGGUGGAAUCUUGAAAUCGCAUCACCGUUCGAAACCAGAUUACAUCCUUCUAACUCUUCCAUGUGUGACGCCAAGACGAAGAGGAGGUGUUGAUUCCGGAUUCACGCGAAGUCGAAGCAGAGUUUGACUAUGUUCAUUUUAAUUCUGCGCUUGGAGAAGGAGUGAAUUUCAAAUAUCGAGGCUUGUGUGUGGAUGUGUCCUAUGACCAUUCUUUUGGUUUCAGAUGCAGCUUUGGAUGCAUUCAAGGCCAUUGUUGUUUGUAGUUUGGGCCUAAAAGCCCAACAAACCUCUCUUUGAACCACCAAUCCAGGUUUUAAACCCCUUUUUGAGAUUUUUAAUUUCAAUUUACUAGUUUGAUUAUGUUUUAAUUAAGGAUCAAUUGUUGAUAAUUAACUUGAUUAGUUUCUAGAAUUAGAAAUUAAUUUAUGAUCUGAUUAAUUGAAAUUUAGGUUUAAUUAAAAUUAAUCAUGAUUAACUAUGUUAAUUAGAAUUAUUUAGUUUUUAGCUAAUUAUUAUUUUUAGAAAAAUUGGUCAUAAUUAAUUCAUUUUUGACAUAAUGACUAUUUGGCCCUUAGGGUUUACAAAUCUUGAUUUUUGUACAUGAUCCCUUAGUUUAGGGCCUUAAUUAGGAUUGCCUGAUUUUACUUAGUCGAUUAAUUCAAUAGGUUUAUUAUUAUACAUAGUUCAACUACCAUUUCAACCCCACUGAUUAGGGUUGACCAAAGGUCACUUUGGUUAACCAAAUCCUUUGUAUUGUGUUGCAAUUCCUCAAGCAUGUUCAAUUGAUCAAAAGACUAUUGAUCACUUGAUAUGGCAAAUCCACGGUGCUCUAGCUAUUUUGAAUAUGAUGAAUCUUAGGAGCUCAACACCUUAAGGUUCAAAUACAAGAUCAAGACUUCAAGUCAACAUCAGUCAAGCAUAGCUAAUAAAGUGAACUACUUCUCAAGCACAUCAAAGGUAUCAACACUUGAUAAGUGUGAUUCAAAUUGUAAGUCAUAAGUCUUAAGUAAUGACGAAUGAUGAGACAGAGUUUCUCCUACCCUUGUCUAGAAUGACUUUGCUUACGGGGCGUAGACCCUAGCUAUUCAAAGCAUUCGCCCCCAUUGAUAUACUUCAGCAUAAUUUGAAUCAAACAGUUGUCAAGUCUUCUCAACAUAACAAAUAACGUGGCAUCAUCAAGAUCAAUAAUCAGACGCCUCUAACAACACCUGUCAAUCCUGAUAAGGGUUACACGCUAUGAGCUUUAAGUAAUGAGGAAUGAUGAGACAUAGUUUCUCCUACCAUUGUCUAGAGUGACAUUGCAUACGGGGCGUAGGUCCUAGCUAUUCAAAGCAAUUGUCCUCGUUAGGGUUACACGCUAUGAGCUUUAAGUAAUGAGGAAUGAUGAGACAUAGUUUCUCCUACCAUUGUCUAGAGUGACAUUGCAUACGGGGCGUAGGUCCUAGCUAUUCAAAGCAAUUGUCCUCGUUCAUAAACUUUAGUGCGAUUUGAAUCAUGCAACUGACAAGUCUUCUUCACGCAAGCAUCAUUCAACACUUCAAUAAUGAAACAUCUUUUUCUAUUUGCACCUUGUGGUUGUACACCCUAUUUCAUUCAAUCUUUUUUGCCUUGUGAGGUGGUGGACAUUGGCAACCUUUUAUUGCCUCGUGAGGUAAUAGACCUUUGCAAUAUUUCUUUGCCCCAUGAGGUGGUGGACCUUGGCAAUCUCUUUAUGUACCUAUGGAGUUAUAGACUUUGGCACUUGGUUAUGGACCUUGACAAUCCCUUUGAGUAGCCUUGCAGAGUUAUGGAAUCUUGGGAAUCCCCUUGCCUAUUGGGUUAUGGACCUUGGCAGUGCUUUCAUUUUCCUUGAGAGUUUUGGAAUAUGGCAUCCUUUCUUGUUUCCUUUUAGAUUUUGGACCUUGGCAGUUCAGUUCUUUGCCUUCAGAAUCAUAAACUCUGGUAGUGAUACCUUGUCUAGAAGGUUAUGAACCUUGAAAUUCCUUUUUCUACCUCUAAGGGUUGUGUACCCUGGAAAUCAAUUUAUCUUUCUUUGUUUCAGUUGUAGUAGGUUGAACUACGAAUGAUCUGACUUUCUCAUUGCACGAUGAGAAUACGUAGGCAUGAGAGUUCGAACCCUCCGCGAGCAUAUUUAUGUAUUUCUCUCUAUUCAUCUCCAUGAUGCAUUUAUAUACUACCUCCAUUCACUGAUAUACUAUUGUCUUUGAGCCAAAUACACUAUCUCUUUGAGCUCCAUCUUGUAUCUCUUUGUGAACCAAUGGUUGUUUGUGUUAUGAAACCAAACACUUAAUUCUCCUUUGUUUUCAGUUAGUCCAAUAUAGUGAUACCAUGUUGUAGGUCCCUCACUUGUUGGUUCAUAUCAGUUUUGCUCUUGGAUUCAUAUUUCACCCCUUAUUGGAGUUCAAAUAACAUAAUCCUUUGGUUUGAUCAUAACUUUUUUUCACCUCCCACCACUAGUUCCAUGAACUACGAAGCUCUGAAUUCCUUAUUGCACUAUAAGGAUACAUAGGCAUGAGGACCCAAAUCCUCACCUAGCACUCUAUCUAUUCUUUUCUUUUCCCUUAUCCUUUUGUGAGUAAUCUUUAGAUAUAACACUCAUUCGAGCAAGAACAGUCAAAACGGCUCCCAUGGAGUACCAUGGAUGUUAGGGGUGUUAAUACCUACCCCUUGCAUAACCGACAUUCUUACCCAGUAUAUCUCUUUCUCUGGGUUUUAUCGAUGUUUUCCCUUUUCUUCGGGAAUAAAUAAAGUUCGAUGACUACUAUGUUGUAUGUUCGAGCGUGUGAUGCGUUCGGGUAUAUUUCCGAUAGUGUCAAUUCUUAGCUAUCAUCGAUUAUUAUAGCGUGAAUGAAAGUAUAAGAAUUAUGUUUCCUAUUUGCCGAAUUAAAUAAUCAGUUAAGAUUAAAGCGAAUUAACGCAUUAAGCAUACAGUAACACAGAAUCAAAAUUAUGGAACAAUAAAUCAAUCGAAGCAAACGAAACUACUAAGUUUUGGCGGUAAAAUUUGGUGUAGGAAUAACAAUGCACUAAAAAUUAUGAGUGUAAUAUUUAAAAUAAAUAAAAAAUUGAGCUUUAUCAGAUAUAAAAUUAUUUAUUAAACUGCCUUAAUAAAUUUAUUAUUAUGAUAUUUUAUUACGAUAAUUUAUUAUGAUAAAUAAUAUUUAAAAUAAAAAGAAAUUGAGCUUUUUAAGAUGUAUAAGUAUUUAUCAAAUCAUUAUAAACCAAAUCAGUUUAGAGCUCUUCAGGAAGGAAUAUCAUACUGUAGCAUAUGCUGAUUCGAAGCUACGAUAUCUCACUUAUUUUCUUUUAAAGGAUGAAAUUUUAGUCAUUAGAUAAAAGAAAACAAUAACAAAGCCUUAUUUCAAUAGAUGAAAUAGACUACAUAGAUCAAUUUUCACGUAUAAUCGUUCUAUCAAUCACCAUAUUUUAUAGUCAUUAGACUAUUUAAGUCAAAACAUUCUGUAAUAAAUUUCAUUGGAUAUUUUUUUUAAUAGAUAAAAAGUAGAUAUAUUUCAUCUUUAAUAAACAUUAGUUAUUGGAAACAUUAUUGUUAUUAAUAUGAACUUUAUUAAUUUUAAUUGUGAUAUAAUUAAUGGAUAUAAGUACGGCUACAGAGCAUGUCAAGCCUUGAGCAAAUUUUUAACAAAAGAUCUUUAUAUAUAAAACUAUGAGGUGUAAUAUUAUAAAAUAAAAAUAGUUGAGCUUUUGUAAGAUGUUAAAACUAUUAUAUAAUUAUAUAAUAAAAAUAUUUAAAAUAAAAAUUAAGCUUUUUAAAAUAUAAAAUUAUUUAUUGAAUUAUCAUAAUCAUUCAGUUUGUAUUUGUGCAAGAUGGAUAUUCGAUGGCAGGGAUACGGAUUCGACCACAAAUCCAAUUAUCUUAUCUCGAAUUCCACAAUAAAUACUAUUGUCCAAAGCAAAUCAUAUAAUUUUGUUUUGAAUAAUUGUUUUCAUCAAUAAUAAAGAAGUAUAUUGUAAUUUUACUUGAAACCUUAAACGUUUAUUGAUUUUAAAUAAUGAUUUUAUUAACUUAUUAUUUUAUAUGUAUUCAAUAGAAGAACUAUAACUAAAGGAUUAUAUUAUUGCACUUUUAAAUUUUUCUGAUUAUAUUGUUGUCCAUAUAGUAUAGUUAUUUGUGGCCGUCUAUUAUCAAAACUUUUUAUCAGUAUUUGAAAUUUUAUUAGUAUUUAAGGUGUUUUAAAUUUCAUUCAUGACAUCUUUGACUUCUACUAUUAAUUUUGUUUCAAUUUUUUUUUAUGUUUAUAUAACUUGUACAUUGUUAACUUGUUUAUUCAAUAAACAUUAAGCUAUAUUUUUAAAUUAAUUUUUUAAUUUAUUUUUAUAAAUUUAUCCAAAAUUCUUUUUUAUAAUUUAAUUAAAAUUCCAACUCUUGUUUUUUAAAUUUUUUAAUUCAAAUUUUUUAAUUGACAUUACUCUAAAUAAUAUAGGAAAAAGAUAUCCACAAUAAACAUAAACAAAAAGAAGAAAAAAAUCAAAAAAAUGAUUAAAUAUAAAUGCUUUAAAUUAAAAGUAAAUAAAAUAAAAUUUCAAAAAUAAAAUAUAUAGCAAUGUUAGGGAGGACAUGCACUUUAUUGUAGAAGUAACAAUUAAUUAAUGCGAUUAAUUAAUAAAUUUUAUAGUCUUUUAUAGCGGUGUACAUAUGUUGGGUUGGAUUGGAUUUGGUAUUUACUCUUAUAUAACCGUUUAAAUUUUAAUGGAUUGGGUUUCUCAUUCCACUUAAAAUUUUAUUGUCAAAAGCGAUUCCAACUGACUCGUUCAAUUAUGGAUUGAUUUUGCAGAUUGUGUUUUAAAUGAAAAUUACUUAUGUAAUUAUUUUUUUAACGAUUUUUUUACCAUAUAUAAAAAUGUAACACAAUUCAAAUUAAAUGAAACGUAUCAUAUAAUAUCUAAUAAAAUUCUUCAACACGACAUAAUAAUUGAUAAAAUUAUAAAAUUCUACUAGACAUGUUAUUUUCAUAAAAUACGUAAGUUGAAAAUAACGCAAAUAGAAAAUAAGAAUAUUAUUGGUGGAGAAUAAUAAUUUUUUGGCAAAAUUAUGGUUAAUAGUGAGAUAUUAAUUUUACAUUUUUAUUUUAAAUAAUAAUGAAAAAAAUAAGAAAUUACUAAUGUCACAUCAAUGAGUUGGAUCAAUGGAUCUGCGGAUUGAUAAACUCAAAUGAAAUUACUAAUGUCACAUCAAUGAGUUGGAUCAAUGGAUCUGCGGAUUGAUAAACUCAAACCCGAUACCCGAACUAAAGUUGUCUGGAUUAUUGAUGGUUGGAUUAGGUAUACCCGUAAAUGAAUGAGUUCGAGUAAUUUAUAAGUUGGUUUGGUUUGGGUCAGCGGGUUAGCGGGUUCACCCACACCCAUGAACAUCCCUAGUCUCAUAUACUCACGGAUUCAUGAGAUAAAGAGAAAUGAUAAAUGUCGUACCUUAAAAAAUAAGAACACGAUGCACACAAAGCGCAAUCGUAUGUUUGCGUGAUGGACCGAACAGAGUCGGCACCAAACUUAAUUUAUUCCUAAAAAGGAAAGGGGUAAGAUCGAUAAAACCCAAGAAAUAACGACAAUGAUAUUGAUCAUCGCAACCAAAUCAGUGUUCGGGAGUCGAUUAUGCAAGGGGAAGGUAUUAGCACCCCCACGUCCGUUGUACUCAACGGGAAUCAUUUGGUUAGUUGUGCGCAUUAGUGUUAGCUUUGGAAAUGUUAGGCCUCUCGAGUUAUUAAGAUGGGAAUAGAAUAGGACAAAAAGGUUUAUUUUUUAUUAGGGUGUGAAAAAAAAUAGAAUUUUUUUUUUGGAUUUUUUAUUAAUGUGCCUGAUAAGAUUUAAAAAUCUUACUCCUACGUAUCUUCGGGUACAAUAAAGAACUCAAGGCUUACGUAGUUCUGGGUAGAAAAUGUUUCUUUGUUUGUCGAUUUUAGCAAAAUCUGCUUUGUGUCUUUACGUAGUUCUGGGUAGAAAAUGUUUCUUUGUUUGUCGAUUUUAGCAAAAUCUGCUUUGUGUCAAUCGACGUAAAAACAUUGUUUUCUAUCCAAAACAAGUAGAGAAGGGAACAUUCACAUCACGGCUAAAUGGAUUUAUAAAUCAAAAUUCGAGGGCAACAUCGCUAGCUUGCGCACACGUUCAAAUGGAUGAAACAUUGUUUAUGCAUCAUCUCGAGACAAAAUACCUUUUAUUUGUGAAAAGGAAUUGAAGAUCAAUCAUGCGGCGGUGAGAGAAGAGUUUGACUGGUUAGAUGUGUUUUUGAGUGAUAAGAGAGUUCAUAAGGGCGAGAACUACAUCUUGUUUCCUAACUCUCGGGAGCUUGUGGACUACACCUUGUUCCUUUUUCAUCAUAUGUGUGAAAAGAGUUUUGAUAUUUUCAUAUGUUUUGAAUAUUGAUUGAGAAAAUCCACUCGAUUUUUAUUGAGAUUUAGUCAUGGCUAUGGAGAAAAGUUUGAAUUGAUUAGAGGAUUUGAAAAUGAUUUAUGAUUGAAAGUUUGAGAAAUGGUUUGAAAUGAAUGAUGAAGACUUGGUGUUGACCAAGGAUUUUUAAAAUAGAACUUGGUGUUGACCAAGUAUUUUUUAUUUUUGAAAGGGUUAAUUUUAUUCUCUUUUUAUUUAUUUACUUAGUUCAUCUUAACUAACUAAGAGAAAAUUGAAAUAAAAGUGAUAAAAUAAAUACAAAUUACAAACAAGGGAUGGAGAUACAUUUUGUCAAUGAGGAGUAAGAAAGUGAGUAAAAUGCAAAAUUAUCAAACAAGUAAAUAUAAACCAACAAGGAUCUCAUUAUAAGAAGGCUCAAGAGUAAGCCACAAAAUUGGAAAGCAACAGAAAUCGAAAGCCAGCUGAAAUUAGCGCUAUGUUAAGCUAACUUAAAAUGGAUUCAUAUAGGAAUCCCUCUAUAAGACGUUGGACAACAAAUUCUAUGUGUCAAAAUGAUAUCGAAAGAUAAAUUGGAUUUUAGCUCUAAAAUCAUAACACAAUAAUAAACCAGGAAAUAAUCAAACACAUUAUUAUUAUUACAACAAUGUUAUAAUAUUUACAUCAAUUCAAAAUAAUUCAAAAACAGAAAGCUAAGACGACACACACAAGUUAUCCAUAAUAAAUCGCUAUAGAAUCGAAAUAGCACUAAAAUGAAACAAAACAAAGAAACAAUAUUAACAAACCAAUAUUAUAUCUUGAAACGGAAAAUUUAUAUAUAUAUAAACCAAAAAACAAACCAAUAUUUUUUUUUAUCCCUAACUUUUUCCUGGACCGCUCCUUUGAAACUUUCGGUCCACCAAAAUGCCCUUAUUUUGCCUAAGUCGUCUUUUGUGGUGUUCAACUUCAUAGACUUUUUAUUUUUUGAUUUUUUUUAAAUGUUGUGACUGCCAUGUUAUUGGGGGGUGGGGAUCAACCAAUAUAAAUUCUCUUGGCUUUUUCACGACUUCUUCGACAUUUUGAGAUAUGUGCGAAGGAGAGCAUAUGGUGAUUCCUUAGGUGGGAUAUGUGUAUAUGGACUUACUCUCUUGAAGAUUAAAUACACAGUCAAAUUAUAUGAACACAACUAUUCCACCCCUGGUUAAGAUUAUGGCUUUUUGUUCCGAAAGAAACACCUACUUCUUUUUGGGGGAGUUUUUCACUAGGGAGCAUUGAACAUUGUGGGACUUCUUAUUUUAGAGCAACACCUUUGUGAGAGACACACCAUAUAUUCACCUAAAACAUUAAAGUGAUAGGUGGGUGGGUUCUCUCACUUAUAAAUGCUCAAGUCUCCACAUUACCAACCAAUGUGAGACUAUUAUCCAUACUAAUAACAAUUGAUACAUUCUCAACACUCCCCCUCAAGUGUGAGUCCAUAAUUCUCCCCCUCAAGUGAAAGCUCUUCUUACUUCCACAAACUCUUGUACCAUACAUAACGUUUCUUAUUCACCACAUUGGCGUCGCUGACACUCUUCAAUGGAACAUUUCUUAUUCACCACACUGGCGCCGUUGACUUUCGAUACAAGUAAGUCGGUCCCUUUUUGAAACCAAAGGCUCUGAUACCAUUUGUUGGGGGAGUUUUUCACUAGGGAGCAUUGAACAUUGUGAGACUUCUUAUUUUAGAGCAACACCUUUGUGAGACACACACCACAUAUUCUCCUAAAACCUUAAGGUGAUAGGUGGGUGGGUUCUCUCUCUUAUAAAUGCUCAAGUCUCCAUAUUACCAAUCAUUGUGGGACUAUUAUCCAUACUAAUAACACUUGAUACAUUCUCAAUACUUCUAGACUAAAAGUGGUUGACUAGGGAUUAACUUGUUAUCUCUUUAGUGGUGUACAACAAAAAUAUUAUUCAAGAGUUGAGACAAGAUGAUUGGGACAAAAUUAUUUACUUGUGUGAAGUCUUUUUGUGAAAAACAUGAUAUUGAGAUUCCCGAUCUUGAUGAUGUUCAUUCAACAACAAGAUUUUGGCACUCUCAUCUUGAAGAGAACCAGGUAACCAUUGAGCAUUAUUUUAUAGUUGAAAUAUUUUUCACUACCAUUGACAAAUGAUUACAAAAGUUAAAUAACAGAUUUAAUGUGAAAGCAAUUGGUUUGUUAACUCUAAGUUAUGCUUUAGCUCCCAAGGGUAAUUACAGAGCUUUUAACUUUGAAACUAUGGACUUCAAUGAGAAAGGGAUAAUUAGUUGAAAAAUAUUAUCCUAUUGAUUACAUUGAGAAAGAGAUACAUACAUAUAUAUAUAUAUAUAUAUAAAUAUAUAUAUAUAUAUAUAUAUAUAAUAUAUAUAUAUAUAUAUAUAAUAUAUAUAUAAUAAUAUAUAUAUAUAAUAAAUAUAUAUAUUAAUAUAUAUAUAUAUAUAUAAUAUAAUAUAUAUAUAUAUAUAUUAUAUAUAUAAUAUAUAUAAACAUAUAUAAAAGUUUAACUUAAAACAUGGACUUCAAUGAGAAAGGAAUAAUAUGUUGAAAAAUAUACUAUUGACCUACAUUUAAGAAGAUAAAUAAAUAUAUAAAUAUAUAUAUAUAAUAAUAUAAUAAUAUAAUAUAUAUAUAUAUAUUAUAUAUAUAUAAUAUUAUAUCUAGAUAUUAAUAUUAUAUAUAUAUAUAUAUAAUAUAUAAUAUAUUAUAUAUAUAUAUGAAUGUGUGUGUGUGUGUGUUCACGGNNNNNNNNNNNNNNNNNNNNNNNNNNNNNNNNNNNNNNNNNNNNNNNNNNNNNNNNNNNNNNNNNNNNNNNNNNNNNNNNNNNNNNNNNNNNNNNNNNNNNNNNNNNNNNNNNNNNNNNNNNNNNNNNNNNNNNNNNNNNNNNNNNNNNNNNNNNNNNNNNNNNNNNNNNNNNNNNNNNNNNNNNNNNNNNNNNNNNNNNNNNNNNNNNNNNNNNNNNNNNNNNNNNNNNNNNNNNNNNNNNNNNNNNNNNNNNNNNNNNNNNNNNNNNNNNNNNNNNNNNNNNNNNNNNNNNNNNNNNNNNNNNNNNNNNNNNNNNNNNNNNNNNNNNNNNNNNNNNNNNNNNNNNNNNNNNNNNNNNNNNNNNNNNNNNNNNNNNNNNNNNNNNNNNNNNNNNNNNNNNNNNNNNNNNNNNNNNNNNNNNNNNNNNNNNNNNNNNNNNNNNNNNNNNNNNNNNNNNNNNNNNNNNNNNNNNUAUAUAUAUAUAUAUAUAUAUAUAUAUAUAUAUAUAUAUAUAUAUAUAUAUGUGUGUGUGUGUGUGUGUUCUAUUCCUCCCCUGUCCUGACUUUAUAACCAGCUUCUGAUUAAAGUCAUACAACUUCAAAAGAUUUUCCUUCAUGGUAACUGAAAAACCUUUCUCAAUUAAUUGACCCACAUUCAUCAAAUUGUUUUUCAUUCCCGGAACAUACCACACAUUCUGAAUCAAUGUUGCUUUACCAUUAUUCAUAACUAUUCUGACAUUUCCCAUACCUUCAGCAUUGAGGUAUUUAUCAUUAACACAUUUGAUCUCUGUCCUCUUACACGAGUCAAAUUAAACCAGCCAUUUCUUAUUUCCAGAAAGAUGAUUUGAGCAAACAGUAUCCAUAUACCACCAGUCUGCCAAAUACACAUCAUCAGAUUCAAAAGCCAUUAAUAGCCUAAAUUCAUCAUCAGAAUCUCUUCUAGCUAUAUUUGCUUAUUCUAAAUUCCUUUCCUUGUUUGAACAACAGUCCUUAAAAAAAUGGCCAAACAUAUUACUACAGUAGCAUUGAACCAUUCUCUUGUCAAGAUUUUCGCUUCCUUUUUGAUGUUUAUUUUCAUCAUAAUUGGAGGCUUUUGAAUCCUGAGACCUACCAUGUCUUUUCUUUGCCUCUGACAAAGGCUAAUUCUGGUCCUUCUUUACAAAAGAAGCUUUUAGAGUCUGCUCUAUCUCUCUCUCAGAGGUUCUUUUAGUCAGACGCAACUCUUGCGCCUCUAGACUGGUUUGUAACUCUUUUAUUCUCAUGGUGCUCAAAUCCUUAGAAUGUUCAAUUGCUACAACGAUGUAAUCAAACUUAGGAGUAAGAGAUCUAAGUAACUUCUUAAUGAUGCUUUCUUCAGAGAGAGUUUCUCCAUACGACUUUAUCUCAUUUAUGAUCAGAAUCACUCUGGAUAUGUAGUCGGGUACCUUCUCAUUGUUCUUCAUGUUGAUAUUCUCAUAUUACUUACAUAGAGAUUGAAGCUCCACCUUCUUCCCUGAUGAAUCACCUCCGUAGCACCGUACCCGUGUGUUCCACGUAGCCUUCAUCGUCGUUGAAUCAUCGAUUUUCUCAAACAUAUUCACAACUACACAUUGAUGGAUAUAGAACAACACCUUAUGAUCCUUCUUCCUUUGAUCAGGCUAAGCAUUUCUCUAUGCAUCCAUUGCAUUUUCCGGAAGUGCAACCUGAACGUAAUCGUCAUUGACGUGAUCAAGAACAUCUUGAGCACCAAACACACACACACACACACACACACACACACACACACAUAUAUAUAUAUAUUAUAUAUAUAUAUAUAUAUAUAUAUAUAUAAAAUAGUGUUGUUGAGAAUGUAUCAAGUAUGAGUAGUAUGGAUAAUAAUCUCACAUUGGUUGGAAAUAUGGAGACUUGAGAAUUUAUAAGUGAGAGAAUCUACCCACUAAUCACCUUAAGGUUUUGAAUGAAUAUGUGAUGUGUCUCUCACAAAGUUGUUGCUCUAAAAUAAAGAAGUUUCACAAUGUUCAAUGCUCCCUAGUGAAAAACUCCCCCAACAAAUGGUAUCAUGAGCCUUUGGUUCGAGAAAGGGACCGACUUACUUGUAUCGAAAGUCAAACGGCGCCAAUGUGGUGAAUAAGAAACAUUUUGUUGAAGAGUGUCAACAGCGCCAGUAUGGUGAAUAAGAAACGUUUCGUGCGGUACGAGAGUUUGUGAAAGUAAGAAUAACUUUAACUUGAGGGAGAUCAUUGUAGAUUGACAGCACCAGUGUGGUGAAUAAGAAACGUUUCGUGCGAUACAAGAGUUUGUGGAAGUAAGAAUAACUUUCACUUGAGGAAGAUGUAAGAAUAACUUUAACUUGAGGGAGAUCAUUGUAGAUUGACAGCACCAGUGUGGUGAAUAAGAAACGUUUCGUGCGAUACAAGAGUUUGUGGAAGUAAGAAUAACUUUCACUUGAGGAAGAUCAUUGUAGACUCACACUUGAGGGGGAGUGUUGAGAUCAGAGUCUAUAAUAUUCCUAGAGCCUAGAUUUCCAUAAGAGUCUGAAUCACCAUCAAAACCUAGAUCAAAAUCAGAUUCACCUUCAGAGUCAGACUCAUCUUCAGAGUCACCUUCAGAAUCAUUUUCUGAUUCAGACUCAUCUUCAGAACCUUCAUAUUCUGAAGUAUCUUCAUAGGUUAACUCUACACCAGAGUUGGAUUCAGAUUUACUCCAAUCCCACGCUUUUGAUUCCUUCACAAUGACAUCUAUGCUGAAUUCAACCUUGUUAGUGACAGGACAAUAAAGCUUAUAGGCACAUGUAUUGUGGUACCCUACAAAUAACAUAACUCUGUUUCUAUUAUCUAACUUCCUUCUCUUAGCAUCUGGAACAUGUUUGUAACAAACAUAACCAAACACCUUCUCUCUGUUUCUAUUAUCUAACUUCCUUCUCUUAGCAUCUGGAACAUGUUUGUAACAAACAUAACCAAACACCUUCAGAUGGCUCACACUUUUCUUAUCUCCAGUCCACUUCUCUAAUUGAACAAUUUCUUCCAACUUUUUCGUUGGACACUUGUUGAGCACAUAUGUUGUAGUGGCAAUAGCUUUUUCCCACAAGGUGUGAGGUAGUUUCUUCUCCUUCAGCAUGCUACUUGUCAUAUCAAGAAAAGUUUGGUUUCUUCUUUCAGCAAGACCAUUGUGUUAAGGAAUGUAUGGAAGAAUCACCCCAUACUCAAUUUCGUUCUCCUCACAUAACUUUUUCAACUCUGUAGAGUUAUACUCACCUUCACCAUCAGUUCUGAGAAUCUUCAUCUUCUGACCAUACUAAUUCUCAGCCUUAAUUCUGAAUUUCUUAAAUUUAGAAAAAACCUUGUGCUUGAACUUUAUAAGGGAUACCCAUGUCAUUCUUAUGAAGUCAUCGACAAAUGACAUAAAGUAUUUAUUCCCUCCAAAUGAAGAUACUGGAAACGGUCCACACACAUUAGAAUUCACCACACCUAGAGCAUGAUUUGCUGUUGGAGGCAUUUCAGAUGCAAAUGGAAGUCUUGGUUGCUUCCAUAUAAUGCACACAUUGCAUGACUUCUCUGGCUUCUUAAUUGCAGGAAUUCCAUGUACCAGCUUCUUUGAAUUCAAAUGCCAUAAGCUUCUGAAGUUCAAAUAACCAAAUCUUUUGUGCCAUAACUCAUUUUCCUUCACAACACUUGUUGCACUAAGGCAUUCAGAAUCUGCAGUUUUAACAUUCACUUUGAAUGUUCUAUUCCUCCCUUGUCCUGACUUCAUAACCAGCUUCUGAUUACAGUCAUACAACUUCAAAAGAUUUUCCUUCAUGGUAAUUGAAAAACCUUCCUCAAUUAGUUGACCCACACUCAUCAAAUUGCUUUUCAUUCUAGGAACAUACCACACAUUCUGAAUCAAUGUUGCUUUACCAUUAUUCAUAACUAUUCUGACAUUUCCCAUACCUUCAGCAUUGAGGUAUUUAUCAUCAACACAUAUGAUCUCUGUCCUCUUACACGAGUCAAAUUAAACCAGCCAUUUCUUAUUUCCAGUAAGAUGAUUUGAGCAAACAGUAUCCAUAUACCACCAGUCUGCCAAAUACACAUCAUCAGAUUCAAAAGCCAUUAAUAGCCCAAAUUCAUCAUCAGAAUCUCUUCUAGCUAUAUUUGCUUCUUCUAACUUCCUUUCCUUGUUUGACCAACAGUCCUUAAAAAAAUGGCCAAACAUAUUACUACAAUAGCAUUUGACCAUUCUCUUGUCAAUAUUUUCCCUUCCUUUUUGAUGUUUAUUUUCAUCAUAAUUGGAGGCUUUUGAAUCCUGAGACCUACCAUGUCUUUUCUUUGCCUCUGACAAAGACUACUUCUGGUCCUUCUUGACAAAAGAAGGUUUUAGUGUCUGCUCUACCUCUCUCUCAGAGGUUCUUUUAGUCAGACGCAACUCUUGCGCCUCUAGACUGGUUUGUAACUCUUCUAUUCUCAUGGUGCUCAAAUCCUUAGAAUGUUCAAUUGCUACAACGAUGUAAUCAAACUUAGGAGUAAGAGAUCUAAGUAACUUCUCAAUCAUGCUUUCUUCAUAGAGAGUUUCUCCAUACGACUUUACCUCAUUUGUGAUUAGAAUCACUCUGGAUAUGUAGUCGGGUACCUUCUCAUUGUUCUUCAUACUGAUAUUCUCAUAUUACUUACAUAGAGAUUGAAGCUCCACCUUCUUCCAUGAUGAAUCACCUCCGUAGCACCGUACCCGUGUGUUCCACACAGCCUUCAUCGUCGUUGAAUCAUCGAUUUUCUCAAACACAUUCACAGCCACACAUUAAUGGAUAUAGAACAACGCCUUAUGAUCCUUCUUCCUUAGAUCAGGCUGAGCAUUUCUCUAUGCAUCCAUUGCAUUUUCCGGAAGUGCAACCUGAACGUAAUCGUCAUUGACUUGAUCAAGAACAUCUUAAGCACCAAACAACACACACAUCUGAAUCAUCCAACGCGCCCACUUCUUCCCAUCGAACACUAGAAGCUUCGUACUCAGAUUACAGUUUCUGUUCAUCUUCAAGCUUGUGCAAUACACUCAGGUCUCACCAAACACUAGUGUUUCCCAAUCCCAUAGAAUCAAGAAAUGUGAUUUUGUUAUGGUUUAAAUCAAAAGUUUAACACGAACUCAAGAAAUAAAAUCAAUCACACAACGUCUCAUUGUUCAUCGUGUUUCCCUUUGUUUCCCUGUGGAUCUGAAAUGGAGCUCUAGAUACCAAUUAUUGGUGCACAAGGUGAAAAUGAACAAAAAUUGAAGAAGAGAGAGAAGAGAUAAUAACAAACUUCAAUUACUCUGCUAAAACGGUUACAACAAAAUGGUUGCACACACUACACACAAUGUUCAAUGGAUACAACUGUUGACUUCUACAAAUAUAUAUAAUUAUAUUAUAUAUAAUAUUUAUAUCAAUAUAUAUAUAUAUAUAUAUAUAUAAUAUAUAUAUAUAUAUUAAUAUAAUAUAUAUAUAUAUAUAUAUAUAUAUAUAUAUAAUAAUAUCCCAUAAGCAACACUGCUAACCUAACACUAACUAGGUUAAGUUACAAAAACUAAUACUACACUGUUUAAUAUGAAUUACUUCUAACUGUUAAUGCAUUCCAUACUUACCAAGAAAAAGACAAUGAUAUUCAAAUCUAACUUUUUGGUUUUUGAAAAUUGUUUCUCAUACUUUGUAUUUAGUGAAAGAUUAGAAAUCGCUCAAUUAAAAAGAAAUUAACAGAAGAGUUGGAGAAUUCUCAUUACCCUCUUCAUUAUGUAUUAUUCAUAGAAUCUGACGUAAGAAUUAUGUUGGUUCUUCUUCAUAUUUUGAUGACUCCUAAUUAGAUUCAUCCCAUAUCGGUCAUAGACUCUUCAUCUUUUUUGUUUUCUAUACUUUGUGAACUUUUAUUUUACAUGAGUGAAUGUUCGUCCAAUUAAAUUCAUGACAUGAUAUUUAUCAUUUUAGCAAACAUUUUGUGUUUAAGAAAAAUUUCAUUUGAGGUUUGGGAUGGAUUUAAACGGAAGUAACUUCAUACAAAUUUUUUUUUGUGUGUAAUGCAUGCAAUUUAGCUUAGAGAAAUUUAGUUUUCUUUGCGGAAAUCCCAUUUUCAUCUCCUAUAUAGGUCAUCUCCCCUUUUAUGUAGGCUCGCACGUUGGACAUACCCUAAAGAAAAAUAUUUAUAUUUUUGUUUUGCUUUAAAAUGCAAGGCAUAAGUCUCACAUGUGUGAAAAUUUUGAAUAACGAGUUUAUCCGCUUGUGUUCGCUCACAUAUGUUAAUGAUUGGUCUGCAAAUGUAUCAUAUGCAAGACGAGCUCGCUAAAUCCCCAUGUAUUCUAGAAGAUGAAUUAUUUGCAUCGCUCCUUACAACCAACAAGAAUAUUCUCAUUACAACUGAAUAGUCUUAAUGCUUAUUAGGUUCAUUAUCUACAUCUCAUAUAUUAAAGAAACUAGUGACCGAUCAUGCUCCGUAGUGGGUCUGAGUCAAUAUAUCCAUAAUAAAUAUUAUAAGCAAAUAACCUGGCUUGAAUGUUAAAGCUAUAAAUGCAUAUCUAUAAGGUUAGGUCAAGGGAUCACUUAUUCACAUAUCAUAAACUUAAAGGCUUUUUGCUUGAUCUAUCAUAGAUAUGGUCACCUCUAUUGUACUCACCGAAAGUUAAUUGGCACACACUAUGGGGUCCGGCGAAACUGACUUGGACCACACACAUUUUCGAAAUGACUAUGUUAACCCUAUUUUCAUAUAAUGAUAGUGUCCAUAGGGUUACAUCCUGUAAUAUAAUCAAGAGACCCUAGAGAAAUGCAAAUUGUCGUAGAAAAGUUUGCCAUGAAGAACCAAACAUGCAAACUAGUGUUCAAGACAUCCAGCAACAAUAACUAGAUAAUGAUAAGUAGGAAGGUAAAAAGGUUUUGAAUCUCUGACCUUUUUCUGUCGAUAUUUGGGAUGACCCAAUUAUGGAUAAUUUCAAGUCACCUCAUUAGUGAUGUUUGACUGAAAGAGUAGUCCUCAGGAGUACAUUACCUCCACCAAUACACAUAUGGCGAUAAUAGGCAAGAAACAUUCUCUAAAGUGAGAACUCUUUUCUGGAACACUGAAGGAGGCUGCUUUGUGUAGUACAUGAGCCUCCCUGGGCUCUCUGUAACUAGCUAUCAAAACUUUUCUAAAAUGUUGAUCCAUCAGUUUUUGGAAAGCAAAAAACCAAUGUAUCCAUUAUAAGUAUAUUUAAUGUGUGUCGUAAACUUUCUCAAUCCUUACGAGAAUACUUGGUGUGAUUCAAAGAAGCUAUCAUCAAGGUGAUAUAUCCUAUAAUGUUAUAUUUGUGAGUGUACUAAACUAGGACGCCAUCGCCACUCCCAAGAGCGGUACCACCUAGGCGAUGUUCUCAGGACUCGCCCUUGGGACUAACGGCAUGUGUAAUGCCGUUAGUCAAAUGAGAGGGAGUCUACCACUACUCCCGAAAGGUUAGGUGGUCAAUAACUUCUUUUGACCAGAAGGGAGAGGUUGUUGCCCCUUAGGGUUACCCAAACCCUAGGUCUAGAAGGCCUCUAUAAUACUCCUUCCUCAUGGGGAAAGGGAUAGAUCUUAUGCAAUACCCCAUAUUUCCUUAAAUACCUAAAUUCCUAUUAAUUGAGACCAACUGAGUUCCUAUAUGCUCUAAAAGUUGUUGAUUGGGAUAAAUAGAGUAAGUAGUGAGUUCAGGUUGACUUAGUUAAUAUUAAUUGGGACUGACCUUUUAUAAAUUGGGACAUUUUAGUAACACUAAUAAUGGGUCAAUAGCUCUGGUAGAACAAAUAUUACAAGUAUGGUGCUACUUGAGAUAUUUGUUACUACCUGUAACCACUUACUAACCACAUAUAUUAAUCAUGGUCACUUAUUUAUGACCUUUGACCCACUCACCACCACAUGUUUGUAUCUCAUACUACCUACCAUAAGCCACUUCAUUUCUCAAUACAUCAGAAAGGAUAAGUAGAGAGAAAGGGAAUGAUAGAAGAAGAGAAAAACAAGGCUAGUGAAGAAGAAGAAGAAGGAAAGCUUGGAAAGAUCAAGAGUUUGGAACCAACACUAUCAUCUUCAUCCUCAUCUCAUCUUCCACAACUUCUCCUCUUCAGUUUGUUGAGGUGGGUUCUAGUUAGCAACCCUAGAUUUCUAGAAGAUUAGGAUUGUAGAAUAAUAUAUAAAUCAUGAACAAUCCAUGCUAUAUGAUGAAUAUUUCUCUUGAUGUUGUUGUUUUUAUGAACAUGUGCUUGAUAUGUUCUUUGUGAUUGUUGUGAUAACAUGAUUUGUUAUGGUUAUGGUAAAAUGAUUGGUUGUGAUUAUGGCCUUGGAAUCCUUGAUUUAUAUGUGUAUAAGGACAUGUAGCAUGAUGGGUUUUGUUGGAAGAAGAAGGGGUAUUUUGUUAGAAAUGGUAUAAUAAAGGAAAAUGGUGUCUGUGAAGUGGAAUGUGAAAAUGUGAGUGGACCAAUCGAUUGGUCUCGGUGAUCAAUCGAUUGACAGCCCUUUGUUUUGCAGAAAAAAUGAGAUUUUUACAGGACCAAUCGAUUGACACUGCAUUACAAUCGAUUGCACAAACUUGUUGUAUAUGAACAGUGGAAAAUUUUAGCAGGACUAAUCGAUUGACACUCAGGAUCAAUUGAUUGACACUCAGCAAACUUUGAAAAACAUAAAUGUGGGAGGAACCAAUCGGUUGACUUAAGUUAAAAACUUCAAAAUCCAUUUCUUAAGUGUUUUUAAAUGCAUUCUUCCAACCAUUAAUCAAUUGUGAUGCUAUGCUUAUGUUGAAUACAUGUUAAUGGUGAGAAUUACAUGAUGAAUAUAGUAAGUUAACCUAGGAUUGGUAUUAGGUAAUGAGUGAGGUUUAUGACUUAGAUAACAUUGAAUGACGGUAUUCAUUCGUACGACGCUUAUGUGGAGGUCGUGUACGAAUUGUUGCCUUGAUUGAGAAUGAGACGCAUUGUAUGGAACAUGCCAUGCUUGACGGUAUUCAUUCGUACGACGCUUAUGUGGAGGUCGUGUACGAAUUGUUGCCUUGAUUGAGAAUGAGACGCAUUGUAUGGAACAUGCCAUGCUAUUAAUUAUGUAUUGUGGUGAAUGAAGUCACCUAUGAUUGAUGGAUUUUGUUAUGGUUCGUGGAACCGAUGAAUUGUGAAAUCGAUCAUGUAUUCAGAAUGUGUAUUUUCUGUGACGGUGCACAUCUCUCUUUGGUAUGCUUAGAUGAGUAAGCAUUGGGAUGUGAGACCAUGAUUCUAGCCUUAAUUGGGUUUGAGCCCCAACCAUGGAGGAAAUGGGGGAAAGGUGUACACCUAGGUGGGUUAGAGUCCCAUACGGUGAAAUAUACCCUAGGUGGGUUAGAGUCCCAUACGAGUGACGGUCGCUUGAACUGGGGAUUAAGCCUCGUAGAGGACCCGAUAUCCACCGCGAAAUUCGAAUCAUACGAGCAUGCAUGAACUGAGCCUGGCUUAGACGUAAGUCCGUUCGGGAAUUGAUGCAUCGUGAUCUGAAUAAUGAUUGUGGUUGAGUUAUGAGAACUCAGAUGCAUGUUUCCAUAUAUUGCGAGUUAGUUUCCCCAUCGCUCAAGUCUGUGUUCCCUUGUUAACUUGAGUUGGAUAUGAGUUGAAUAUUGAUUAGAAAAACCCUGUAAAGUUGAGUGGGCCCAUAAGAUAGGGAACCCACUGAGAUUAUUAUCUCACCCCAUGUUGUUGAUUAUUUUUCAGGUGGUUCUGAGCAGGUGAAAGGUAAGGACAAGAUAGAGUGGUGUCUUGCUUACCUGAGGACUGGAUGGCUUUUCUUUCCGCUGUGUAGAUAUUUUUGGGAUCAUUGUCUAAUGAUCUAGAUCAAUAGUUUUAUUUUAGGCACUUUUGUGUACAUUUUGUGCCAUGUUGUAUUUAUUUUGGGCAUGUAUUUAUAUAUGUACACUGUGCUGCUAGGCGCUUAUGUAUUUCAGUACCAGUUUUACACUAUGUAUAAUAUGUAUUCUAGACAUAUAUUAUAUAUGGGUGUUACAUCUUAAUCCAUACAAAUAACACUUUAUAUAUGCUUACAUAUAAGCAUACCAUUAAAUGAUAGAGCAUAUCACCUCACGUGAAUAGGAUCUCUAAACCACCAUAAAACACAACCACUAUUGUGGGCAAGCCCUAACUACCAGACAACAUAGUAUACCUACUAAGGCCUCUGAGUCCCUCUACCCUUGUAGGAGGAACAUGCACUAUCUCACCCAUUUUAAAGAUGCUACAAUCAGGGUCGUCCCACCAAACCAAUAAGUGUUUAUGGGGGUGUUCCAAAAUGGACUAAAGACGAGAACUUUAACAAGUCCCUUGCCCAAAAACCAGCGCUUUUGUUGGCAGAAGUGGUCACCAGAGUAGACUGCUACAUAAAGGGUAGGGAGAGAAACACAAAAAAGGAAGGCACACGAUGUCAAUGAGUAUGUUCCAAAUGUUGAGAGUUCACACAACUAGAGGAAGAGCAAUUAUACCUUGCCCAUAAAGAAAAAGACUGCAUUUAAGAGGGUAUGCAAGGCGAAAAAAUACUUCAUGCGCCUGAAUAACCGUCAUGAGCAGAUCUGGCUCAAGGUUCUCCGUCUACACAACAUCCCUACAAUGUCCGCUCCAAAGGAAUAUGUGAUGGGACUUGAACAGGGAAGAUGGUGCAAGUUCUAUAGAGUCAAUGGACACCACACUGAAGAUUACUACUAGCUCAAAAAAGAAAUUGAGAGACUAAUACAAGGGGACACCUCAAGAAAUAUGGUGACUCCUACCAUGUGUUAGAUAAAUCUAACUCACGAGGUUAAGAUGACGUUGGAAUCCCCAUGCUCAACAAAGCAAAAGAGGUGUCUUAGCAAUAAGGUAGUAAAGUUUUACACUACAUGCUAAACACCAUAGCAGAAGAUUCCGCGGGAGGGAAAACUUGUUUGGCGUGUAGAAUAGGUAAAUGCUCGCUAAUCCUGAGUGUAGAAGACUCCAAAAGUCAACUGAAGGCGCCACAAGCCCAGAAACCACGAUCGCGUGUUUGAGAAAGAUGUAGUGGCCUCCACCCUCACAAUGAUGACCGAUACCCAUGGUCAUCAUGUCGACUGUGAAGAGAUGGAAUUAAAAGAGUUAUCGUAGACCAGGGGAGUUCGCAAGACAUUAUAUACGGAUCUUUGAAAGAUUGUUUGAUANNNNNNNNNNNNNNNNNNNNNNNNNNNNNNNNNNNNNNNNNNNNNNNNNNNNNNNNNNNNNNNNNNNNNNNNNNNNNNNNNNNNNNNNGCCUCCACCCUCACAAUGAUGACCCCAUGGUCAUUACCAUCGACUGUGAAGAAUGGGAGAUUAAAAGAGUUAUCGUAGACCAGGGGAGUUCCGCAGACAUUAUACUAGGAUCCAUUUGAAAGAUUUUGUCUUGACCUAAAGGAUCUGAAGCCUUUCAAAGGAUCAUUGGUUAGAUUAUCUGGAUAACAUGUACAUGUAAAGGGAUAUAUCACCUUGAUGAUCACUUUUGGAAAACAGGAUCAUGCCAAAGAGAUAAAGGUUAGAUAUUUGGGUAUUUAUUCCCCUUCUUCCUACAAUAUGAUUACAGUUCGACCCGAUUUUAACCGACUAGGCGCCGCCUUAUCCAAGCUGUAUUUAUGCAUGACGUACCUGCUCCCCAAUGGGCAAGUGGGAUUUAUAAAAGGAUAUCAUGAGGCAACUAGGAAAUGUUACUCAUAAAGCCUUAAGUUUAAGAGGGUUCGCACUCCAGGACGGAAGGCCAAGAGGAUUGGCUUGGGAAUAAAGUCGUUAGGAGAAACCUGCAUGGGUGGGGAGGCUUACUCUCCAAUCGCUAAGGAGAUUGAAGAUUGAAGGUUCAUAGGGGAGAUCCUUUGGAGACUUCAACAUAGUUGUCAUUCAUUUAUUUUCUUUAUUACGAUUUGGAUAAUUUGUUGUCAUGUUUUAUAGGCGAGUACUGCAUCUCAACCGAUUGUAACAAAACAUUAUUUCAUGGAAUUAAUUGAUAAUGACAACUAAUAUCCUCUAAUAAGUCAAGCAUAAGUGAUUAAGUAGAUCAAGGUGAAAAACUAAGUAUUAAGGUUUGAUGGGUUUGAUUAUUCGAUGAUGGUAACCAAAUAGAAUACAAGCCCAUACCUUAUAUCAAGUGAAAUAAAUCAAGUGCCUACAGAGUAAAGCAUCUGACAAAGUCUUGAAAUCCAAGAAAGCCCCACCAUGCUUAGUCUGAGUGAAUAUGUUGUAAAACAUAAGGAUGCUCUCGUAAAACUGCAUGGCUAAAUCACACACACACACACACACACACACACACACUAAAACUUAUUUUCAAAAUUAUUUUUCUCAAGAAAAUAUCUUCAAAAAUGUCUUGAAGUUAUUCCAAAUGAGUUGGAAGAUGUCAGAAUAGCUAUAUGCAAAGUUUUAUCUUUGCCAAUCGAUUAUCGCAUUAAUUUAAUCAAUUGGCUCAGUUCAAAAUCAAUUGCUAAGCAAUUAUGAUAUCAUCUUAAAUUUUUUGUCUUUGACAAUCGAUUAGCACAUUAACUUAAAGGCUCAACCCAUGUUAAAAUCCUUCAUAGGUUCUUAGUUAUCCCGCAGUAAAACCAAGGUUAGGUUAAAGCUUAUCCCGAUAUUAAAAGAUUUGAUAAGGUUCGAGAUUAGCCUAAUGUUAAAAUAUCAUGGGUUAUUGGUUAACACGUGUAAAACUAAUGUUUAAGGUUCAUGAGCUCAACCCGUGAUAAAAGCUUACAAAGUUUGUUUAGAAGCUUGAAGACUAACCGCUCUAAUACUCUUGUGGUAAGAAAACUAACCGCUUCGAUCUACAUCGUAGAAAGAGGACUAACCAUUUCAAUAUGUCAUUUGGAAAAAAAGACUCAAAGUUCUCUAUCUCAGUCUUAUUGUUUGGUUGGAAGUCAACCGUUUUCCAUGUAUAAGGGGAUUCAUGAGUAUUACUUACUAAAAGCUCUCAAAGUUUGGAAGUCAACCGUUUUCCAUGUAUAAGGGGAUUCAUGAGUAUUACUUACUAAAAGCUCUCAAAGUUUAUUAGAUACUCUCAAAAUCAAUUUUUAGGGACGAGACUAAUUUGUUUUUUGAUUGAACCAAUGAGGGCAACUUUCCGGUAGAUUUAUUUUGCAUGAUGUCAAAACUAGGAUACUUUAGCGUUAAUGUAUAUUGGACAAUAUCCUUUGAUUCUCUGUGUGUAUCUUAGCAUUAAGAAGCAUAAAAGUAUUUGAAAAAAAGUUUGAAAAAGGUUUCAUGCAUCCAAAAUGCAUUCAAAACUAUUUUUGGAAAAAAAUGAACUAUAGGCCGACACAUGCAUAUCAUAGAUCGACACAUCCAUUGUACAUGUCGACUCAUUUACUACAUUAUUAAAGCCUGUAGGCUCUAACAGAUGUGCCACCUCUAUAGGUCAGUAUAUAAGAAGUACAUGACCUUUACAGAUCUAUGCAUGACCUAUACAGGUCGGCCUAUGCAUCGAAUAGGUCGGACAUGGCUUUCACAGGUCAACCUAUUCAAUGAAAAUUUCCAAAACUUCUCAUUUUUUUCAAAUCUUUUGCAUUCCUUUUGCCUCCAAACAUUCGUGCAUAUAAAUACUUCAUACAUGCAUUAUUUAAUAAAAAAGGUUUCUAGUGAGUAAAACCUAUACAAAACCGAGAUUUCAAAGCAUUCUCAUCAUCUUCAACCUCUUAUCUAUGCAUACACACAAUCAAACCACACAUAAUCAUUUUUUGAUUGGGUUCCAUCUAGAUUAGGGUUGAUAACGUCCAAUUUAGGUUUGUUGUACUAUAAAUUGGGAUGAGAACUUUGAGGGUUUCAAAUCAGAAAUCUAAGUUGCGGUUUUCGUUCAAGAUCUCUUAGAGUUUGAAGGUUUUGGACAAUAUUACACAAGGCAGAUCCGGUCGAGUGAAGUCUUUGAAGAACGGUAGAUUCUUGCAAAGGAGUGGAGUGGGAAGGUGUAUAGCAUUACACAAGGCAGAUCCGGUCGAGUGAAGUCUUUGAAGAACGGUAGAUUCUUGCAAAGGAGUGGAGUGGGAAGGUGUAUAGCAUUGGUAAAUCUUGGGUUUCAACAAGUGCGUGUUUGGGAUUCUAUCAAGUGAAAUCUUUGAAGAACAAUGAGUUUCUUGCAAAGAAGUAGCGUGAGAUGGUGAAUUGAAGCAACAUUGUUGGUUACUUGAUCAAGCUUUGAUCAAGGGAAGAGAAUGUGUUAGAAUCAAUAUCAAUCCUAGGGUUGUAGGGUUACAUUGCUACAUCUCUCUUGUGCACAUACAUUUUCAAAGUAAGAUAUAUUACACUAUCUCAAUUCACAUUCAAAUUGAGGACUGGCAUACUCAUAGCGAGGUCGAUUAGGAAACUGCCUAAACAAACCCUUAUGUACACUUUCUCUAUCUCUCUUUUAUUUUUGGUUUGUAAAUUUUUGAUUUCAUUGAUCGUUCGAUCAAAUUGUUUGGAUAGUAAUUUUUGAUUACAUUUUGAAAUUGGUGUUGUUGAGUUGAUCACAAACCUUUAGGUUGUGAUUGGAUUUUGAAAUCAACAAUAUCACGUAAAACUCCAAACAAUAUUGACUAUACACUAAGUGUUCGACAAAAUGCUUCAAAUGAUUUUUUUUGGGUGAAUUAUCAUUGGAAGUAAGCUUUCCUUAUUACUUUGCAUUCAACUAGUUGUGAUUAGUUGUUGUUGGUCGAUUUGUAAAUAAUUAUCAUAUCAUUGUCACUACUACGCAUAUCCAAGAUUUUUGAUAGCAGGUUCGGUUAGACUCUUUUUGAUCCGGGAUAUUUUAAACUUGGUUCUGCGCCAUAACAUUUUUAAACCUAUUUUUUGUCAAAGUUUUAACUCGGGAUCUAUUCACCCCCUCUAGGUCUAAGCCUAUCGUCUAACAUAACCUAUAUAACUCUUGGGGUUCCUCUCUUCCCGUAACUCUUUAUUUUAUGUUAUUUAUAUUCUGCAAUUUGUCUUUCCAUUGCUUAAUAUUUAAAAUCAUUUUAACUUUAAUUUUAAUCCGUUUUUUUCAAAAACCAUGUUUUUCUGAACCACACAACUCACCCCCUCCCUCCCCCUCUUGUGUGUAAAGUCACAUGUCAAACAUUGUAUUUAAAAAUCUCAUCCUGGAGAGUCACGAACUAUGGUCAUAUCACACAACACCAAACUCCUCUACAAAAGAAACAUCAUUUAAGUUGGUGUAUGAUUCAAACACCACACUACUCGUAGAAAUAGACACGCCCACCUGGCGAUGUGAACAUGUCAAUGAAUAUGGUCAUAUCACACAACACCAAACUCCUCUACAAAAGAAACAUCAUUUAAGUUGGUGUAUGAUUCAAACACCACACUACUCGUAGAAAUAGACACGCCCACCUGGCGAUGUGAACAUGUCAAUGAAUAAGGUAUGACACUCAUGAAGUUACUUGUCCAUAUUCUCCGGCCAACAUAUUUUCUAAUCCCUCUCCCUACCUCAAAUUUGUUUCUAAUAUCUAUGAGUAGUGCAUUUUAUUGUGUUCAUUGAAUUUUAUGAAUAAAUUAAAGAGAACGAUACAUGUCUUAAAUGCGCCGUAAAUCUACUCGACGAAGCGCGUAAAAUGGACCACAUCCAAGAGUUCACAAAGAAACAAAGAGUUUCAUGGAGAUAAAAUUUCCAAGUUGUACCACGGGAAAUGAAGAAGGGUGUCUUAGUGCUCAUUCAGGUGGUAACACCUACUAGAAUUGAAAAACUCUUUCCUAACGUGGAAGAGCCUUACAUAUUACAUGAAAAUCUAACAUAUGACACCUAAGAACAAAAAUAAUUAAAAGGUGACUAGAUUUUGGAAUUUAGUUAAUUUGAUACAUUACUAUAAUUAAUGUUUAUUUUAAAAGUUAAUAAGGCAUAUGUAUAAACCCGUGAUUUACGUUUUGUACAUGUGGUUUAAAACAUCAUUUAAGUGAUAGAGUGUAGACCUUUUCCCUUAAAAAGGAAUGAAUUUUUAACUAGAUGUCAUAUUUACUAAAUUCAAUUUAUUGCUCUCGUGAAAAAAAUUACAUAUUAAUUAUGUCGUAUGGGGUAUUAUGGUCAUAUCACACAACACCAAACUCCUCUACAAAAGAAACAUCAUUUAAGUUGGUGUAUGAUUCAAACACCACACUACUCGUAGAAAUAGACACGCCCACCUGGCGAUGUGAACAUGUCAAUGAAGAAGGUAUGACACUCAUGAAUUUACUUGUCCAUAUUCUCCGGCCAACAUAAUUUCUAAUCCCUCUCCCUACCUCAAAUCUAUUUCUAAUAUCUAUGAGUAGUGCAUUUUAUUGUGUUCAUUGAAUUUUAUGAAUCAAUUAAAGAGAACGAUACAUGUCUUAAAUGUGUCGUAAAUCUACUCGACGAAGCGCGUAAAAUGGACCACAUCCAAGAGUUCACAAAGAAACAAAGAAUUCCAUGGAGAUAAAAUUUCCGAGUUGUACCACGGGAAAUGAAGAAGGGUGUCUUAGUGCUCAUUCAAGUGGUAACACUUACUAGAAUUGAAAAACUCUUUCCUAACGUGGAAGAGCCUUACAUAUUACAUGAAAAUCUAACAUAUGACACCUACAAACAAAAAUAAUUAAAAGGUGACUAGAUUUUGGAAUUUAGUUAAUUUGAUACAUUACUAUAAUUAAUGUUUAUUUUAAAAGUUAAUAAGGCAUAUAUAUAAACCCGUGAUUUACGUUUUGUACAUGUGGUUUAAAACAUCAAUUAAGUGAUAGAGUGUAGACCUUUUCCCUUAAAAAGGAAUGAAUUUUUAACUAGAUGUCAUAUUUACUAAAUUCAGUUUAUUGCUCUCGUGAAAAAAAUUACAUAUUAAUUAUGUCGUAUGGGGUAUCAUUGUACCCUACGAGAUAUUAGUCCCUAAAAAUAUUUAUUGAAUCUCAAGUGUUCUACAAAGAAUAAUACAAGAAAUCCUGGACAAGUAAAAUCUAGUUCAAUUCUUUAACAUCCAUCAACCUCUUUUGAUACCAGGUUUUCUAAAAAUGUUGCUCAGUAGCAUUUAUUUAAUUGUGAUUAUUUUUAUUUUUAUCAUGUUUUGAAUUUAUAUUUCACUCUAGAUUUUACUAACUUAGUUGUUUUCUAUCGAGUUAGUAUUAUUAUAUAUAUCAUGUAUGUCGAAGGAUGUAACUUAUAUAUAAUGUGCAUGAAACAGCAGUAACUUUUCUGUUAGUGAUGCUUGGAUUAUUAUUGUUUUGUAUAAUUGUGCUAGAGGUUUAAUUAAUAUAAUUGAAGAUUGAUUUAUGUAAGGUAGGGUUUGACACACCUUUUUGUUAAUACAUACUUAUAAUCCAAUAUUCUAUGGUUUACCUAUUUCUUGUAACUUUUUUUGUGUUUCUUUUAAACGAGGUUAACGUGAGAUUAACGAAGAUUGCUCAAAUAAAUGAUUAUAUCUCAAUUAAGUUGGCUUCAAUUUAACCCAAUAUAAUAUAAUAGACUUAGUACUUCAAUAUAUCUUUUUUUAUCUAUAUAGAAAUUAUAAUUUAAUUGUAAUUUUUAUGAUGAAAUAAUAAUAUAACUCGGUUAUUUACUAUAAUAAUUUUUUAAUAUUCAUUAAUACUAACACAAUUAAUAUAAAGAUAAUAACACACUAAUCACACAUGAUAAUAUUAGAAUAAUUAUACUCUAAGAUUUUAAGAAUUGUGAUAUCUUCUCAUCUCAAAUGUUUGAGAAUUUGAUCUCUCUCAUUAACCUCUAUUCCCCGAUUCAUUUUAAGAAUAAACACAUUGAAUUAAUUGAAUUAACAAAACAUAAUUGCACAUUUCUUAGAGGUUAUACAAACAACUACUAAAGUUAGAAAAAUUAAAGAGAGAUCAACUCAAUCUUUAUCAAAUUAAAUUAAAGUUUAUUUUAAAACACAAACAACUAGUUCAUAGAAACAAUAACUUAUUUAGUACACAAACGAGAUCUUACUUAAUACAUAGAAAUAAGGUUUUACGUAGCACGAAGAUUAAAAACAUAUGAGCACAUGAAAAGUUUUCAAAAUGACAUAGAUAUUGAUUAACAAAGACAUGAACUAGUUUCGGGUAUUUUUCAACCAUCCAUCAAGAUAAACUUGUUUGGAGUCAGGGGUGGAUUUUGUUUUCUCAGCUCGGAUAUCUUUCAACCAUCCAUCAAGAUAAACCUGGUUAGAAUCAGAGGUAGAUUUUGUUGUCUCAUCUCGAAUGUCUUUCAACCAUCCAUCAAGAUAAACUUGGUUCGAGUCAGAGGGGGAUUUNNNNNNNNNNNNNNNNNNNNNNNNNNNNNNNNNNNNNNNNNNNNNNNNNNNNNNNNNNNNNNNNNNNNNNNNNNNNNNNNNNNNNNNNNNNNNNNNNNNNNNNNNNNNNNNNNNNNNNNNNNNNNNNNNNNNNNNNNNNNNNNNNNNNNNNNNNNNNNNNNNNNNNNNNNNNNNNNNNNNNNNNNNNNNNNNNNNNNNNNNNNNNNNNNNNNNNNNNNNNNNNNNNNNNNNNNNNNNNNNNNNNNNNNNNNNNNNNNNNNNNNNNNNNNNNNNNNNNNNNNNNNNNNNNNNNNNNNNNNNNNNNNNNNNNNNNNNNNNNNNNNNNNNNNNNNNNNNNNNNNNNNNNNNNNNNNNNNNNNNNNNNNNNNNNNNNNNNNNNNNNNNNNNNNNNNNNNNNNNNNNNNNNNNNNNNNNNNNNNNNNNNNNNNNNNNNNNNNNNNNNNNNNNNNNNNNNNNNNNNNNNNNNNNNNNNNNNNNNNNNNNNNNNNNNNNNNNNNNNNNNNNNNNNNNNNNNNNNNNNNNNNNNNNNNNNNNNNNNNNNNNNNNNNNNNNNNNNNNNNNNNNNNNNNNNNNNNNNNNNNNNNNNNNNNNNNNNNNNNNNNNNNNNNNNNNNNNNNNNNNNNNNNNNNNNNNNNNNNNNNNNNNNNNNNNNNNNNNNNNNNNNNNNNNNNNNNNNNNNNNNNNNNNNNNNNNNNNNNNNNNNNNNNNNNNNNNNNNNNNNNNNNNNNNNNNNNNNNNNNNNNNNNNNNNNNNNNNNNNNNNNNNNNNNNNNNNNNNNNNNNNNNNNNNNNNNNNNNNNNNNNNNNNNNNNNNNNNNNNNNNNNNNNNNNNNNNNNNNNNNNNUCAAGGUAAACUUGGUUGAAGUCAGAGGAGGAUUUUGCUUUUUCAGCUCGGGUGUCUUUCAACCAACCAUCAAGAUAAACUUGUUUGGAAUCAGAGGUGGAUUUUGUUUUCUCUGCUCGGGUAUCUUUCAACCAUCCAUCAAGGUAUACUUGGUUGGAGUCAGGGGUAGCUUUUGUUCUCUCAGUUCGGGAAUCUUUCAACCAUCCAUCAAGGUAAACUUGGUUGGAGUCAGACAUGGUUUUUAUUUUCUUAGCUUGGGUAUUUUUCAACCAUCCAUCAAGGUAAACUUGGUUGGAGUCAGGGGUAGAUUUUUCUUUCUCAGCUCGGGUAUCUUUCAACCAUCCAUCAAGGUAAACUUGGUUGGAUUCAGAGGUGGAUUUUUCUUUCUCUGCUCGUGUAUCUUUCAACCAUCCAUCAAGGUAAACUUGGUUGGAGUUAGGAAUUGACUUUUCUUUCUCAGCUCUGAUAUCUUUCAACCACCCGUCAAGAUAAACUUGGUUGGUGUCACCUGUAGAUUUUGCUUUCUCAGCUCGGGUAUCUUUCAACCAUCCAUCAAGAUAAACUUGGUUGGAUUCAGAAGUGGAUUUUGCUUUCUCUGCUCUAGUAUCUUUCAACCAUCCAUCAAGGUACACUUGGUUGGAGUUAGGUAUUGACUUUUCUUUCUCAGCUCUGAUAUCUUUCAACCAUCUAUCAAGAUAAACUUGGUUGGUGUCACCUGUAGAUUUUGCUAUCUCAGCUCGAGUAUCUUUCAACCAUCCAUCAAGGUAAACUUGGUUGGAUUCAGAGGUCGAUUUUGGUUUCUCUGCUCUUGUAUCUUACCAUCCAUCAAGAUAAACUUGGUUGGUGUCACCUGUAGAUUUUGCUAUCUCAGCUCGAGUAUCUUUCAACCAUCCAUCAAGGUAAACUUGGUUGGAUUCAGAGGUCGAUUUUGGUUUCUCUGCUCUGGUAUCUUUCAACCAUCCGUCAAGGUAAACUUGGUUGGAGUUAGGUGUGGACUUUUCUUUCUUGGCUCUGAUAUCUUUCAACCAUCCAUCAAGAUAAACUUGAUUGGAGUCACCAGUAGAUUUUGUUUUCUCAAAUUGAGUAUCUUUCAACCAUCCAUCAAGGUAAACUUGGUUGGAUUCAGAGGUCGAUUUUGGUUUCUCUACUCUGAUAUCUUUCAACCAUCCAUCAAGAUAGACUUGAUCGGAAUCCUGGGAGGAUUUGGUUUUCUCUGCCCGAGUAUCUUUCAACCAUCCAUCAAGGUAAACUUGGUUAGAGAUAGCAAUGUGUUUUUGAUUCUUCAAAGGAUUUUUGAGCCAACCGUCAAGGUAAGGUUGAGCAACUUGUAUUUCUUCUACAUUCUCUUGUAUCAUAUAUCGGGCAAAGCUUCCUUGUCCAUUCUACAAUUCAG